rnacentral:lncRNA from 1 species
GAAGUUGUCCUCCAUCUAACGCUAACAUGAUUCGGCUUGUUUUCUUAGGCAUCCUAAUUAAAUGCAUGCAAUCCACCUCUGAAACGUAUGCCAAGACGUAAAACAGCAGGAGGUGCUAAUGAUUACUACUAGUUGCUUGAAAAUCACGUUUGUUAGUUACCACCUGUUAAGAGUAGAAGUCAAGAGAGAUACACCCUGUAGCCCAUCAUCGCAUGCCAACGGUCCACGUCAUUUUUUUCAUCCUCACAGAUUCAGACAACAGGAUGACACCAUUCCUCUUGGUCGCUCGCUGCCACCGCCCAUUGCAUGCCCUGUAGCUCCGGCCUGCCAGUGCCACCCUCUGUCUCCUGCAGCAAUCUUGAUGUCGUCGGUUCCCCACUUUCCCGCGGCAAUCUGAAUUUGCCUGGGCCAUUCUGUUCGGCCCCGGCCGCAGCCAAAAUGCCCUCGGCCCUAGCUAGUGGCACUGCCUCAUCACCGGACACUAGGCCAUCAACCGCUACAUACCGAAAUAUCUACUAGCUACCUCCCUUAGAGCAAGUUUAAUAAUACAGCCUACUUGCUUGGUUGUAAGGUUCCUUACAGCCUUCUCCCAGCCCACCCAUACAAUAGUUAGCUAUUCACUAUUAGUACAUGGCCCACUUAUCUCUCUCAUAAAGUUUUUUUUGGUUAUUGUGUCUAAGCUGGCUGUAAGCUUACAGCCUGCUUCUCCUCUCUCUCCUUCCUUCUCUCCUCCACAUCAGCAUUUAGCCAGUUUACAGCCCACCAUAAUACUUGCUCUUAUUCGCAUCAUGGUCAGAAAUUCAGAAUCGAAGAUCAUAUGUAAUUAACUAGUCAGUGCGCUGCAGAUGCGACUGCACAUAUAUACAUACAACACUGUGGCUGCCGCCUACGUACUUAUACGAGGUACACCACAUACAGUACACAUACGUGUCUAACGUUUUCCAUCGCAGUGCAGUGUGCUGUCCUAUCCCUGAUAGAUUGACACUAGUUCUUGGAUCGAACAAUUGACAGUUAAUUAAGUCGUCGUACCACUGCAACUAGUAAUGUCCGGCAACAGGAAGUGAGUAACACAUGAAAACGGCGCAGUGGGCCCGGUUGUCUCUCUGCAGCACUGCACGUACGUCAUAAAUUUUGACCGAAGUUAUAAAAAAAUACUAACAUCUAUAUCUAUAAUACAAAAUGAGUACCGAUCGAAUUGGCGGAAAGGCCUUUAUCCCUUGGGGCUUGUAUUGGGCUUGGGCCUUGGCACAUAUACUCCAGUGAGCAGCAGCACAGCCGCCGGUUGCUGGAUGGACAAACACGAAUGUAGUCGCCGAGACGCGCGCUCUGUACCGACCGGACACCAACAGGCCCGACGGCGACAGCACCCGAGCGACACAGGCGUACCGCGCUCCUGGGGCCUAGCCGCCUAGCUAUAGCUAGCAAGACCAGUGUCUGAAGAAGAUUUCAUGUUCUAAUUUCUAACACAAUUCAUUUUGAAAAUACUACAUAAGAGUUUUUUUUUAUUUUAUUAAUACGGUACUAUAUAAGUAUAUUUAAUAUCCAUAAAAUUUUAAUAAAAUCUUGUUAAAACUGGCCUAACACAGCCAUGUCUCGUAAGAUUGUACUAUUUGGGUUGUUUCAGUUUGCUCCAAGGUCUACCACAUGCAGUGAUGAUGCAGACAUGCCGGAAGGUACGGCCCCGGCGGCCCGGGCCAUCCCGCGACUCUGCGAGAGCCCGGCCACGGCCGGCAUGUGGGGCCAGCCGGACCGCCGGACUGCCAUCUCGUAAGCUAACAGUUUGACGUACGGGCCCCGCGUCGUCGCGUCAUCGCAGUGCGGCACUGCCGAUGCCGAGAGGGAAUCUACUCUGGGGUGGUCGCUGUGGGCUGUGGGGCCUUGUCCGCGCCUCUGUGGACCCCGCAUGAUUGGGCCAUGCAUGGUCCAGGGGACACAGAUGACAACGGUGCGUCACUGGUUUCCUGUAACGGCCAUUGUUAACAUCGCAUGCUCUCACUCUAUAUCAAGUAUGAUAUGUACUUGAAUCAAAAAAAGUAUGAUAUGUACUCCCUCCAUCCCUUUUUAAUUAUCACUUGCAUUUCUCAAAAACAACUAUUAGCAAUUAUAUAUUAAAAAUAUUAAUAUCUAUAGUACAUAAUAGUAUCAUUAGAAAGAUCUUUAAAUCUAGUUUUUUAACAAAUUUAUUUGGAAAUACAAAUGUUACACGUUAUUUUCUACAAAUCGAGUCAAACUUAUGUCACGUACACCAAUGACAACAAUUAAAAAGGGACAGAGAGAGUAUGUUCAAUAAAUAAAAUGAUAUGUAUGUUGAUAAUCACAACACAGUAACACAUUGCAUCGUUGGCAAAAGUUUUGAUAGAUGUUGGCACUACAUGAGUGGUCGUAGUAAUAAUAAUCAACCAGCUGCAAGAUGGGUAUCACUACUACACAAAAUAUUAUUCGAUGCGGGCAAAAUAGAUUUACCAAGGCGGGCAACGAAACCGCCUCGAACAUAAGAUCACAAUAAAUAGGACAUUUUCUGAGGCCGUUUGAUGCCCGCCUUGGUAAAUCAAAUAAAAACGAAAAAGCUAGUGGACAGGUCUGUUGAGCCCAUCCAUGGGCCUACCGAGCCCAUCCACAAGCUACCACCACCGCUGCUGCUGCUCCUCAUUGUACCUCUCUGCCGCCUGCUGAUGUAGCUAUGGAGGGAGGGGAGGAGGCCGGAUCCGCAGCCGUGGGCUCCAACCCACUAGAAUCGUGGUCGUAGCCUGGCCACCUCUUCACUGGAUCUACGCCGUAGGGAGAGGAGGGAGGAGGUCGGAGCAUAGCCGGUGUUGCCAUGACGAGGGGGUGGAGGAGCGUCGAUGCGGAGAGGCCGGAUUCGGCCACCACACCAUCGGAUCCGCGCUCGCCGCCUCCACAUCCAUGCUUUGGGAUACCGCCAAGGGGAAGAGCUCGUGGAUGUUGUCACCUCUAGAUCUGCUACACCGGUGAGGCGGUGAGGGAGGCUUAGGAGAGGGAGAGGGAGACACGACGGCGCCGCAUGAGCUCGGGCACUAUGGCUCUCGUGACGGAGAUGGAGAAGGAGGGGGGAGGGGAGGCGCUGUUGCUCGGGCAUAAGAGGGAGGGAAAGCGCUGUUUGUCUGAGUGAGAAAGAGAGGGUGAGCUCUCAGUGAAACCUUAGGUUAGGAAUUUAUACUUGAGCGCCCAUCGGGCCUCAGUAUGGGCCUGUUUGGGCUUUGGCCUUUUUUCUAAGACGGGCAAGUUAGGAGGUCCGCCUCCAAAAAUAGGAGUAUUUUUGGAGGCGCGUUAAUAUAUUUUAGGAGGCGGUUUGAUUUUGCGAGGCGGUUUAUUGUGACUGUCGCGGUUAAUAAAAAUCGACCGCUUCGGUUAAUCUGAGACAUUAAUCGAGGCGGUUCAUAUUUCUGCCCGCCUCCAAGGCCUAUUUCAAAACGUUUCGCAAAAGAUUUUUUGUAAUAGUGUGUCUCUUAAUGCGCUGACGAUGCUACUGAAACAGCUAGUAUUUGGUCAUGCAUAUAUAUGUCGGUUUUGAUAGAAAGUCAAGUUCCAAUUUUACAGAAAAUGAAGAAACCUCAGCGUGCGUCGUAUGCAACUCAUAGGUAUUUCGUAGCUUGAAAUAAAUCGGAAGCCGAAUGUUUCGACUAUUCUUAAUUUAUGGGUACAAGAAAAAGGCAUACAUGGUAUUACAGUAUGAAAAUAUUAAUAUGUUUUUUAAAGGAAAUUAAAGCCAGCUAUAUAUAUAUAUUCACGUAGCUUUCACGUAGUUUUCAUACGUAGAAUUUCUUCUUUUUCCUCAUCGAUCAACAUGUGUAUUAUAUACUUUGUUUCCUACACACACAUGCCCAAAAUUGUGAACUUUUUAUGUGGCUAUUUUUGGUGUUCUCCCGUGUACCCUGCAGGCGAGGGAAGUUGAUCGGGACAUAUGAGGGCAGCAGCAAGAUGAAGCUAAGCUCAAAAUUUGACUGGACAUAAUUGCCAAUUUAGUCCUUCGACUUUCUAAGAGGCUCUUUUUCGUCCCUCACCUUUCGAUCUGCCCAAUUAAGGCUAAAGUUAAGGAAGACUAAACUUUAGGCCUUAGCUCACUUGUGUGGUCUAAUGAACUAAUGACCUUUUUGUGAGGUUGGCCAAACUUUAGACAACAUUUUAAACAUGAGUUUGGAGCUUCAAGUGAUAAAGGGAUCCAAAGUUUAGUGGCUAAACUUUAGGCAUGAGAUUCAAAGAGGGUGUAAGUGUCUCAACUUUCGCUUAUUUUUAUUAGGUCAAUUUUUCCCUAAUCCUACGUGAUUUCGGCAUUGAUGUGCUAAGUAGGGCUCUAAUGGCAUGGAAGGGAAUAUACGAUUUUUUUUUGUGAGUUCAAUUUUGAGUUUGAUUAUUUUGGACUGGAUUCAAGUAUAUGCCAAACCUAUUGGUCAUGAACUCCUUUGACAUGGAUGUGGAUUUGGCAAGCACAAUAAAUUUACUUAUAUGCAUGUAAAACCUAGAAAUACUACUCUUGAACUUUUUCCCUUGCAAAAAAACUCCAACAUCAUUUUGAUUAAUACGAUAAGCUGUCCGGUGAAUUUUUAAAUGAUUGAAUAGUUCAAUAAUUUGAUAUGAAGCAGUAAAUAUGAUCAUUAUGUAACUUAUACACAACAGAUAUGGUUGCAUUCAUAUACAGACAUCACAAGGACAAGGAUUGCAUGCAAAUGUGGUAUCUGUAUUCAUAUUUAGGGCAAUGCUAUGGUACACUCUUUACUUGUAAGGAGGUAAUAUCUCAAAUAAAUCUGAGCCAUUGAUUUUUUGAGUUUCUGAAUUAAUUAAUUGAUUAAUUAAGCUAGGAAAAUAAAAAAAACUUGUUGAAUCCCCUCUUUCAUGGAGACAGACGCCAACACGUGUUAUCCUUCAUUUCUAUAUGCGACCGAGGCGUGUGUCUUAAAUCUGAACAUGCACAAGUAUUUAUUCCAAUAAAAUAAUAGAUAAAGUAACUGGAUAUUUGUUGUCUUUAAAAUCAAGUUUGUACCAAAUAUAAAUUUAAAUUCAAACUGUUUGGUUCAUAUUCACAUAUAAUACGUGCAAUGCUUCCAGCGAAAUAUAAAUAAAUUAAUAUAUAUAGUUUUUAUCAAUAUUAGAGCUUGCAGCAAUUAAACUUUAAUGUGCGACGCUAAAAAAAUUGCAUACGCACGCUAAUAAUCAUGUGACGGAUCCACUCACCUUAGAGAUGUAUCACGGGUGUAUCAAUCAAACCUUAAAGAAAGAUUUUCUAUACCUCAAACUUUCCUUAUUCAUCAUAAUUUAGAAAAUAAAAAAAUUAAAUAAAUAUAUAUUUCAUCGAUUACCUUUUUGAGGUAAUAUGUGAGCGUAACCGUUCGAUCAAAAUAAAUGAAUGGUUCACAGUUACUUGGGAAGUACCGUAGCAUAACCCUCAUAUUUAACCUUGUUGCUUUGUAGAUCCUUUUUGUACUAUGAGUUGUUUCCGGUGGGUAUAACACACGAUGUCAACUCAUGAUGCAUCAUAUAAUACUUCACGCCCAAAUGAAAACAUCUCUGUGCAUGAAGCUAGUGCUUCGACCAUUACGCGUGCGCAUAGUAGGUAUCUAUCUGCACAAGCGUGUCCCAUUUGGUUAGGCAGAUGGAUAGUAUAGUAUAAGAUUACACUUAAGUACUACUUAACUACACAUAUUAUGACUAGCUAGCUAGACUCCUCGAUAUCGAGUGCACACAUACGUGCAAGAGAGUGGAGCCAAGCGGGGUAUGGACAAGCAAGUAAGGCCUGGACCUUGACGACGGAGCUGCAUGCACAGCUUGCGGCGCGGCCUGGCACACCGGCACCGCCGGCGCCGGCACGCUGCAGCAAUAAAACGCCAGGCUUAUGCUUUUGAGCUGCCUCUUUGGUCUCGGAAUGUGAGCCCAAGCACACAUGACGGCACAAAGCCGAUGCAACAUGCAUGCAGACCUGCUGCAAAGGCGACGCAGGAAGCAGCGCCGGCAGCUUUUGCAUGGAUUUCUCCGGCCCGGCCGGCGGCCAUGCAUCUUUCCGUUGAUCCUUCCUUCGCCUUCCGUGCCCUUGCCCACACCGACACAAGUCAUGGCACUGCAGCAGAUCGCAGCCCUUCUCCUCCGUCAGGCUCAGGCUCAGGCCAUCGAUGUCUGCGCCAUGACUGGGGGGACCUCAGCUCGGGGAAACAGACAUGGAUUCGGAGAGAGAAGAAAGGGAUGGAGGGACUGACACGAGGACCACCCCAAGUCACGGGAUGGAAACGAGACGACGAGAAUGAGAUGAGGCAUGCAGGUUAAAAUAUCAACAAGUGCAAUGCCUUUACCAUAUGGAGUAUACGAGUCAUCAGGAUUUCCUUGGCAAUCUGCAAAUUAAAGUUUUCAUCGAGAGAAAAAAAAUCUGCAAAUUAAAGUGCGAACUUUGCCCUAGCUAGAGUCAUCAGGAUCGGAUUCAGGCGUCGUCGUCUUUUAACUGCCAGCCUUUCAGCAAGUCAAAACAACUCAGCCUCAGAGACAGCAGCACAAUUGCUCUGAACAAUCGGACUGCAUGCCACGCAGCUAUCAUGGGGGCAUGCAUGCAUGCGUACCGCGAAAGGUGUCCUCGACUCUGAAGAGGCAAAAUUAUAUAUCUGGAGAUCGAGGAGGUGGCUGUGACCUGACCAGCUGAUGCCAGUGCAUGCAUGCUCACGAAGUCACAAGCCAACAGACGUACAACAGGGGCACCGGGCGAAGUGAUCUAUGGAUGUAUGGAACAGCAGCCGGCCUCUUCCGUUAGUCAGGAGACACGAGGUACAGUACAUAUAUACACGGGGACGUGGGUAAAAACACUAGCUGAGGCGAGAAGAGAAGAAGGUCGUCGUCGUCCUCGGACCUCCGUCCGUGCACGCACGCAUGCUGCGAUCGAUGUGCGACCCUGUGCAUGGGUCGUGUGUGCUGUGAGUCCAUGGGCGUACAUGUCUAGUAGUCCGCAUGCAGCAGCACACCCCGCCCGGCCCUCUCGAUCAUUUCCCAUGGAUCCAGUCCUGGGCUCCUGGAAGAAGGCGCGCGGGAUAGGCUAGUGGAUCGAUUCGGGCACAUGCUGCUCGCCUGCUUCCGGCUUGUCACUGUGACACUGUAGAUCUUAUCGUCUCUCCUGUUGCUCGUCUAGCUCACCCACGUGAAUGUGAUAUACUUCCUUGCAUAUACAGUUGCAUGCACGUAAUCAUCAGGAUCCACGGUGAUAUGGAUGAACGCUCUGUCACGUGAGCGCUGGAAAAGAUUUGCAUCGUCUCGGCAACGAUCUGUCAUUUGAUCCGGAUAAGCAUUUUUUUUUUGACAAUUAUCCGGAUAAGCAUUAGAGUGCAUUAGUCCAUCAACAUGCUCCCGCUCAUGCUAGAAUCUUACGAGACAUAAAAAUUAGACGUUACUGUUUAAUACCGGCCUAUUAUACUUCUGUUACUUUGAACGUUAUUAUCUUUGUUUAUUUUCUAACACAAUCGGCGUGUAAUAGAUAUAUCUUGUAGACAUAGUCCAAUUGUGAUAAAGUUAUCAAUCGCUAAUCUAUAUGUUUUUUUUCUAUAACAAUUUGUAUUUCUUUAGCAAGGCACCUUUGUGUAUUCUGAAUAUGCUUUCACUUGAAAUCUUAGCUUAAACUAUGGUGGUUCUUGCUGCGGUGUGUGUGAUUCUGUCUUAUUGCACAGUGAAUCUAUAGUUUUGACUUUCAAAUAUUAAUAUUAUUAGUCGCUACAUAUUUUUUAAGUUGAAACUCUCGUGCUUAAUGUAUAUUUUAUUAACCCUCUUAUGUUUUAUUGAAAUAAUGAUUUUAGCUCAUACUCAUAGAGUGUACUCUUAAAUACUAUAAUAGCAUAACGGUUAGUUACAAUCUGCCCCAUGUCACAAUUAAGACCGGUGAUAGAGCUUGUAGUGCAAUUUAUUUUGCAUAGCCAACUAAUAUAAAAAAAUUUAAUUGGUUAUUUUCAAUUAUAUUUUAUAAUGACAGAGAUGGGUAGUCUACGUACAACUAAGAGGGCAAUUUUGAAAUAUAUUUUAUAAUGAUAGGUGGGUAAUUUAAAAGCGAACUUGAACGUUAAUUUAUGUAUUUUAUUAUAAUGACAUAAGUUGAUAAUUUUUUUAUAUAAAGUAUAAUAAAUUUAAUGGCUAUUAUUGGCUAUGAUGAUUGGAUUCCAUAAAAUUAAAGGCUAGUUGCUGAUUACCGGGAGUGCUUUUUUAAUCAAGUUCUUGACUUAAUGAGUUUUUUUUUUAAUUUAGUGGUUGGCGAGACGUAUAUGGAGACUUGAUAGCCUAGAUCACUUGUGUUCAUACAUGUGAAUGUGUGUAUGUCUUUUGUACCGCGUGUUUCUUUAAAAAAAAAUAUUACCUUGAAAUCCAAAAACUUUAAAAAAUUUUCUAUUACAUUAAAUCUUGCGGGAGACGCAUGGAACACUAAAUAUAGCCAGAAAUAACUAAUUUUAUAAUUUGACUGUAAUUUUAAAAUAAAUCUUUUAAGACUAGUUAAUUUAUAAUUCGACAAUAAUUAUGAAAUAGGAACUAAAAUCCAAAAACCAGACCGCCCGUCCUCUGACCGGCCGGACUGAGAGCGGACAUAUUCACGGCGGCACAGCCUACAGCCCUACACUGCAGUACUGCUCACUCGGCGUAGUGCAAGUGCUGUGUCCGUGUGCUGGCUCACAAGUCACAAGCGACUACUACUCCAGUAGUUGUAGCUGCUGAACAGUGGUACUGUGUACCCUCCGCUGCCGCGCAACUGUUCAGCUAUCCCAUCAGGUGCGAUUCCCCAACACAACACAACACAACACUGCUCCUCCACCGUCGUCCCCGGCGGCCGCCCGUUCGGACAAGGAAACGAAACGGUGCCGUCGAGCGCGUCCGUCCGCCCGUGCGUUUUACGGUGGGGGGGGGCGACACUGGACGGACACGGGCACGGGUCCCCCGCGCGCGCGCCCGCCUGCUUGUUUUACUGUGCCCGAGUCGCAAGGGCGUAAGGGAACAAUCACGACGACCAGCGCCGGCCGCUAGCGCCGCAGCCCGCGCGCGCGCGCGAGGGGUCCCCCGGCGGGCGAGGCCAGCCAGCCGUGCCCGUGCGCGUGGGCCGUGGGGGCGCGGCGCGGCGCGGCGCAGCGCAGCGCAACGCGACGCGACGCUGCUGCCUGUGCCUGCCUGGCCGCGCUCUGCGACGCUGCGUGCCUUGCCUGCCUGCCUGCCUGCGGCGGAUGAUGAUGCAUGCAUUGGCAUGGCAUAUGGUCCAUGCGGCCUACGGCGACACGCAUGACAACAUGAGGCGCGCGCGCGCGCGCGGCAGCAGGUUGGAGUACAGUAGAGUAGACUGCUAGAGUGCUAGUAGUGGUAGGCUGAGCCAGGCCAGCCGAUCGAGCCCGAUCGAUCGAUGGAUGGAUGCAUGUGUGUACACCUAGCUGCUAGGAGGAGUAGCGUGCACACACGUGACUUGCCGUGCCAGCAUGUCGAUGGAUCCGCCUGCUGGAUCUGCUUUUUCGGGCUGGCUGGCUGCGUGGGAUUGGGAUCGAUGGGUCGUCGACUUGUCCUGCUCGAUCGUGUUAAAAUGUACUGUGUACAGGGAUCCGGUCGGGGUCCUGAGAUUGUACCCCCGCCCGCCCCGCCGCCCCUCAGUCGUUCAUGCAUGUGACGACUGUUGUAACACUGUGCUGUGCAUGCAUGCUGGCCUCUCUCAUGCAUGUUUGCAAUAUGCAUCUCGCUCUUCCUUCUUUCUUUUCUUUCGCUUUCCCUUAUAUAAACAAGAGAUCUCUACAUUUGCAUGUACAGAGAUGAGAUGACCGAACGGUGUUAUGGAACGACGGCAACGAGACCUACCAUAGCAUAUGCCAUGCCACGCACACAGCACAUGCAUGCAUGUCUCCAUCGGUUCAGGUUCCUUUCGAGAGUGACAAUAUAUAUACAGUAAUUGUCGUUCACUACCAUAUAUAUAAAACUUCAUUUUUUAUGCACGUGUAACUAUCACGGACUGAUCGUGUCGCACGCUUGGAGUUCGCGGAUUUUUCUCCCUGGACGUACUUCAUUCUCCUCCUCCAGCUGUAACAACAGCUAGCUAAUAAGCUAUAUAUAUCUCGUCUUUCUUAACCGAAAAGAAACGAGAGACGGCAACCACUUCAUUCCGUGGAUUGGCAGCACCUUACGUACCCCUGCUGGUCCUUCGACCUCUCGAGAUCGAAUAAACAAGAGGCCAAUCGAUCUAAUAACCCCCUCAUCUCGUCUCGUGCCUCCGUGGACCCUUUUUUGCCAUUAUUCCAAUGAUGAUGGGACGUCGAUCCCACGACGACGCCGGCUCGCACCUCGCUCGGCUCACUUCUGUAUAGUAUAGUGUGUGUGUGUGUGUGUAUAUAUAUAUAUAUAUAUAUAUAUAUAUAUAUAUAUAUGGCUUUUAUGAAAUUCAGGUCGUUUUCAUCGACGACGACGGGGAAUAAGAUUUAACGGAUCCGAUGGCAAGGAGUGUUCUUCGAAAGCUCCGUGUGGACAUGCAGGUGGUAGAUAGUAUAUAUCCACUACAAGUCUCGUGGACUCUUCGGACACGGGGAUUUUACCGGCCGGCCUCUCUUUUUUUUUUCACGAUAGGGGAUAUAGGCCAUGUUUGGAUCACGGGUUAGAGUUAGAUUUAACUAUUUGAAGGUCAAAUAGCUCUAAAGUAUCUAAAUAUGAAGGUUAGAUCGAGAUUACUUAUAUCUAACUCAUCCAAAAAACUAUUCCCUCAAAGAGGUGCUUGUUUGAGCUAUUUGAGAUGAGGCCCACAGGGAAGCGUUGUUUUGCCACACGGUAUCGCCUCCCGUCGCGCACAACCGGUUACUCUUCCCCAGGCGCGACGUGACCCUACAGCUGCGCCGCCUCCUCCCGGAGACCAACGCUGCCGCCAUAAGUCCGCCUCGCCGCCGCCUAUGGACGGAGAUGGCUUCGACGUGUACGGCUCGCAACCGUCGUUGACCGGCCCUGGACUCGCAGAUCUCAACCUCAACUUGCAAGCGUCGAUGGCAGUGGGGUUCUCUUGGCUUGGGCUCUAUGGAGCCAUCCUCUAGGACAACGAUGACAAGCUCCUCCCUAGCCGCAUGAGGGGCUCCGGCCACCCUCCCUAUCGCCCACCACGAGCCAAAGUUGUGAGCAGGAGAAGGCCACACAACAACCGGCCACACAAAAUUCGGUUGAAAAGGAGCCAAAUAAUUGGGAAAGUAUAUUUAUUGUCAAGCAAACCUUUGCAUCCAAAAACCUCUUUGGGUAGAGUUAGUUAAGAGCUAAUCAUGAGAGAAUAACUUUAAUUUCUAACUUAGUUAGAGUAUCAAAUAGGGCCAUAGUCUGUUUUUCAUUAAGAGGAACAAAGUAAAAGUCAACUACGAGAGAACCCUCGUAGCACAUGCUAUAAACCUUGCACCGUCUUGACAUGACGUUAAGUGACGAUUCCAUCGAACGAAUUUUUUACUAUUGCAACGAACUACAUAUAACAUCAUCUAAACAAUCUACUUAAAAUAUACAUUGUUUUUUUUCUAAAAAUGAGGCUAGCACUUUUUUUUUUCUAAAAAUGAGGCUAGCAAGCGAAGGAACCAAACACCCGCUUAUUUCACUAUUUGGCAAGGUGAGGCGAGAUGAGCCUGAGCAAGAGAUCCAACUGCUUCAGAAGGCGAAGAACAUGCUGCAUGAGGGAAGGAAGGUUUGGACUAUAAAUUAAUACUAAACCUAAUGUAUGGCUAGUGAACAAAAUUAGAAGUGCGCACUGAGUCGCUGCACGCAUGGGCAGGGUCGAAGCUAGGCUCCAAACUGUAACUGAUAUUGUGUUUUGGAUAAGACAAAAAUUUACUCAUAUAGCUUCAAACUCAGAAAAUGUAGGAGUGAGGAGUCUAUAAUCUAGCUCUGCAUGCUGGGCCUCAAACUCAGAGGGGUACGAGAGUGAGAAAGUGAUACUGUAUAGUCUAUCUUUGUUCGGUCUUACACUUAAAUAGGUGGGACUGAGAGAUAACGGAUAAAAAGAACUUCAAACAAGUGAAUGACAGACGAGCCGUGAUGGAUAAUGAUACUCUAGAGGAAUAGGAGUAAGAGACGGAAUAAUAGGAUUAUUUAAGAGAGGGACGACCGGAGAAAAGAGCUGGGAGCGGAUAUUAUGUGUAGUAGAGAGCAGAUAUAUAGCUUUCACUUUCGAUGUGUGUGGACUCUGAACUGUUCUGCAUAAAAACUGGCUACUUGUCUGGUACGGCUGUUUCUACCAACGUGUUUGGAUUAUUGUUCGCCUUGGCUAAUAAUACAAACACUUCUACUCAUCAGACACGAUCGAGACCGAAUCACGAAGCAAAGUUAAAUCGAUGGUGACUAAACCAAGCCAUGGACGAGGUCUCUAAAAUCCAAGGACGUAUACAGAUAAAAAAAGAAGGAAUUGUGAAGCUUUCUAACCCUUUUCAGGACUACUGUACCUUAACCAUGCCACUGUCUGUUGAUCAGCCGCGACCGCGACGCGACGCGAUCAGUACUCAUCUCACAGGUCACCGCUACACGUACGUAGUACUUUCUCCAUACAGCAGCGCAAUGCUUCAAGAAAGAAACAAAAGGAGGAAUCAUAGUGGCCUGACCAAUUUAUAAUAGGAGUAUUCCGGUAUCAUUGUCGCGUCUGGACGUCAUGAGCUGGGCACGGUGACGUGCGUCCAUGGAGAAGCUUUAUUUGCAAGCUUGCUACGCAUCCAUCUGCAGAUCUGCCUCAGCAUGCCUUCGUCUCUACAAGGUAGGAUCAGUACAAGCUCUCUCUCUAAAAGAGGAAACAAAUGUUCCUAUUUCCUGCUUAUUCCUUCCUUCCGUUUCCCCGUCCUGCUCAUGGUCAUGGAUACGAACCCUAAGGAGAAUGCCCGAGAGUAACUCCGGGAUAAGCUGCUGGCCAUGAGGCUGACAGAUCGCACACACACAAACAGAGAAAUUCAAGGAGAGAGACAGAGACGGGACCAUGGCGUGUACAGUACUGAGGUCACAAGUCUACAAGACAACAAUAGGGUCUCUUUCUCUCUCUCUCUGAAUUUUUAUUCAGCCAUGCGUUUCUUUUUUUUUGAAAUCUCCGUAUUUCUUAUGCAGCCGGCCGGAUAAGUUCACACAGGCUAAUAGAGAAUUGCAACUUGCACAUUUACCUGUUUCUUGACACUGCAAGUUGUCUGUUAAGACCAUGUUUCUUGACACUGUAAGUUGUCUGUUAAGGUAUUGAGAAAACGGCUAAAACUUACUAUAUGACUGUAUUAUUACAUGCAGUUCCAAUUCCAUGCAACAAUCCUUGCAGGAGAAGCAAGUCUGAAAGUUUCUAAUAAAUAAAUUUCUCAAAAUUAAGUUGAUCAAGUGGCAACCAAUGCAAGUUAGUUCAUGACGCUACAUACUGUGUAUAUACCACCACCAGAAUCUGACCUUUGCCCAGUUGCCUACCAUCUGCUCCAAAUGCAGGUAUUUCUUCAGUUUUUACUGCUACAGAACUGAUAGACACAACCGGGCCGGGAGAAUCUCAGGGGUCCGGUGGUGGGCCUCCAGGGUCAGCACACAACAGUGAACUCACAUUCUUCUGCAACCACUGCCUUGCUAUCCUACAAACAAAACGCCAAGCACGUACUAGUGCACACACACACACAGACGCACAUCACACAUGCUACUCGGAUAACGUUACAAUUACUGUGCACCUCAUGUUGAUGCUCGCAUAUGCAUGCAGGCAAAGACAGAUUAAGGCCCUCUCUCUCUCUCUCUCUCUCUCUCUCUCUCUCUCUCUCUCUCUCUCUCUCUCUCUCUCUCUCUCUCUCUCUCUCUCCGGUCGUCUUCCCGGCCUCCAAAUCGAAACAAAACCAUCGUAUCAUGUUGGAAUUUAUGUCCUUGGAACAGGCCAUAUGUUGCUCGCUUAAACUAAUGCUCAUCACAGAACUCGGAAGGUGUGUGUGAUUUGAUGUGCAUGAUUUGGUUUGGUGUGUGCGCGGGCAGCAGAUCGAGUACAGCGAACACAGCGGCCCCAAAACCUGAUUCCCCGUGCAGCGAAUGUUUGUUUAGGUUUAGGAGAGCCGUGAGUCAUGAGACUCCUGUCGGCGAACAACCGGAUGCGGAUGAUGCCAGUCGCCACCUCGCACGGAAUUCCCUCACCUAAUGCGCGCAGCGCGCAGGCAGCAAAUUUCUCUGCACCUAGCCCUGCUAGAUAGGUUGUCUCGCUCGCUCGUUAAGUUGCUGGGUUAAUAAUUAGCGGCACAAACUUAAUUGAGCAUUUGAGCGUUCUAGAUUUGGGCCUUGUUUAGUUCACUCCGAAAACAAAAAAAAAAAUUCAAGAUUCUCUGUCACAUCGAAUCUUGUGGCACAUGCAUGAAACAUUAAAUAUAGACGAAAACAAAAACUAAUUACACAUAGUUUAGCUGUAAAUCACGAGACGAAUCUUUUGAUUCUAGUUAGUCCAUAAUUGGAUAAUAUUUGUCACAAACAAACGAAAGUGCUACAGUACCGAAAAGUUUUCACUUUUCGAAACUAAACAAGGCCUUGGUGCCCCUGAGAUUGAGAAGCAGACGCAGAGAUGUGUGCUUUUUUAUUUAUAAGUAUCUAUAUCUAUUAUAUAUUGUUCAGGACAGCCAAGGCGUAGAUUAAAUAGGGUUUCGUGACGGCCACAGUUUGACUUGUUUGACUAGGUUAGUGCCUCUCCUCCUGCUAGGCUCCAGAUGAUUGACCCGGCCGGUACAUAUCAUCGGUGUAUAGCGUAUAGGGCGGCUAAACAAAUACAUUCCGUGUGAUUUGACGCGUUUGUUUGGCAAACCUGAGCUACUGGUAUGUUUAUAUAUAACCUAUAAGAAGGCAAGCGGGCGCAUUAAAAGGGUUAUGAGAAACGAAAACAGUGAGCCAAAAAUCCAAAACUUUAUAAGAUUCUCCAUCACAUCUAAUCUUGCGGCACAUGCAUGAAACAUUAAAUAUAGAUAAAAAAGAUAACUAAUUGCACAGUUUAUCUGUAAAUCACGAGACGAAUCUUUUAAGCCUAGUUAAUCCAUGAUUGGAUAAUGUUUGUCAAAUAAAAACGAAAGUGCUAUAGUGUCAAAAUCCAAAAAAAAAUUGGAACUAAACAAGGCCUGGGAUUAUCUCAUAUUUCAUUUUUGCUAUAAUUUAUUCAAGGACACCCACGCAUACUGUUGGAUAUCUAGCGCAAAAACCAUCUCAACGCUGCAUGCAUCUUUUAUAACCACACAUAUGUUUCUUAGAAUUCGAUUUUAGUCUCAUAUAGGAGAUGCUUCUUUUGACCUUUUCUUAUCCCCCCUCUUAGCAAUAUGCCGGCCGGCCGUGUGGAUUGUAAUAUUAAAUACAAACCACUACUUCUCAUAAGACGUUUUGGGGUAAAGGGAUAAAUCCCAAAAGUCCUAAAAAAACUAAGAAACCAUCUAACCUUUAAUUUAAUAAACUCUAAUCGUCCUUACUUAUAAUUAAUUAUUUAAGAAAACUAACUACAUUUGUCAGUAUGUAUAUGUGGAGUAAGCCCCUAUAUUUACAUCUAAAUUGCCCACUUCGUCAUUAUGAAAGAUAAUUUUUGACCCCUAUUUUACUUAAAAUUAUUCAUGUAUGCAUUACAAAAAGCUAGCUAGACCCCUAAAUUUGCAUUACGAAAGCUAGUUAGAACACCAUUGAAAUUGCUUGCUCUAGGUUUACACCAAGUAUUAGUGAGAUUUGCAUACCUCUUACUUACUCAGUGCUUGCACGCACUAUUGUUGUACAUGAGAGGGGCUUAUAGUCUUUCGAGAUUAUAGCGACCACACUUAUGGUGUGGCUACAACCGUGUACCGGAGGGAACGAGGCCCGUUGCGAUUCAAUCGAAGCUUGAUAGUGAAAACGGCAGAAUAGGCCACUGAGAGAUCCACUUGUAAGUGAGGAAGCCUCCCCAAACAGGAGCUUUGCCCUUGGGAGGGGCUCCAAUGAGGAAUAAGGGGAAGCGAGGAUUGUGAAAGGUCCUAAUAUGGCUAGAGGGGGGGUAAAUAGCCUAUUUAAAAAUCUACAAAUCACUAGAGCCACAAGUUAGUAAAUAACAAACCGAAGCUUUUUGCUCUAGCUCUAAUUGAGGGUUGCAAGCCACCUAUCUAACAAUUCUAGUUGCUAUAGUCUCUAAGCUCAAUCAAAGACUAAGUCACUACUUACACUAGUGAGCUAUCUAAAAAUUCUAUACAAGAAAGUAAGCUAUAGUUUGCGUGAAUAUAAAAGAGUAGAAUGCAAACUUUUAUACCGCCGUGUAGAGGCAAGUGAACCAAUCAAUAUAAUGAAGACCAAUCACUAGGAGAAAUUCAAUCAAUCACAAGAGAUGUACACAAAGAUUUUUCUCCCGAGGUUCAUAUGCUUGUCGGCAUGCUAGUCCCUGUUGUGUCAACCAACACUCAGUGGUUCGGCGGCUAAGAGGUGUUGCACAAAUCUCGUCCACAGUAGGAGACUGCAAGAACCUACCCACAAGUGAGGUAGCUCAAUGACGCGCGCAAUCCACUAGAGUUACCUUUCGGCUCUCCAUCGCGAAAGGUACAAGACCCCUCACAAUCGUCGGGAGAUAGCCACGAACAAUCAUCAACUUAUGCCAAUACUCCUCCGCUGAUCCAAGCCACCUAGGUGACGACAACCACCAAGAGUAACAAAAAAACUGCAGCCACAAUGAUCUGCAAGUGUGACUAGAUGCAAUCACUCAAUCAAAUCCACUUGAAAUCACUCUCAAUCUCAAAAAGAUCAAAAAUCUAUGAAGGAGAGGAGUGGAAGGUGUUUUCUUAGACUCACAAGGAUGUCAAGUAUGUCAAAGUGCCAAGAGAGACACCCAAGAGCCAACCAACUAUUUAUAACCGUCCCCAAAGGAUAGUGUCGUUAUCCCCUAGGACAGUCGUCCUCUAUCAGGGGCGUCAGACGUGCCAAGGAAAGGCCAUCAGACGCUACCCAGCGUCCGAUGCUACCCUGACACCGCCGUUGGAAUGCUACCACAUAUCCUUAAUUAAACGUGAUCCGUUGAUUCCCAAUGGUCACCUAAACAUUGAAGUUCACAGUUAGGAGGCGUCGAACACGUCAUAUACUACGCAUCGGACGCGCGACCCUUACACCAGAUGCUAUUUAGAGAGUUUAGAAAAUGCUCGGGGGUGCGUCGGACGUGUCCAAUGGUGGUCCAUUGGAUGCAUGUCAGUGUUCAACGUGCACAGCUUGAAACAUGCUCGUGACAUAUGCUGACAUCACAAUGCACCGGUGAAGGGAUCAAGAUGCCUAAGAGAGGGGUGAAUUGGGCUUCUCUAAAAAUUUAAGCAACCUAUAAGCCUCAGUUCAACCCUUGUGCCUAUAUGUGUUCUAGAGAGCUACCAGAUAAAAGUUUUGCAACCUAGUUCCAAUCAUAUUCUAGCAUGAAAAUUCUAAGAAUGUAAAGUACUCAAAGUAAAUGCUAGAAUGUAAAGGAUGAGAGGAAGAGGAAUGCGGCGAUGUUUUGCCGAGGUAUCGGAGAGUCACCACUCUCCACUAGUCCUCAUUUGAGCACCUGUGGAACGGUCUUGCUCCCCCUUGGUCCGCGCAAGGACAAAGUCUCUCUAUGGGCUGAUUCCUUGACACUCUGUCAUGGUGAAUCGGCCACAAUCGUCGCUCACAAGCUUGACACGAGCCACCCACAAGACCUUCGGGUGAUCUUCGUGCCUCCAGUCACCACCGAACUAUCUAGGUAAUGGCGAUCACCAAGAGCAACAACCAAAGAACUCUCACUUGACCCAAACAAGGCACUAGAGAGUGGUGGAUGCAUACUUGAACUCGUGGAACUCAUUAGAGAAGGAUCUCUCAAGAAAUCACUCAAUUCUCAAUCCUCUCUAGGCUCUUGCUUCUCUCUUGCACCAUAAGAUGUUUCUCAGCUGAACAAAUGGGCAAGAGACCUCUCUUAGAUGAGGUGGAGGAGUAUAAAUACUCCCCAUCAAGUCCAGGGGUCGACCACUCGAAUUCAAUAGAAAACAAGUGCACCGAACUCACUUUAUGUUGCACCAGACACACUUGACAGAGUUUCCGCUGCAGCUCUAACGACUAGUUGCACUUUGCAAAACUGCUCGCACCGGAUGCUCUUCAACUGUCCAGUGUCCUCACUCAGGUCUCAUUCGGUGAGAAACCAGUUUUACAACCUCUCUUGGUAAGGGACCGAACGCACCCCGUAGGGUCCGGUGCGUGCGUCCGGUGCCUAACCCUAGGCACUUGGCGUGCUGGCUCAACUCCAGCAUACAUUUGACGCCCCAACAGUCACAUUGUUGCGUCCAGUGCUACUCCUCAACCAACACUUCAUCGAAUCGCAAACUUUCCAAAACAAAGUUUUAUACUCUUGAUCUAAGGACUUUCUCAGAGCUGCCUAGUGCUAGAUUUAUCAAGUGUGCACCACACCUAAACCUAAAGCCUUGUCUAGGUCAAGCUAUUCGUUCGAUGCCCCCCUUAAUAGUACGGUUAAAGGAAAAACAAAGUCCUAAACUACUCUAAGUGCCCUUCAACACCAAAUGGCACUUAGACCUAGUCUAGUCUUGACGAUGUCCAACAUUCCUUUAAAAACCAAAAACAAUUUCCACCAUUAAGUCGGCAUGAACAACUUAGUCCAUCGAUCACUAAUACCAUGACCUAACUCAAAUAAUUUUGCCCCUGUAAAACACACGUUAGUCAUAGUAAUCAACAUUGUCAUUAAUCACCAAAACUCAUUAGGGCCUAGAUGCUUUCAACCGGACGCUCAAACAAUGUUCUGGCCACGUCCGGUGCCUGGGCGUCGAAUGCGCCAAUGACCCACUAGAAACACGCAGAAAAGCCAACAUGCGUCGCACGCUUAGCCCAGUGUUCGAUGCUUCUAGAGUUAACGUUCGAUGAGUGUUUUUACAGUGAAAGACACUUCCAUGACUUCUCCAAACUAUCCUCUGUGGGGGUAUAAACCCCUAUACCCUUACGGCUGGACUUGGGCCAGGAGGCUUGGCCCAUUACGAGGCGAGUCCAAAGCUUGAUCCGACAACCUGGAGUCCCGCGCAAGGAAACAAGAUGUGGAGAUCAAGCAGGAUUCUGGUCGGUUAGAAUAGGAAUUGAUAUCGAAUUAUCCAUGGCAAUUGUAACCGACUAGGAUUAGUUUCCAGAUCUGUAACCCUGCCCUCCAGACUAUAUAAGGAGGGGCAAGGGACCCCCCUAGGACACAUGGUAUUCUCUCAACACAAAUCAAUACGACCAGACGCAGGACGUAGGUAUUACGCCAACUCGGCGGCCGAACCUGGAUAAAAAGCUUGUCCGUGUCUUGCGUCACCAUCGAGUUCGUAGUUUGCGCACCGUCUACCGAUAAACUACUACCGUGGGUAUACCCCAAGGUAGACUGCCGACUAGCUUUCGUCGACAGUGGCGCGCCAGGUAGGGGGUGUGCGUGCAACUUUUCCGGCGAACAAGAUGGUCACGAUCCCAGCUUCCGCGACCGUGCCCGAAGGCCUCACGUUCACCGUCGGCCAGAUCACGUGGACGACGUGCAGCGGCGGCUUCGCGACCGCGGUUCCGAAGGAGAUCCAGAUCCAAUCUGAGAUCACGCCGUCUCCGACCACACGCAUGACGGCACCAAGCGCCCGACCACCGUUCCCACUCUACAAGGGAAAGGAGAUCGACUGCUCGGACCUCCUCCAAGCGCUCGAUCGCACUGACUCCAAGCUACUCGAAGUCUCCCAACUAAUAGAUGGAGUUCUGCGCCGGCCCGACCAAGCUGCUCGAGCGGAUUUUUCGAAAUCCCGCCGGCCAACUCGUGUCGCCACACACGAACGGCUGGGAACGUCCCUGACGAUAACCUCAACCCCCUCAGGACGAUCCGUCGAGCUCAAGAAGGAAGACUAUCCUCGCGGCCUGAACAACUCGGCCUCUGUUUACUCACAGCAUGUCCAAUCCGUUUUCAGCAAGGCGGGUUGGUCGCCGACAAGGAACAAACGUCACCAUGUCAACAUGGUGACAAUCCGAGAGCUACGGGACGGCCAGGUUUCCAGCACCAACUCAAGCACCGGCUCCAUCCCCACCGAGGUUAUAAACACCGAAGACGAGGGCUACGACCUGGAUUUUCCUUCACACCCUCCGGGUUUCGACCGAUUCCCGAUAUUCCCCCCCGGCGAGGGGAUAUUGUGUUCAAUGUCAGCGCCGACGAACCGGCUGUUGACGGAGAAACAGAUGACCAGAGGCAACUCCGCGAACAGCGUAACGCCGAUCGCGCCCGACGGCGUGCGGACGAGCAACAACAGAUGCCACCAAGUAACCUCAACGAUGCCUUUGACAUGGUCGGGGACCAGCCAGUCUACAAAACGCCAAGCGCCAAUGUGGUUGUCGCCAUGGCCAACCUGGAUCGGCUUCCUGACACCCCCGAAUGCCAGGGAGUCCGGACCAGCAUCCGAGCACACCUGAUCGCCGCAAUGGGACAGACAGCCACUCUACUCAAGAGAGUCCAGGACGUCUCUUAUACGGAAGCCGCCUCCGACCAGACUAAUCGUAGCCAGGUCUCACCCAGCAGGCGUCACCGCAGCCGCUCCCCCGACAACCGUCGAGGGGACUCGCGGCGCGACGAUGGUGGUCGGGACGCCGAUGGCCGCCGCAAGCAAAUUCAUGGCAUACGCGGCCAAGAAGAAGAUCAACACAGGGAUCUCCGCCACAACAUCCCUCCCAAAGAUGCCCGGGACCGCAUCAACAGGCGCGCCGCAGAGAGAGCAGUCCACGAAAACCUGCGCCGCAUCGAGUACGAUGCGACCCACGGUCCUCCAGGCCUAAGACAGUUCUCCUCACACCUCCGCCAGGUCGUGUGGCCCCGCAAUUUCAAGCUCGAAAAACUUAAAAAAUACGACGGCAAGGAAAAUCCAGAGAACUGGAUCACUCUCUAUGAAAUCGCCGUCCGAUCAGCGGCAGGAGAUGAGCACGUCAUGGCUAACUACUUCCCCGUAGUCCUCGACCAGGCUGGUCAUCAGUGGCUUCUCGGCUUGCCCGAGGACUCCUUCGACUCUUGGGAAGAGCUACGCCAGGCUUUCAUCGACAACUUCAUCGCCACAUGCGAGCAGCCCGGAAACAAGUAUGACCUUGAAAGGAUAAGAGACAGGAAGAAUGAACCUCUGCGCGAUUACAUCCGACGAUUCUCGGAUAUGCGCCUCAAAAUCCCGAAGAUUUCUCAUGACGAGGCCAUAUCAGCCUUUAUCAAGGGCUGGCGUUUCCAUGAAGCGCUGAGGAACAAGCUGUUGCGUAAGCGCCCAUCAACGGUAGCAGAGCUCCUCGCCACGGCUAAAAAUUACGCCGAUGCUGAUGACGUAGAAAAACUAAUCCGAGACGAUGCGAGAGGCCCCGACCAGCCUUCCCGGCGAGAUGACGGUCGUGGUCGCUACGACAACAGAAAUCACCGCCGCUCUGACAACCGCGAUCACCGAGAGGGUUGGGAUCGGCGGCGCGACAGCCGCGACGACUUCAGAGGAAAGCGCCCUCGCGAAUACGACCACGAAGUAAAUACGGUCAAACGUCCCAAUGGACGACGGGACUACCAAGACGACUACAACAAAACGUUGAAGGGACCGUGCCAGCUACACCCAAAGUCUAACCAUACCAUGGAAGAGUGCCGCGUCCUCAAAAGUAUCUAUACACGGCGGGCCGCCCAAGAGGACUCCGCCAAGAAAAAUAACAAGCGCGACGGGCACGACCACGAAGAUGAGGAUGAGGACCAAGACAGGGACCCCCGACACCAAUACGUCAGCACCACCGACGUGGUCCACUCCAUUUUCGGGGGCAAGGUCUCCACUGAGUCCAAGCGAGAAAGAAAGCUGUUAAAGAGAGCCUGCCUCAACAUAGACAGCACGGACGGGCUGAUCGCAGAUCCGAAAUUUCCCGCGUGGUCCCACAGGGAGAUCUCGUUCAGCAGGAAGGACCAGUGGGCCGCUAUCCCAGAGCCGGGUCGUUUCCCACUGAUUCUUGAUCCCUGCAUCAAUAGCAUCAGAUUCGAGCGCGUGCUCGUGGACGGGGGAAGCUCCAUCGACAUCCUCUUCCGCAACAGCCUGCCCGCCCUCAAGAUAUCACCGGCACAACUAAAACCUUACGACGCCCAAUUCUGGGGGGUUUUGCCAGGUCAAAGUUCGGUGCCCCUCGGACAGAUAACAUUGCCUGUCCAAUUCGGCACACCCGAUCAUUUCCGGACGGAGUUCAUCAACUUCGUAGUCGCGGAUUUCGACGGGACCUAUCACGCCAUACUGGGCCGCCCAUCGCUGACAAAGUUCAUGGCAGUCCCGCACUACUCAUACCUAGUCCUUAAGAUGCCCACGGAGAAGGGUGUCCUAACCGUCAGAGGCAACGUCUACACCGCGUACACCUGCGAAGAAGAAAGCUUCAAGAUCACCGAGGCAAUCGACCUCUCAAUCCGCAUGGCGGAAACAGCAAACCAAGCCGCACAGCUGCCUCCCGAUCAGCUCCGAUUACCUGAGCAGGAGACAGCCAGAAAGAACUCGAAAUCCAAGGAAUACAAAGAAGUGCAGCUGGUCGAAGGCAACCCCGAGAAGACAGCCCUCAUCGGGGCUAACCUGGAUCCAAAAUAGGAAGACGCGCUCGUCAGGUUUCUAAGGGACAACGUGAGCGUUUUCGCAUGGAAACCCGCUGACAUGCCCGGUGUCCCACGAAACCUGAUCGAGCACUCCUUAAAUGUCUCGAAGACCGCAAGACCAAUCAAGCAAAAACUGCGACGGUUCGCUCGUGACAAAAAGGAGGCUAUUAGGACAGAAAUAACUCGACUUCUAGCAGCCGGAUUCAUAAAAGAAGUGUAUCACCCCGAUUGGCUCGCCAAUCCGGUUCUUGUACGCAAAAAGAAUAAUGAAUGGAGAAUGUGCGUUGAUUACACCGAUCUCAACAAACACUGUCCUAAAGAUCCUUUUGGUCUUCCUCGCAUCGACGAGGUGGUCGACUCAACGGCCGGAUGCGAACUACUCUCCUUUCUAGAUUGCUACUCUAGUUAUCACCAGAUCUCGCUAAAGGAAGAAGAUCAGAUCAAAACAUCCUUCAUCACACCCUUCGGCGCAUACUGCUACACUACCAUGUCUUUCGGACUUAAAAACGCCGGGGCCACUUAUCAAAGGGCCAUCCAGCAAUGCCUCCACGACGAGAUUCGCGAUGACCUCGUCGAGGCCUAUGUGGACGACGUGGUCGUAAAAACAAGGGACGCGAGCACCCUAAUCGACAACUUAGACCGAACCUUCAAGGCACUCAAUAGGUACAAGUGGAAGCUCAACCCCAAGAAAUGCAUUUUCGGCGUUCCUUCCGGUCUACUGCUCGGCAACGUCGUCAGUCGCGACGGCAUACGACCAAACCCUUCAAAAGUCAAAGCCGUACUCGACAUGCGACCACCGAAGAACGUCAAGGAUAUUCAGAAGCUAACCGGAUGCAUGGCCGCCCUCAGUCGUUUCAUCUCAAGGCUGGGAGAAAAAGGCCUCCCUUUCUUCAAACUAUUGAAAGCGUCAGAAAAAUUUUCUUGGACAGAGGAAGCCGACGCUGCGUUCACUCAGCUUAAGACCUUCCUCACUUCACCACCUGUCCUCACAGCGCCUCAGCCCAAUCAAGACCUACUCCUUUACAUUGCUGUAACCGACAGGGUUGUUUCCACGGCAAUAGUGGUCGAGCGAGAUGAACCAGGUCAUGUCUUCAAGGUCCAGAGACCCGUUUACUUCAUAAGCGAAGUCUUAAACGAGUCCAAGGCCAGGUACCCACAAAUACAGAAGCUUAUAUACGCCAUCCUGAUAACGUCAAGAAAGCUGAAGCACUACUUCGACGGCCAUCGAGUCCUGGUGACAACCAGUUUUCCUCUCGGGGACAUCCUGCGCAAUAAAGACGCCAAUGGCAGAAUCGUGAAAUGGGCAAUGGAAUUAUGUCCAUUUUCCCUGGAGUUCCAGAGUCGCACCACUGUCAAGUCUCAAGCCCUGGUCGAUUUCAUUGCCGAAUGGACGGAUCUCAACGAGCCUUCCGUUCCCGAUGUCUCAGACCACUGGUCAAUGUUCUUUGACGGGUCCUUGAACAUCAACGGUGCAGGCGCUGGGAUAUUGUUCGUAUCACCCAACAAGGACAAACUCCGUUACGUCCUUCGGAUCCUUUUUCCGGCGUCAAACAACGUCGCCGAAUACGAAGCAUGCUUGCAUGGCAUACGACUAGCCGUUGAACUGGGGGUCAAGCGCCUCUACGUCCAUGGCGACUCCGCUUUGGUCAUCAACCAGCUCAACAAGGAGUGGGACACAACCCACGAGAAGAUGGAUCUCUACUGCAAAGAAAUUCGCAAAUGGGAAACUAACUUCUAUGGCAUAGAGUACAUCCACGUGGUCCGGGAUAAGAACCAAGCAGCAGAUGCGUUGUCAAAGUUAGGCUCAUCGUGGGCCCAAAUCCCGCGGGGUAUUUUCGUCCAGGACAUCCAUGAGCCGAGCGUAAGCUCCCCCCUGGUCGACAAGCAACCCACCGAGGCAAUGCUCAUAGAUGACGCCACUCCGACAACCGGCGGGCGUGACUGGCGUACCCCGUUCAUCAAAUACAUAUCAGACGGGACAGGCUUUCAGGACAAAACAGAGAACGAGCGCCUCAUCCGACGAUCAAAGAACUACAUCCUGGUCGACGGAAAACUCAUGCGGAAAAACGCAAGCUCCGAAGUACUGCUCAAGUGCAUACCCCAAGAUGAUGGUAUCAAGCUCUUGGAGGACAUACACGCUGGAUCCUGCGGCAAUCACGCCGCAUCUAGAACGCUGGUCGGAAAGGCUUUCCGAGCAGGUUUUUAUUGGCCAACCGCGGUCGGCGACGCAGAAAAACUGGUUCGGCAUUGCGAAGGAUGUCAGUUUUUCGCUAGGAGGACCCACGUACCUGCUCAUGAAAUUCAAACCAUCCCGUCGUCUUGGCCCUUUGCUUGCUGGGGGCUUGACAUGAUCGGACCAUUUAAACCAGCCCCGGGCAAUUUCAAGUUUGUCUUCGUGUUAAUCGACAAGUUCUCCAAGUGGAUUGAAUACAUGCCCCUGGUCAAGGCAACCUCCGAGAAGGCUGUGGAGUUUCUCAAUCAAAUCAUACACAGAUUCGGCAUCCCGAACAGCAUAAUCACCGACCUGGGCACCCAGUUUACUGGCACCACUUUUUGGGAUUUCUGCGAUGACAGAGGCAUAGUCAUAAAAUAUGUGUCAGUGGCACAUCCACGUGCCAACGGUCAAGUCGAACGUGCUAACGGAAUGAUCGUUGACGCCCUAAAGAAAAGGCUGUACACCGAAAACGACAAAGCACCCGGUCGAUGGAUGAAAGAAUUGCCGGCAGUGGCCUGGGGCCUCCGAACUCAGACCAGUCGAAACACAGGGGUGUCUCCCUACUUCAUGGUAUACGGUGCAGAGGCGGUCCUGCCGUCUGACAUACACUUCGGAUCCCCUAGAAUCGAGCACUUCAACCAGGCGACCGCCGACAACGCCAGAGAACUCGAAAUCAAUUGCAUGGAGGAAAAGCGUUUAGUUUCAUGUCUCCGAACAGCAAAAUAUCUCGCGGCAGUCAGGCGAUACUACAACAGGAACGUCAAGGACCGUUCCUUCGUGGUCGGCGAUCUGGUGCUUCGAUGGAAAACAAGCCAGGAGGGAAUGCACAAGCUAUCCACUCCCUGGGAAGGACCCUUCGUGGUGACCGAGGUCACACGACCUACGUCCUACAGUUUGGCAUACCCAGACGGAACACGAGUGCCUAACUCUUGGCACAUCGACAAACUGCGACGUUUCUAUCCAGAAAGUUUUAAUGACUUUCUUUUGUAAGUAUCUUAUAAUUUUUUGAUAAUGAAAUUCUCUAUUUUUGCCUAUACCUUGUCACACACAGCACUCGGCAAAACUCCUGCAACGGAUGCCCUUAGCGACAACCAAGACAAAUACGGUGACACGUCACUCAGAUAUUUUUACAGCGCUCAAAACAACAGUCAUGACAAAAAGUAAACUUUAUUACAAACUUUACAUACAAAGUUUACAAUAAAUACCCUGACGGGCAGACACUAGUCUAUUCCUACAGACUACUUUAUUGGCCUAGCUGCUCGGGCUGAUCACCCGCCUGGCCCUGCUGCCCGGACGAAGGGGUCGGGGCCACCGGCGCCUGGCUGGUCGAGACCGCAGGCGUCGACCGCCCAUCUCCAGCAACGGACGCGCCCGACAACUCCCUGGCCGACCUAUCUGAGCUCGGCUGGUCUGGAGGAGUGGCCGUUCCGCACAGAUUGAUGUCGCCGAUCACUGUCGACGACAAGUCCAGCAGACUACUCCGAAGCUCGUCCGCGUCCUGCGGGCCGACUUCCUUCGGGUACCCCUUCUCCAGCCUGCUCAAGUCGACCAGGGGGUAGUGGGCGCGCACCAUGCUGAGGACGUGCGCGCCGGCAAACUCCCCGGCGUCCUUCACAAACUGCUGGAGCCAGUCCCACGCCCGUUGCGCCUUCUCGACCGGGGUCAACUGCGGCGCGCGGGGCUGGCUCUCCGGGAGCUCGGGACUGAUCAGGUCUAGGACCGGGGACACUCCUUUCCAGAUCCUGCAACAGUUGACCUUCCAGGAGUCCCGGUCCUUGGUCAGAUCGUCCAGGUGCUUUUUGGCGUUCACCUUGAGCACUGCAAACGAAACGAAGCGUUAUUUUCGGCAUAAAAAAGGGGCAGGCAGUAACCAACAAGGCGGCAACCAUUACCAAAUAGCUCCCGAUCUUUUCGACCCAACUCCUCUCCUGCUCGCCGCCCGGACUCCAGCGCACCGACGAGCUGUUGGCUGAGCUGCUCCUUCUCUUGUUGGAGGCUCGCCACCUCCUCCUCCAAGUCUGCGUGAAUCCUAAACUGGUCAGCAAAGCAAACUAUACAAGUACGCGAAGCUGCUCGGAGCGUGUGACUAACCUUCUUGCAGCCGGUACUGGUCGGCUAAACGACGAGCGAGGUCGAGACGACGCUCCUUUUCGGCACUCAUCUCGACCACCUUCUCCCCGACCUCCGCCCGCAACCGGUCUACCUCCGCGGCAAGGGCCUUGUUCUCGGCCAUGACGCCUUCUAUCUGGUCAAAGCACCGUUUCCGGUACUUCGCCGUUUUCAUUGCGUCCUACAAAGCAAGCAUAUAACGACCAUGCAAGACAAGGCAAAAGAAUGUGCAGCAGUGCAAAAAGCCGCUUACCUUGACUUCGUCGACGAGGCGCUUGGCCGCGCGCUCCACCCUGGCGGCCUCUUCGGUCUCGGCGAGCUCCUCAUGCCCGAUAAAGUGAUCCCCGCGUUGGCGCCACACAUACACGUGUUGGCGGCCAUCACGGGGACGACCCUCGAUCUCUUCCACCUCAUCAUCGGAGGCCGCCCGGGUUUCCUCCUCCUGUGCUGCGUCACCCCCGGUGGUGGUCCCAGGUAUUACUGGCCCUUGGACCAGACCUGGGGACCCCGCAGCAGAGGAGGCUCCUGCUCGGGGCGGCGUGGGGACUUCACUCCCCCCGGCAGGAGGAGCGGUCGGAGAUCUUCCCUUCUCUGAGGAGUCAGUUGGGGGAGCCUCUCCAGCCCUGGUCGGGCUACUUGUCGUAGUCGGUGCCGCUCUCGGGAGCCCCUCGGUGCUCCCAGGCGCGACUGCAGCUGUUGGCUGCUCUGUGGUCUGGGGGGCCGCAUCCCCAGAACCGCGGGCAGGCUCGCCCGUCCCUUGGCUGGCAACCUGGCCGGGGUCGACAUCCGACGCCGCACUACAGGAACAAAAGUCAAAUUUCAAAAAAAAAAAAUCAAAGAGGAGUCCAAAAAUACGUAAGUCGAACACUUACAGGUCUGAUCGACGGUGGGUGGCGGUGAACCUCCUCCUCGCCCGGCCGGUCGGCACCUGCGCCCCCGUCUCGACAACUUGCGGUGCAGGGGCGUCGCUGGCCACUCGAUUAGUAGCGGCCGGCGCAUUAUCUGGGCGACCCCGGGGCCGUCGGACCAACGACGGCGCAGCCUCCUCGUCGUCGUCGUCGUCGUCAACGAUCCGCACGAGCCGACGACGCUUCGGUGCUUGGCUGCUCUCCGCCGGAAGAUCCGCCGGCAAAGGAUCUGCCGGCAAUGGCCUCUUCCCCGCUACCCUCCCCUCGGAGGUCGGGAUGGGGCGGGCUUGGUCCUCUUCACUGCUGGUGUAAUGAGUACACCGAGCAGCGUCCUCCUCUGGCGGGUCUUCUCCCGCAGGAUUUUCCAUCCCCGGUGCCAGUGAUACAUACACUGUGCACCGGUCGACACCGCCGAUCUGCAAAAGCAACAGAGAUGAGUCAACUGCCGACGAUAUACGAAUGCUAAAACAGAAUCUGCUACAUACCUUUGGUGCUGGUCGUCCUAACUUGAAGGCUUGCACCCGAUCACUGCCACGGAUGAAGCCUCCGUCCGCGAAGUUAAACAGCUCGUUCAACAGCUGUUGUACCUCCGCUUUCUCCAAGAUCUCCGACCGCAUCCUGGUCGGGUCUGCGCUUCCGGCAUACUCGUACGCCGAGUGCACCCUCUUCUGGCAGGGCAUCACCCGGCGGCAAAUGAAGUUGCCGACCACGCCAAGCCCGUCCAGGCGCGACCAGUCGAUCAGCUUCAUGAGAUCCGCCACUGGACCGUCGAACUCCGGGCGGUCGGUCCAGCUCGUCCUCUUCUCAGGAAUGUAUCCCACGUCGCAGAACAUGGAGCUGCCCGGUUCCUCCCUGAUGUAGAACCACUUCCUGUACCAUUCGGUCAAGGAAGUGUUCCAUGGACAGUGCAGGUAGCGAUUCUUCAUUCCAUCACGAAGGUUGAGGUAUACUCCACCUGCAACCUUGGAGCCUCCAACUGCUCCCUUCUUCCUCAAGCAGAAAAGAUACCGGAAAAGAUCGAAGUGCGGCUCUAUGCCAACAUAGGCCUCGCACAGGUGGAUAAAGGUGGAAAUGAGGAGAAUUGAGUUCGGGUGCAGAUUGCAAAUCCCGAUCUCGUAAUACAAAAGAAGACCUUGAGGAAAAGGAUGAACAGGAACACCAAAACCCCUCUUAAUGAAAUCUUCAAAUACGACGAUCUCACCGGCACGAGGGUCGGGGUAGCUCUCCCCUUCCGGUGCCCUCCAGCCGCCGAGCUCCGGGCCGUGCAGAAGCCCCAUAUCGACGAGGUCACCAAGAGAUUUUGUGGUGCUGCGAGACUUCUUCCACUCCUUGGCCAUCAGUUCGGCCCUCUUCCUGGAGUCGCUCUUCGCCAUUAGAGGUGCGAAUGUGGGCUUGAGUUAGGAAGAUGCAGGAGAUUGGAGAAGAUGAGAGCGGAAGGUUUGAAGGCAAUGGCAGGGUAAGCGGUACAGGCGGACCUAUUAGGCUCUUAUCAGCCCGCAACUCCACCUCUCCCACUUCCUGUAUUCUCGGGAAGUGGGCAGGCCAUGCGGCGGACGCGGCGUUUCGGUUUACAAUGAUUAUAGACAAUUAAUGCGGCGGAUUUUUCGUACCAAUUGAUGGUUUCCUUUACUCAAACCAUGCAAAGGCGGUUGCACAAGUUGCCAGGCGCAACUUUUCAUGCAUCCGUCUGACACCCCGUCAGGAGGCCUCGUCACGUCAAUUUUAACUGGGAAGAUCUUUUCAAAAAAACAAGACGAUACAUACGCCAGAAAGUCAACAAUCCGGGGACUGCACCGACCAUCGGGCAUUCGACGCUCGGGGACUGGUCGCCCAGUCUAUCAGCUCGGAAUUUCAAUGACUGCGCCGACCACCGAGCACUCGACGCUCGGGGACUAGUCGUCCAGUCUAUCAACUCGGAACUUCAAGGACUGCGCCGACCACCGAGCACUCGACGCUCGGGGACUAGUCGUCCAGUCUAUCAGCUGGAAGCUUUAAAGGACUGCACCGACCACCGAGCACUCGACGCCCGGGGACUGGUCGCCCAGUCUAUCAGCUAGACGCUUUAAAAAACUGCACCGACCACCGAGCACUCGAUGCUCGGGGACUGGUCGUACAGUACAGCGACACAGGAUUCUAAAAAACACUUGGUGCUUGGUGACUGGUCGAUUAAUCUAUUCAAUUGCAGUCAGACUGGUAAAUUCCACUUUUUAGACCUCGCUACAAGGCUCAUACUUCGCCUUCCAGCAAGCUCGGGGACUACAUCGGUACGAUGCAUCUGGCGAUGCAUCUCAGUUACAGAAUUUCUUUGAGGACUUUUAUUUUGACCCUGGCACCACGUGCCUACGUCACCUACUACCAGGCUCGGGGACUAAGUGGGCACACUUCACCUUGCGGUGAAUAUGCUUGCUUUUUUGAGGUCUAUACCUUUCAAAAAAGUAAAGUGGGCACACUUCACCAGGAAAGAAAUCUUUUUUGAUUUAGAGCACCAUGCAUUCUUCGAACAACCUGCUUCUUUGAACCUGCUUCUUCAAUGUCAAUGUUGAUCAACUGUCUUUUGAGUUGGUCAAAAUACCGUUGCAACUGUUCGGGCAACUUUCCUGAAGACGUCAAGCCUCACUGAUCGAAGAAGCUCAAGACGGCGUGUUACACCAUAAUACAUGGUGCUCGGGGACUAGCUGUGGGGGUAUAAACCCCUAUACCCUUACGGCUGGACUUGGGCCAGGAGGCUUGGCCCAUUACGAGGCGAGUCCAAAGCUUGAUCCGACAACCUGGAGUCCCGCGCAAGGAAACAAGAUGUGGAGAUCAAGCAGGAUUCUGGUCGGUUAGAAUAGGAAUUGAUAUCGAAUUAUCCAUGGCAAUUGUAACCGACUAGGAUUAGUUUCCAGAUCUGUAACCCUGCCCUCCAGACUAUAUAAGGAGGGGCAAGGGACCCCCCUAGGACACAUGAUAUUCUCUCAACACAAAUCAAUACGACCAGACGCAGGACGUAGGUAUUACGCCAACUCGGCGGCCGAACCUGGAUAAAAAGCUUGUCCGUGUCUUGCGUCACCAUCGAGUUCGUAGUUUGCGCACCGUCUACCGAUAAACUACUACCGUGGGUAUACCCCAAGGUAGACUGCCGACUAGCUUUCGUCGACAUCCUCCAAUGCAAUAGAGAAUAUGUAGUUUAUUUUUUUUUCAAAAAGCGCCGAACCCUUCUUCGCAAUAGAGAGAGAAAACCAAACCCCUCUCCACCUAUUCAACCCUUGCUCAAAUAUUCUAACCACCAAGUGUAUCACCUCGUGCAUGUGUGUUUGCAUAUUUUCACAAACAUUUCCAAGGGUUAAGUUAGCACACUAGGUUCUAAAUGUGUCGGUGUUUUUUCCCCGGGGGGGGGGUUCACACCAACGAGUAAAUUUAUAUGCGUGCUCCCCUUUCCGGAUGGUGAUGCAAGAAGACACAGAGAUUUAUCCUGGUUCGGGCAAGAGAAGGCCCUACGUCCAGCGGGGGGAGAGAGUUUGUAUUAUCUCGCACCUAAGUGCUUGUACAGGGGCGAAUACAAGCGUGGAAUGAAAUGUGUCGCUCUACCACGUGUGUGUGUGUGUGUGUGCUUGUGUUGUGAUGAUCCCCUCUUCUAUUCCUGAGUCCCUCCUUUUAUAGCUCCAAGGAGAGACACAGGGUACAUGCAUAGAUGUUAGAGUAGGGAUCGAUAGCCGCAUGGAGCGCUGACCUACUCGAGGCUUCCGUACGGCAUGGCCUCGAGCCGUCCCAUCUUGAUAGCUUGGUGAUGAUUACGCGUGCUCCCUCGUGCUGCCCUGCCAGCCGCCUUGUGCUAGUUCUGAGGUCGCACGCUCGUAGGGUAUGGUGGCGGAUCCGGCGGAGUAGCUGUGGCGUUGUCAGUCGACGCCCGACUUGUCCCUGGGAAGGGACCUUGUUUGGUCGAGGGUCGGGCGCCGCGUAUUACGCCGAUAUCUGGAGCGCUGACCUUGGGUGUCUCGAGGGGGUCCCGAUUAGACGUUCCAUCCUUGUUUCCUGUGUCCUGACUCGCCCUGGGUCGUUCGGUGGGAAGGCUGCAAAAGGAACGAUGGGACAGAAGCUUGCUCCCUAUCACGCCCUCCGUGGCCUGUGUGUUAGGUGGGGAAGCGUCAGGUGCAUUUAAUGCUUCGGCUCGCGUGCGCGCGUCGGGCGGCGGACAGUGUCCUCACGCCUGGCACCUCUCAGUUCGCUCGAGCUCGCUUCCGUCAUCGAGGGCAGUCGUCGUUCGAGUCCUGAACCGAUUCGCUCGAGACUAUUUCCGUCUUCGAGGCUGCGACUGUCGAUGGCGGCACGUGCGUAAGAUGAGAGCGUCGAAUUAAGGGUCUCGACCUUCGUACGGGCAAUCUCAUAAUGCGCCUUACUGAGGGUACCCCUAACCGAUACCCUCGACAAAAUGCAUGCACAUAAACAAUGUCACCUAGUGGCACUCGAUAGACCGCUUAGCCAAAGAAUUCCUCUUUUUAUAGUACGACUAUUUAUCCUAACUAUGAUAACACUCUCUAUGGUAUCUUGAUCACCAAAACUAAAAUCCUAAGCAAUUCCUAUGCCUUGAUAUCCAUAAAGUUUUGCUUUUUCUCUUUCUUGUUUCCAAGUUGUGCACUUGAUCAUCUUGUGGCCAUCACCACCAUCACCAUAAUCAUCUCUUGCUCCAUCACUUGACAUGUACCAACCUCAUCUAAUCUAUACACACUUAGCGUAGCGGUUAGUACUUUGGAUUUCAUCAAUUAUCCAAAACCAAACUAGGGCUUUCAAGCGUAUGGGAAGGAAGAUGAGGAUAGGGAUUCGACAGAAUGGUUGGGCGGGUUAGCUAGGGUUUAGGGAAUUUUGUUAUGUCCUGUGUGCGACCCACAAGGGUGGCCUUUUGGUGUGCGUUGCCAAUUUUUCGCGUGAAGAGCAUGGAUGGGGAGGAAAGAAAUUAGCUCCUGACGGCAAGGUGAAAUCUCAUGUUUGGUUUUGAUAAUUGAUGAUAUCCAAUGUUGCUAAUGCUUUGCUCUAAGUGUGACUAGACACAUAGCAACAUGAUGAUGAUGCCUACGGCUCGGUGAUGGACUUAGACAUGGUGAUGAUCAAGCAUCGAGGCUCAAGGCCAAGGUAUAAAGAGAUAGGUGUUUUCCCUUUUGGUGAUCGAGACACUAUAGAGAGUGUGAUCAUGUUUAGGAUCGAUAACCGACUAUCAAGAUGGGAAUUCAUUGUUGAAUUUGCGGUCCAAGUGCCUCUAUUUUGACUUUGCAUGAUGCAUAUGAGAGACUAACUAGAAAGCUAACCCUUGCCCUUGUUCAUCAUGUUGUAAUGCUAACUCAUGUGGUUAAGAGUGUUCUACAUGUUGGAGUUGGCACCUAAGGCAAGUGGUUCGAGUUGGAUCGACGACGGCGUGAGGAAACGACGAAGUUAGCCUUUGUUUCGCUAGACAGACGCUGGUCGGGUGUCCGAUGGUCGCCAGACGCGACACAGAGAAGGCCACAAAUUGGAAGCAUCACGAGACGCUGGCCACGAGGGCCAGAACGGUCUGGCGCAUGCAAGAGAGCUGCGGACUGCGGUUUCACCAGACGCGCGCGCGACGGACGCACAGUUGGUACUGUGCAACAUCCGGCGCAUGCAAGUGUUGUCAGUUGUGGACUCGAGCUAGAUGAGAAGGAUGGACGCUGGAUCGUGCGUCCAGCGGUCACUAGACGCUACUCAGAGAGGAUUGGUCGUGGGCCGAGCCGCCGGACACGGCACAGGAGGCGACGGACGCUGACGUGUCAUAGGAUUCAAAUGUAACGAUCGUCUACUAGGGAGUCCGACGCAUGCAUCAAACGCGUCCGGUGUGUGUUCCGAAACAUGUUUUGAAUGAAGAAUCCAAUGGCUAGUUUGCGAAAACGGCGCCGGACGCGUCCGUCUCUUGUAACUCGGCCGCCCGAAGUGCAUAAUGGUUGGGAAGUAGGGGCUAUAAAUAGAUGGUUGGUCGGUUGGGGAGCUACCUCUUGCCCAUUCUAACUUCUUUGAGCAUCCUUUGAGCUAGAGAGACUCCUCCCCACUCAUCUUUUGACUUGAUUGAGCAUUGUUGACUGAGAUUGAGUGAGAAUCAAGUGCUAGCAUUGAAAGUUGCAUCUAGAGGCACUUGUUUUUCGAUUUCGCUACGAAGUUCUUGUCACUCUUGGGUGAUUCCUGUCACCCUAGACGGUUUGGAGCAGUGGGUGGUGUUGAGCUCGAGUGAAGAUUGUUCGAGGCCACACCGGUGAUCUUGUGAGAGGUUCUUGAUCCUUCUCCGCGGGAGAUUCGCGAAAGGAUACUCUAGGGAUUGUGCGUGGCUUGGAGGAUCCUUGUUUUGUGUUGAGAGUGCUGCUCCCGGCUGCGGUAUUUGGCAUUGAGAGCCAAUUGAGCGAGCAUCUCUCCAAGCAAGUGUAUCACCACAAUGAGAACUAGCUUGCCGGGAAACAAGUGAACCUCGGUAAAAAAAAUCAUUGUGUCAAUAUUGUGAUUGCCGAGGAUUCUCUUGUGUGGUUAUCUUGAUUGGGUGAUUGGCCGUCUAUGCUUCACGUCGGUAUAACAAUCCAACCCCCUCUCUUGUAUCUAGCUUUACUUUUUUGUUAUUACAUUACUUGUCUUGCUAGAUAUUGAGUAGAACUUGCUAGCUUGUGUAGCUCUUACUUGUUCUUUUUAUUGCCCGUGCUAGUUUAGUGAAGUGCCUAGGGUUUUCUUGUUUAGAAUUGCUAGGCUAGUUGUUGAUAGGGUGUUAGUUGUUUAGCCUAUUUGCUAGACUUGUUAGAAAGGCUUGCAUGGAAGUAAUUGAAGCUCUAGCAUUGCAAUUACACUAUCUCUUAGUCUAACAAGUGGUCUUGUGUUUUUCCAAGAUAUUUUAUUAGGCUAUUCACCCCCUCUAGCCUUUUGGACCUUACACAAGGGAACCGAUAGGAAAUAUCUCUCCUGACAGUUUCUAGAGACUGGCACGUUUCUUUGGUUUAUUCCUGAUGGUUUCCUUAUUUACUGUCGGCCCGAAGCAACUGACAGGAAUGUUUCAAGUCUUUGCUAUCGGUUUUGUUGCACCGACAUGAGUCUUUACAUAUUAUUGUCGGUUUAUUAAAAACCGUAAGUAAAGUUAAGAACCGUCAUGAAUUAUCCUGAGUUUGGUAGUGUAUUUCUAAUUGGUUAGCAUGUCGUGCACUAUCAGGAGUCCGUGCCAUCUAGGUCAUCUAUCCUUCCCUGUCCUCCUAGACCACCCUAAAAACAUUUUGUCUCCUGGUAAGCCUCGUCUCUAGUAUUGUAGGAUGUAGCUAAUUCACUACGGUAUAAUUUUUAAAUCAAACCCUACGUGCAGUGACCUGACUAGCUAUACCACACAAUACUACAGAAGUGUUGAUUUUGAUCACUCUUAUGCCAAUGUCCUCGUUCCUAUCUCCAUAUAAGGAGAAUGGCAUUCCAAAACCAUCCUUGAAGCCCUAGUGACACUGAGCCUGUGGAGGACGAAUGGUGUCAAGCACUUGACAAUUCGUGUAAGGAGGAGAUGAUGGGAAGUAAGACACCUCCUCUAUUGCAAAUUUUAAGUUAUUUAGAUUUUUCUAGAUAUAUAAUUUUUACUUUAUGUUUAGACAUAAUAUAUAUUAGGUCCGUAGCAAAAACUAUAUAUCUAGAAAAGGUAAAAACAACUUACAAUUUAAAAUGGAGUGAGUACAUCAAAGCCCAAAACAAUGUUGUUCGACCUACACUUUCAUUCAGAAAAAAAAACGUACGCCAGCAUAGUCCAUAUAACGUAUGGGUCCGACAUGUGUCAACUGUGCACACAACACGUGCGCAUCUUCUCAUCAAGGCUAGCUACCACAUCAGUGACACGUCGAAAACUGCCACACCCACUGAGAGCAAAGUUGAUUUCCAUUUCUCCCUUUCCUUUCCGGUUGCUGAACUUUCUUUUCUUUGCACAUGCCCCCACAAAAAAAAGUAUUUUGCAUAUAUAUAUAUAUAUAUGUGUAAUAUGCACCCACACAAAAAGAAAAUAUAUGCAUGCCCAUGUGUCAAUAACCUAAGACGUCUACGUGCAGGACGCUUAGUAUCUUGACGUACUACGUCGUCGCUAGCUACCGGCGAAACUUUUUCAAAGCGUGUUGAAGGCCAUGACGAAACUAUAGCUAGACCCGAGCGCGCCAACAACGACAAGCGCCGAGCUUACGUCGGCUUUCUCGGACGUUUUCCCGGCCAGCAGUAGCAGUAGUGUCACACGGCUGCACUGCACUGCAUGCCUCGCGAACGUUUGGCCUCGAUCGAUGGCUUUCUUUGGACAUUUUCGAAGAGGCUUUCUCCAUGUUCGACUGGAAACUGUUGCCUAUAGCCUGUACAUUGAUUGUUCCAGCUCUUACACGUACGUACGUCAUGGUUGUCUGCUGUUCAAAUUUGCCAGUCUUUCCAACUAAUUAAUUAAUAUAAUAUAUACAUGAGAGUGGGUAGUUGAUGAGUUGGGGUUCAAAUGAACCGAAGAGGAAAAAUAGUUUCCCGGCUGAAAAUUUAACAUCCUAAUAACUGGCCACUUAUAUUAGAUGGAAUGACCUACUUGAUCGAUAAAAUGGAAAUAAAGAGAAAAAAGGCCUACCAAAAUUAGUUCUUGGGAGGAUGGAUGAGCGUGUACAUGCAAUGUACUACUAUGUACUGCUGUGCAAUAAUACAAGUUACAACUGCGCGUGGUUGUCGUUGUCAUGCAUCAGGAAUGCAUGUCAAAUGCAUCAAACUAGCAUAUAUAAUACGAGUUACAACUCUCAGGUAAUUUAAAUGUAUAAUAAGAUAGAAUAAGGACACUAAGUUUACUUGAUGUAAUGUGCUGAGAUCGAUCCUACAUCUCGUCUUGCAUUUCUAUUGCUUGUGUAUCCUUUUGCAUUGUUAGAUGAUAUCUAAUACACGCGGUUCCCGUAUAUCUUUUGGUAGUACCUAGCCCAAGCAAACAGCUAACAGGCCGGGCAUCCUAUGUGCACAAGAGGAUAGAUAGAGCUUGAGUGUCAACUAGUGAUAGCGUCAUAUAUAUUAUUAAUUCCUUCACGCAGAUGUUGUUUUGACAAAAAGAGUAGUGUAAAAAAAUAAUUAGCUGGAUCAUCAAGAAAUAAUUAAUAGUGUGGGUACUGCUAACAAUUAAUAUUACAAAACGAAAAUUUUCCACUUUAUUUGUGCCACUUGUGCAACUAGCAGGUAGGAAUUUUAUACAUAAUUAUUAGUAGGAUAUAUAAUUUCAAAUAGGAAAUUAGUGCAUAUAAGUUUUGUAUAUGAUUACACAGGAAAUUGCAUCGCUCACUACGCGUGAUUUGGUUGGAUAUACCAACAGUGUAGGUAUAUGCUAAUCAUAGCCACACAAGCAAGUGAACUUUAUACGUGUACUCGAAACGGACAACAAUAUCGUUAGAACGUAUUUUGUACUAUAUAGGGUAUAACUUGGUGUCUACGCAAUAUACUUCCUCAGUAUGUUUGCUACUCUCGCCAAAAUAGCUCUUGUUAGCACUACUCUCACAUGUAGAACACGAUAUAUGGUAACAUCUUAGAAGUAAUAAUGAUGUGAGUCAUCAUAGAUACAAAAUUUGUACACGUGCAAACAAAUACUAACAAAAAGGUCUGUUGGAUCUAACAGAAAUUAGGUAGUAUUUGUCCGAUGCAUUAGCAAGACUAUACGAAAACACAGUCACACGCAUGUCAAUGCAUGCUUGCAACCUACAAACAUCUAAGAAACCAUAACAACCUUGUGAAAAUGCACGCUUGCAAGCCAUAUAAACUUCUAAAAAGCCAAAACAACCCGGGGGAAAAGUUUUUGCGGGUGUGCCCCGUGUGUGAUGGCGAGAGGUAAGCCCCACGCACGCAGUCGGUGGACCCAAUCCUCAGACGCUUCACGACACCGCUUUGCCUGCGUGAGCAUGCCCCCCGCUCCCAUCCGCUGUACCCCCCUCUCUCUCUCUCUCUCAUACUCCGAGUUGUAUAUAAAAAUACUCCCCUCUCCUGUAUAUUUUCCCGGUGUGCACAGAUAGGCUUUGGAAGGGGGCGCAAGGAGAAAUUCCAGAAAUUGAUUUAUAGUGGGGCAUAUAAGAGUGUGGGAGAGGAAAGCAGCAGGAGAGAAGAGAAGAGAGAGAAGGAAAAGUAUGACAAGGAAAUGAGAGAAAUGGGAGAACAGCCUUCUUCUUAGCCCCUCCUCUCUCCACCACCACUGCUAUCUCUCCUCAGUAGCAGCAAUAGCAAGCAAGAGGAGAGGAGCAAAGCUAGCUGCAGUACCAGGGAGAGUGAGGUACAGAGAAGAAACAAACUCACUCGAAUUCUUUUUUCCUGUUAAAAAUAUAUUUAUAUAUCUGCCUCACUGUAUGUUUGUGUCAUCAUAUACGAGAGUAGUCUGCGGGGGUGUGGGUGUUUGCGAGCUUUUGUUGUUUUGCUUUUUUACUUGUUUUGAGUGCAACUGUUUGUUUGGAUUUCCCUGUCCACUUUGUUCUUUUGUUAAUCUCGGAAGAGUCCUAAGCGGCCGAUGCCUUGGAGUUUUUCUCGGCUGCCUGUCGAUUUGUUUCUUGUUUCAGAUCAAUUCCAAUCCAAGCACAUACAUAUGAGAAAGGUCUAGCCAUCAGGAAUUUUGGGGCCUCCUUCUCUCCUCUCCUUUCGGUAGUUUUUGUCUCCUUGGUUCUGUCGGGCUCCUCGCUCCUCGAUUUGUCUCCGGAUCGGAGGAACAGGCAGCGAAAUCUGUCUCGUCUCGCUCCCAUGGUCGUCGGCGUCGCUCGCAUGCUGUGUGUGUCUUUAAUUUCUUGGAGAUAUAUGCCGUUGUUGAUUGCCAUGUCAUCGGUCUCACUUGGAAAGUCUCUUGCUUUGUUUCAGCGAAGAAGGAGGGGGAAGGACGAAGAGCACUGCCGCCAAUCCUAUUCCUAGCAACGGGCCAAAGCGACCGGCAGGAAGGAGAAGCAGUGUCGUUGGCGUGCUGGAGCUGGUGGUGCCUGCAGGAUAAAUCGGGAGGCGGCGGCGGUAGUGAUGGCAUCGAAUUCAUCGGCGGCGGCGUUCUUUGGCGUUAGGGAUGGGGACCAGCAAGACCAGAUUAAGCCGCUGAUAUCACCGCAGCAGCAGCUGGCAGCGGCGCUGCCCGGCGUGGCAGGCGCUGUGCCUGCGGCGUCCGGCCAAGGCGCGCCGACCGCGGCGGCGCCGCAGCCACCGCCCAAGAAGAAGAGGACUAUGCCCGGUAAUUCACGCAACCCAAGUACCCCCCCUUUCUGAUUCCAGUCGUGCAUGCACACUGCAUAUACAGGUCGGUCAGGUCUCUGCUGCCUGCUGCGACUGCGAGAGAUCUCGCUCGCUCGUCUGGAUCGAUUGGAGUUUUAUGAGUUGGAUGCUGGCAGCAGGAGCAUCUUCUUCUCUCACAUGCACUCGAUCGGUUUCUCUUUCCAUUUCUUCGUGGUUUCUUGUCUGUGUGUUUCUCUCGUUAUAGUUUCUUGAUUUGUGAUCACUGCUGUCUGCACUGCGUAGUUAUUAGUCCAGAGAAUUGUUGCCUGGUUUUCCAACGCAGAUCGAUGUGUGCACUGCAAACUACUGCCUGUUUUUGUUGGAAGCUGGAUUUUAUGAAAAAAAAGUAUAGUAAUUCUCAAGUUCUUGUUUUUUUUUCUCUCUCUUCCCUUCCUCCCUACCUAGUUCGAGGUGGAUCCCCUCCCUACCUUGGCUGCAAAGCAAGUAGUAGACUUGACGAGACGAGCUUGGCCUUCCAGUUUGCACCUGUUCAAUCAAUAUACUUCAUUUAAAGCUCUCUGGCUGUCCUCACAGUCACACCUGAGCUGAGAGUGAGAAUUAAUUCAGGUGAAGAAUAUGGAAGGUUGGAGUCAGUAGACUUCAUUCAAUUCAUGGCGCUACUACCAGUUUUCCCCCCUGGCCGCGCUCUUAGCUUGUUUGUGUUCUUCUCGGCAAGGCUCACGUUUUUGUUUUAACCGGUUGAAGAAUUCAAACUCGUACCAACUUAUUUUGUUUGGUAAAUAAUAAAAAGGCUAAGGAAGUUCCAUAUUUUUCAAGAAGAAAACAAAAUCAGUUUACAUCCCAAGAUUCCAUGUGUGUGCAUGCAUGAGCUGUUAGCCUGUUACUCAGUUCUUCCUUCUUCCCCCAAUUAUGAGAAGCAAAUAGGAGCCAUGACACAAUCCAUGUCCAUUCCUUUGUUCUCUAUAUCUCUUCCUGCAUGCAAACUCCUCUCCUUCCCCAAAAAAUAUCUCUUGCAAAAUAUUCCCCUCCGUCUCAUAGCUUGUCUCUACCGUGCCACAGCUCACAGUCUCACACCCACCGAGAGAAAAGCGGAAACCAAAACAAAUAUCUUCCGUCCCCAAAUUACUAUAUCAUCAGUACUACUAGCUACUAGCUCCCACCAUCGUUUCUUAAUCAUGCAUGGCUAACUUAUAUAAGCAAAAUAAAUUAAUGACUCCCGCAUCCGCAUAGAACAAUAAUUCCCUCGAAAUAAUUAAUAGUAAAACUCAAUCAUCAAUAUAGAAAAACCAUGUGCUACUGUCCUCCUUCCUAAUCCACAACAAGUGUUGUGCUGACGAUCAUCUAUAUCCUUCCUUGUGCAUCCAUAAUGCAUUCUUUUACUGUUCGCUGAUGCGGAAUUCAAAGUAAAUUUUCCCUCCUGUCCAUCAUCAUGCAUGCAUCAGUUCGCGAUCAAUCAUAUAUAUAUGCCAUUUCUUCUCUCUUUGAUUCUUUUGCAAAGCUAGAUCGAUACUCCUAUUAGCUAACUAUAGACUUGUGUUUGAUUAUUUCUCUUCGAUGGAACUUGCAGACCCCGACGCUGAGGUGAUCGCGCUGUCGCCCAAGACGCUGCUGGCGACGAACCGGUUCGUGUGCGAGGUGUGCAACAAGGGGUUCCAGCGGGAGCAGAACCUGCAGCUGCACCGUCGCGGGCACAACCUGCCGUGGAAGCUGAAGCAGAAGAACCCGCUGCAGGCGCAGCGGCGGCGCGUGUACCUGUGCCCGGAGCCGACGUGCGUGCACCACGACCCGGCGCGCGCCCUCGGCGACCUGACGGGGAUCAAGAAGCACUUCUGCCGCAAGCACGGCGAGAAGAAGUGGAAGUGCGACAAGUGCUCCAAGCGCUACGCCGUGCAGUCGGACUGGAAGGCGCACUCCAAGAUCUGCGGCACCCGCGAGUACCGAUGCGACUGCGGCACACUCUUCUCCAGGUAAUGCAGCCGCCAACAUAUGCCUCUCUCGCUGCUUAUCGCUCCCGUGUCCGGCCGGUUUCUCGCAUGCAUUCCCAUCGCCUCGUUUUCGCUCGAGUGUACUGUAGUCUAUAUCAGCAGUGUUAUUGACACAGAUGGCAAGGUAUAGCUGCAUUGCAUUUGUAUGUAUGUGUGUAUGUACAUAUAUAGAGUAUGUUCAUGAUUGCUGCAUCAUGAUAUGGCAAGAGUGUAUAUAACUAGCUAGGCAUGGCAUCGUCAUGGGGUUUUGCACUGCAUGAGCCUGUUGUAGCUGUCGGCUUAUGGCUACCCCUUGGAUUCGGUGAGCGAGUAAAGUAUUAGGAAAGUUCCAUGGUUUGGCUGGCCUUCGUUCUUUAGGGUUAGGGUUUUGUUUGGGCUUGCGGCGACAUGGCGCCUGUAUAGUUUUGGUGCUCACUGCUCAGCAGCUCAGCUGGCCUGCCUGAUGAUGAGCUAGAAAGACGAACGAAGAUAGAUCCGCCGUGGGGAGGAGAGAGAGGAAUAGCUAGCUAGCUAGCCAGGCCGAGCGAGCGAGCUCAGCUGGGAGGACUGCUUGCACGUGAAUGCAGAAAUGGCUUCUUUUUUGAGCCUUUUGGCCUUUGGUGAUGAUGCUUCCCUUUCCCGACUACCCUUCCUAGGGAAGCAGGAACCAGCAAACUCCCUCAAGUCUGUCUCGCCAAACACUCGUCACAGUCACUAGUAUUUAUCUAUCUUUUUCUUUUCUUCCCCUGAACGGCUGAACUGAUUCGUCAGUGUUACCCAUCAUGUUUACACAGAUAUGCAUGAGUCUAUGGCCUCCUUUAGUUGGCAAAAUUUUUCGUUUUUGGGUACUGUAGCAUUUUGUUUUUAUUUGACAAACAUUAUCCAAUCACGGAGUAACUAAGCUCAAAAGAUUCAUCUCACAAAUUACAGGUAAACUGUGCAAUUAGUUUUUAUUUUCAUUUAUAUUUAAUGCUCCAUGCAUGCGACCAAAGAUUCGAUGUGACGGGGAAUCUUGAAAAUUUUUGCAAACUAAACAAGGCCUAUGUUGUUACUGACCCUGUAGACCCACAUUUUUACUGGUCCAUCCUGUCAGGAGCAGUCAAUUAAGUUGCAAGGACUGCAUCACUUGGCUGCCAUGUAAGCCUAGCUUGUUCUCAUGUGAGUUGGCCGCUGUCUAGAUGUGGCAGGCAGGGCCGUUCGUUGGCCGUGCCAAUGAGCCAGGCCAGGUCCACCCCUUUUCAUGGACACAUUUGCCAUGGCCUGGCCUCCUCACAGUAUGCCCUAGUCACGCAUGCAUCACCUAGUAGGUGUAACUUUGAGCCACUGUUCACAUUUCUUGGCGCUGGCGGUGUUAAACAUGUCCCAAAGUGGCGUGGGCAUUCUCACUACUCUCUUUCAUGGGUAUGGCAAAAAUUCUCCAAUAGGCAGUAAGCAUAUAUAGUACUACUGAGUUGCAUCAACAGGAGUUGCAUUAAUGGCCGCUUGAGUUGCUCUAUUGAAGAAGCCCUUCUCUUCCACUGUUUGCUCACACUAAAUCCAUAGAUUCCACACGUUUUGUUGUCAAACAGUAAUCUUGAUUAGGGCCUACUAUUAGAUCCAUUUAGUGCGUUGUUGAAGGAUUGCAAGGAAAAAAAAAUCACGGUGUGUGUGACUGUGUCUUGGUCCCUUGGGAAGUGAGCUUACCAGCCCCACAAAGUUUUCUGAUCUCCUUGGUGUGUGUGUGUGUUCGUGUAGGAGUAGAUGCAUGACAGUUCUGAUGCCUAUGUCUCGCUGCCUUUUCCUCGUCUCAAGCUUCCUACUAGUGCGAACCUGGCAGCGCAUCUCACCUUUUCUUUCUCCAUUAUUGAUUGACAUGGGUUUCUGGGAUCUUGAGCUAGCUUUGUGGUGAGGCUAGCCUGCUGCUUUUGAUGUCUGCAUGCGUCCAUGCAUGGUUACCAAACACCUUUGACCAAUGCUGUCAGACAAGACAAACCACGUAAUGUUUCAGGUAAUACUAGUCUCUAGCACCAUUAGGAAAGUGAAAUAAACUCCUGAUUGCACACAUCACAUACUGCGGACUCUUUAUCCACAAAAAAGGAAAUUUGCAGAGCCUGCAGGGGAAAAAAAAUGGAUCACUACCGUUCAGAUCCAUGUUACAAACACAACAUUCAGUGGCACAGCAUCAGCAUGCAUGCAUCCAGUUGCAGCGGCGUUCACAUGUCCAUCAGAAACCCGAGAUGCCGCUGUUCCUCGAUGCCUGCGCCGUCUGCAGCGUGACAUUUGGCCAUGCAUGCAUGCGUCUGCCUGCAGUUUUUCCUACGAAACCUUUUACUGUACAUUUUCACUGCGCCGUCUCGGGCUCAUGCGAUUGUCUGCUUCCCUUCUCUGAGCUCUGACCUAGCUACACUACUCUACACAGCAAUGCAAGCAUGCGUGAAUGAUAUCAUAUCGUUGGUCCAUGCAUGCAGGAGGGACAGCUUCAUCACGCACCGGGCGUUCUGCGAUGCCCUGGCGCAGGAAAGCGCGCGGCUGCCGCCGACGAGCCUCAGCAGCCUCACCAGCCACCUCUACGGCGCCACCAACGCGGGCAACAUGGCGCUCAGCCUCUCGCAGGUGGGCUCCCACCUCACCUCCACUCUCCAGGACGGCCACCACCACCACCCGUCCCCGGAGCUCCUCCGACUCGGCGCCGCGGCCGGCGGCGGCGGCAGCAGCAUCGCCGCGCGCCUCGACCACCUCCUGUCGCCCAACGGUGCGUCCGCCUUCCGCUCGCCGCAGGCUCCGCCGUCGUCGGCGUCCUUCUUCCUCAACGCGGGGGCAUCGGUCGGGCAGGACUUUGGGGACGACGCGGGCAAUGGGCCGCACUCGUACCUGCAGGCCAACAAGCCUUUCCAUGGGCUCAUGCAGCUCCCCGACCUCCAAGGCAACGGUGCUGGGGGCCCUGGCGCCUCAGGCCCCAGCCUCUUCAACCUGGGUUUCUUUGCUAACAAUGGCAACAGCUCGGGGUCCAGUCACGAGCAUGCAAGCCAGGGGCUCAUGAACAACGACCAGUUCAGUGGCGGGGCAGGUGGAGGCGGUGGCGGCGGGGGCUCGGAGGUAUCGGCGGCGGGGAUUUUUGGCGGCAACUUCGUUGGUGGUGGAGAUCAAGUUCCACCGCCGGGGCUCUACAGUGAUCAAGCCUCCAUGCUGCCGCAGAUGUCGGCGACCGCUCUGCUGCAGAAGGCGGCGCAGAUGGGCGCGACCUCGAGCACCAACGGCGGCGCGGCAUCCAUGUUCCGAGGCUUCGUGGGCUCUUCUUCCCCUCACGUGCGGCCGGCGACGCCGCACAUGGAACAGAGCGACGCGAACCUGAACGACCUGAUGAACUCGCUCGCUGGAGGUGGCGUCGGCGGCGGAGGAAUGUUCGGCGGCGGCAACGGCGCCGUCAGCGCGGGGAUGUUUGACCCCAGGCAGCUGUGCAACAUGGCGGAGCACGAGGUGAAGUUCGGGCAGGGUGGCGGAGACAUGACACGGGACUUCCUUGGCGUCGGCGGAGGCGGCAUCGUGCGCGGGAUAUCGACGCCGAGAGGAGGAGGAGGAGACCACCAGAGCAGCAGCGAUAUGAGCUCCCUGGAGGCCGAGAUGAAGUCGGCCUCGUCCUUCAACGGUGGCAGGAUGCCAUGACCGACCCAUCGGCGGCCAUCGAUCGAGCUUAGACAAGACAUAAGUUCGCGCACAGUAAGCCAGAGACUUGAUCAACAAGCAGAUGCAAUGAGAGGAGUAAGGUCGUCGUUAUAUAGCGUAGCGGCAAACAAAUGCAAGUUAGCAACUGAGUCGCAUGAGUGAGUUCAUGCAAGGGAUAAAGCAAGCUAGCUAGCUAGCUUUCAUCAUCCGAAGGGACCUUGGGUGAGAGAGAAAGGCGUCUUCUUUGACUAAUGGAGUAAGCUAGAGUGCGAGUUGGACGCAUGUGAUGACCCCUUUGCUCGUGGUGGGGGUUGGUGUUCAUGCUGGUCUUGUUCUUGUUGGUUUUCCCUUCCUUGUAGUUGGAUAAUCUUUGUUGGAUUAAGUAUAGUUUCUGGUCAUAGAACCAAUAAGGAUGUUUGUAGCUAGCUUAAUGGGGGCGUGUGAUUUGCAGCUUAAUUAGCACCAUUCCCUCUCCUGCUAUUUUUUAUUUCCUUUUCUCUUGUAGCAAAACAAUAUUCCCCUUACAAUGCCAUUAAUUAUGCUAGCUCAAAUUCAUGCUGUUUUCCUGUGGAUGCAUAUAUAUACUAUAGUCAAGUGUUCUUUCUGCAGUCAACGAUAUGUUGCCAUGUUUUCUUAUUUAUUAGUCUGAAGUCCACCUCGCUUCAUUGAAAUUUGGCUGAUACUGAUGUUGAUUUGUUUUGAGAGAAAAUAUUGUUUCUUCGCUAAAAAGUACACUUCAUUAAAAUUUGGCGGGCUAAUGCUGAUUUGUUGUGAGAGAAAACACUACUUCACUCACUUUCUGUUUGAAGAUCAUAAAACCAUGCAUGUGUACACCUAGCUAGUAUUUCAUAUAUUUUCAGCCAGGAGGAUUGUUAUCAAGAUAGCGUUUAGGGUCUGAAAAAAAUCAAUUUCGUUUUAACAAAGUCAAAUCUUUUAGACCUUAUAAAUAAUUCUAAAUCCAUGUCAAAAUAAGUGUUGUUCUGACUAUGCACUUGCGGCUAUUUUAGGAUGGAGUUCUUUUCCUAGUAUUGAUAUAGUAUACAUGGGUGAAAAAGGUCAUUCACCCGAAUUUUAUGAACAUAUUAAUUAUAAAAAAAUGUUAUGGUGUUUUGGAGGAGUGCUACUUUAAGGUGUUGCGAGAAUUAGGAGAAAUAUUCAUUAUUCUAAGUUACACCAACUAUACUUAGAAAUUAUACCAAAAUAAUCAUUGACCCUGUAGUACAAGUGGUGUAAAAAAUGUAAAUCGAGCAUAAGUUGAUGGUAACCGGAAUUUGGAGGCGUGGAGAGAAGAAUCUUACUCUUUUUCUCUUCCAUGCAAGCCAUUUAGGAGAAGAAAGGGGAAAAAAAUGGGUGCGGUGGAGAGAAAGAUUUCCACCCGGAUACUAUGGGGGGGGGUUGUUUAGUUCUCCUUUGAUCCUAAAAAAUUUUGGGUUUUAGUUCAUUAUUUUACACAAUUGAACUAAACAACAUGUAAAUUUUUUUGGCAAAAUAGUUGUCACUCUCCAUUUUGGAUUUUGGCAUCAAGAGGCUAAAAAGCUCGAAAAAGUCUGAAGAGGCCAUAAUGAGAGUAAUAAAUUCUUCAUUUUGCAUGAAACUAAACAUAACUUUAAAAAAAUAUCAUUUUGUAUUUCAUCAUUGCAAAAUAGUUGACAUUUUAUAUUUUUCAUUCCAUGAAGAACUAAACAACCCUGGGUAGACAAACCCAAACAAAGAUAAGACAAACCCUAACAGAGAUAAAUAAAUUUGUUGUCUAACUAGUUUAGAAGGGGGUGGGUGGCGUAGCUAAGGUUCAUUUUAUACUCUCAUACGUUUUGUACUACUUCACGCUACAUUGUGUUGUUGCACGACAAGUGGAACUCCUAUUAAAUUUACUGCACAUAUGAUACUUGAGUUUUUUUUAACGAACAUAUGAUACUUGCUCUAACUGAUUGGCCACUUUGAUGAAGGACAGCACGAGCUGAUCUCUAGGGCAAAAGAUGCCUUCCUGCUGCCCAUGACUGUCUAUAGCGCUUGACCUAUAUGCACAGCACAUCGUGCUGCGGCUUAGCUUCUCGCUAAGCUCGAGCUUGCUACUGCUUGGUCGUGCUGUCUCUCUACGUUCGACAGAGAGCGAGCGAUAGGAUGUAGCUUUCGAUCGUCUCGUGCAUGCACGCCGGUCUAGCUCAGGCCCUGUUUAGUUCUCUCUCCAAAAUUUUUUCAUCCAUCCCAUCGAAUCUUUGGACACAUGCAUAGAACAUUAAAUGUACAUAAAAAAUAAACUAAUUACACAGUUUGGUUGAAAAUCGCGAGACGAAUCUUUUAAGCCUAGUUACUCCAUGAUUAGCCUUAAGUGCUACAGUAACCCACAUGUGCUAAUGACAGAUUAAUUAUACUUAAUAGAUUUAUCUUUCAGUUUCCUAACGAGCUAUGUAAUUUGUUUUUUUAUUAGUAUCUAAAAACCCCUCCCGACAUCCUUCCGACACAUUCGAUGUGACACCCAAAAAAUUUUCAUCUCCAAUCUAAACAGACCCUCAGGCGCCACACCACGGUAUGGGCCGCCCAAAUCAUUGCAUCCUUCUCAUCAGUAUAUAUAUCAAUCAUUCUCGACUGAAAAUAUUAAUUCAGAUAUUCUAUAUAUUAUUGAAUCCAUAUUGAAUGAAACAUUUGUCUGAAUAAUUCGGUUUACUUUGACACUAGUAAUAAAUACAUCUGCACACUCCAUAUAAUUUCCUCUGUAAACUAUUGGACCUUUCACUAGUAGAGAAAUAGGCACUAGUCUUGGUUCCCAACGCCCAUUAGUCCCGGUUUUGGAAACAGAAUUACACAAUUGGAACUAAAAGUCUCCAUUUUUUAGUCCCGGUUCCUAGAUAUGCUUAUUGGGUAAAAAAGAAGUGCAACUAGUGGAGAUUCGAACUUAAGACCUCUCACUUCAGUCUUACACGUGUUGCGAUCUCAACUCCCACCACACAUCUAAUGUAUAGACAAGAUAUGCUUUCCUUUUAAAUUCACUCUCGAGGCACCUUUAGUCUAGGUUUAAGACACAAACUCAGACUAAAGGUACCAUUAGUCUAGGUUAACCGAGAUUAAAAGUCACACCUUUAGUCUGGGCUCGUACCUCAAACCGAGACUAAAGCCUCCUGCACUAACACGUCUUGGUAAAUGUUACAACCGAGACUAAAAGGUGAAAUUAGUCCCAAUUUCUAUUACAAACUGGGACUAAAGGUCUCAUAUCACCUUCAGUCUCGAUUUGCAGUUUGAAACCAAAACUAAUUCUUUGGCCAUCGAUAGAAAGUCGUUUCUUUGCUGAUGUUUUUUUUAGUAAAUAUGUUAUAGGGGUGUAAACCCGUCUAGAUCCCCUUCAAAAAAAAUUCCUUUCUUCUUACCAAAUAAUUUGGCAGGAGUACUGCAUGCAUAUCAUUUAGGACCCGUUUGGAUGUUUUCAUUUGGGAGGAACUGAAAUGUGCUUUAUGGACUGAGCUAUUUUUGGCUUGGAAUUAGACAUUCUAAAACUUUUUAAAAUUUAGAUAUAAGUAUGUCUUAAAUUCAUGGUGCGAGAGAUAUAAAUAGAUUUAUAGAUCCUCAUCAUUCUAUAUUUCUGCUUUGUAACUUAUAACACCUUCUUCGAUUCGCUCCCCUGCAACAGAAUGCGGCACAUAAUUAUCUUCUCAUGUGGCCAACAACAGUAUACAAGUAUAUUUUGCAUGUGGUUAUAUUAGCUUCAUUGAUUUGUGCCUAAAUUGUUAUUAUUAGAAUGAAUUUCUCUUUUGAGAUUUAUUAGAAUGGAUUUCAGUUCCAAGGAUCAAUCCUGGUUCUUGCUUACAACUCCGUAAACAAAAAAAAAAUCUAAUUCUUUGAUUGAUCAAAGAAUUAGAUUUUUUUUUUGUUUACGGAGUUGUAAGCAAGAACCAGGAACAGUUUUUUUCUUCAACUCCACAAGUAGCUCCACUGAUGUAGUUGAAGUUGUUUUAGAAAAACAAAAAUUGGUAAAAACAACUUUUCAUAGUGAACAAGAGAGUUGGAGCCUUGGUGACAGCUGCUCGCUGAAUGGAUGUAUCGUCUAUUCUAGUAGCAGCAGCUUUAUGACGAUUUUUAGCUCAUCCAGCUCCCACCCUGAGCAGGUUUCAAGAAGCUCCACCUAAGGAGGUGUUUUAUUUUAACUUGUUUGGUAAAAAAAAAACAGCUUCAAACAGCUUUUACUGAACUGUUGGAGAGUUGUGCCAAAUGGAGCUUAUUAUGCCCUGUUUGGUUGCCCCAGUUUUAUUUUUAAUUUACUUCACAAUCGAGUAUUAAAUAUAUAUUAUUUACGACACUAAAAACACAACUAGAUAAUAAUUUACAGACAAAUCUUUUGAGUCUAAUUUAUCCAUAAUUGGACAUAACUGUUAAAUAAAAUAAAAAUACUAUAGCACAUGUUAAACUUUAACACCUCCAAAAUCAAACACCCUUGGAGGGAUGUCUAUACAGGACUCGGAAUAGUAGCUAGGAUCGAGAAGAAAAUUUUGCGGCGGAGGGGAAGACAAGAGCUAGGGCGUGGUUUGGUCAUACUGUAUGGUGGUUGGUACAUACAACUCUCAAUCGAGGCAGGACGACUCAGGAACGGAAUGUUUGGGCCUAACUGCUAGAUUCGCGGUUUGACCGUGGCUCCCUGUGUGGCAGCCACGCAUUUUGUGGAAGAUUUUGGCUCUCCUCUUGGCGGCCGCGCGCGGUGGUUACUGAAAGAGAAUUAUUGUCGGAAUGAAGUCGUCCGUACCUGCCUGCUGCAGCGUUGCGUUGACGGCGACGGCGGCGAGGCCAACAGCCAUGGCCGACAGGGACAGCUGCCGGCCGUAAAAGGCCACUAGUAGCUCUCGCGAUCUCGCCCGCAAAAGCGGCUGCGAUAUCCGAUUUUCCAAUGAUUCUUGGGAGGAAAGGGGAAAAGCAGGCAGGGCCGCGCGCGGCCGGGCCAGAGCAUGCAAAGCAUGAUGCUGAUGCGCCCGCCCGCGAUCAGCUGCUAGCCUUCACUUUUGUCUCGUGUGCUGUCCGUGAUCUGACGAUCGAUGAUGAUGAUGAUGAUGAUGAGAUUGAGCGUCAAGAAAAAGAUAGAUUGGUCACAAGUACAAUUGUUCCCUGGAAAGCCAAGCAAAAAGGUGAGAAUUAUUGGAGGGCGGAUGGAAGCUGCAGGGACAGAGCAUGCAUGCAUGCAUGGGUUUGUGAAUGCCUAAAAUUAAAGCAGCUACAGCUAGUAGUAGUCGUCAAGGAAGAUCUCAUAGUUAGUGGACUAGCAGUACGUUCACAUCAGAGAGGUUGGAGAGCUACUUACUAGUCGAUGCAAUACUGCCCUAAAGAUUUACAUAUAUGCACGAAUUUUGGUAAAAUCAACCUAGGCCACCUGUACUGUUUGAUACUUUAGCGGCAUCUGAUAGAGAUUAAUUAGUAUUGCCCCCACGUGACCGCUGUUACAGAGACGCGCAGAGCAAUGUACUGCGCCAAAAAAAUAAACAAAAUCAUCUCUAUAUAUGUGUGUGUGUGUGUCUGUCUAUCCAGCUCGAUUUAGAAUUGAACAAGGUAGCAACCAGCCAUGAGGAGGAUCUGACCAAUGUCCGCACGUGAGCUGAGCAAGAUAACUCUGACGCUUUUUAUCAGCAGCGCUCUUCCUUCCUUUUUAAUUGGCCGGCCGGGCUCCGAGACCUGGAGAAUCUCUGCAUUUACUAAUCGCUCCGACUGUCGCAAAAACGUGGGGAGGGGAGAUCGACGACGCAGAUGCUGCUGAUGCUGAUGCAGAUGCAGAUGCAGCACACCACACGGGAUGCUUGCUGCAAAGGUUAACCAUCCUGGGAACUCCUGCUCCCCGAUGAUCAGCGGUCUCCUUGCAAAGCAAGGACACAGUGCAAGCCUGACACGUAUAUAUGUACGGUGCGGGAUCUAUAUACUACUAUUACUCGUAUACUGUGUCAUGACCGGACCAACACGGUGCUGCGGCGUACGCUAAACUAGUAGGCUAGACUAGACAGAGUAGAAUAAUUAUUGUUAAUUAGGAGGGAGUACAAGAUUAGGCGCGCAGCGAAUCGGGGCGAUUUUGUUUAGGCGUGAAGGGUUAGUUGGGACGCGAUGCCGGGGUUUUGUUUGUAGCGUCGUCGCGGCGCGUUUGGCAUGUCCGGUGAAGAACCUUCGCCCGCGGGGGCGGGGCGCAUGCAGGCAAGCAUCAUGUCGCCCAAGGUCACGGGCGCAUCGUUUGGUUUCCGCGCGAGCGCGAGCGCGAGCGAAGAAUCCUAUGCAGCACGCGACGGCGAUGCGAUUGCGAAUGUCACGAUGCUGGGCUGCCUGUGCCGCCUGGCCUGAUGCUGAUUGCACGCCGUGCCCGCGCUCCUCUUGAUGCGUGCAUUUGGAGCCUAGCUACAGCUUUUCGGUCGCAAUCAUGUGUACGUACGCGGCUGUAGCUGUUGCCCUGCAGUGUGUCCCUGACUCCCCUUGGCGUACGUGGCACGCCGCACGCGAGCGAGCGUGCGUGCGCACGUACGUACGUACGUAGCUAGCUGAUCGGUGUUUCGGCAUGCUUCUUUUUUUUUUUUACCCCGUGGUAGAUUCGGAGAUCAGGGCGGCUAGCCCAGAGCUGUGUGGACUGUGGUGAGGUUCAGAAGUCACAAGUCACAACGUGGCACGGACUCGUACGGUUUUCGUGUUUGCAGUUGGUACGUGCUUGGUGUUGAAUCUCGUGAAUAGAGAGAGAGAGAGGGGGCCGGGUACAGCGAUUUUGCAAUCAGCAAACAGCUAGCUGCCUGCCCUUGCUGCAGCCGGUUCAUGCACAAGAUCGACAGUGGCCUGGCCUCCCCCGGCGGCCCGGCCCCAGUCGAUGGUGACGAUGACAGUAUUGGCCUCCCGGGGAGCAGAGUGAACGCCGGGUAUUGAAACAGUAUUGACUGGGCAAAAAUCUGACGUUUCCACGGAGAUUCCACGCACCGCGCAGGCACAGUUGCCGACUUGCCGUGCCAUCACAUUCACGCUCCUGUUCCGAGGUCCACCUCCACGAACGAGGAAGCAGGGAGCAGCAGCGCACGGCCACCGGCUUUGGUGGAUGCGGGGCCUUUGGUUUGGUUGCUGGCAUCGUAUCGCAUCACAUCGCAGCGACCUCCAAGCCCGUGGGCUGCGCGGCCCACUCCUGAUCGCGGGGGUUUCAAGCGCGUUCUUGGUGUCGCUAACGUCCACUUCUUGGGCCUCAACCGCCUCGCCCUCGUCCGUCCGCGCCUGUGUGUCCCCCGGACCCGGCAGCGCGGCAGCUGCGUAGGGCGUCAUGGCGCUUUUGAGUUUUCCACCGCUCGGCGUUGCUCUCCUCCGUGCCCACGACACCGGAGGAGGCACAGCGUUUGCGACGCGAAGGUUCGUUUCUUCUGUGAAGGUGGUGUAGAGUCCAGUCCAGCAAAUGGAAGCUACAAUAAAAAGGUAGAGCAAAGAGAUGUUCCAUACCCAUACUGCCAUGCGAGCUGAAACAAAGCAUCGGUGUGUUCUCAUCGGUUCAGGACGUACGUUACUGGUUGUUGGUGGCUAGAUCUUGAGCUCAAGUACCGUAGCGUGUAGUACGACAUACAAGUCAUGUCCGCUGUGCAACUAUCAGAUUCGGUCGGUUGUUCAGGUACAACAGCCGUUGCAAUGGUCCAGUCGACGACCGUGCUGUCGCUCCUUUUUGUUUUCGAUUUCACUGUUGCACGACCGUGCAGGCCCGGGAGUACCGAUGUGAUAGCACAGAGCCCAGCCCAACUGAAAAAGCAGCCAGUAAGUACCCUGCUCAAACGGGCCUUGGUACAUUGGGCACGUGAAAAGCGGGCAGUACCCUGCUUAAAGGAAAAGCAGGGUACAAUCAAGUCCAGAGUGCAGCCCAACUGAGACAAAUGCCGUGAAUGUGGAUGCGCCCGCGGCCCGCGCUUUCUGAUGUGCAGAGAGCAGCACGUCCGGGUCUGCACUGCGGAGAUUGACGAUGCAAACUGGGCACUGGCAACUGGCAGCAGGUUCACGAGCAUCCAUGCUUCUGAUGCGGGAUCGGCUUGGGGCUUCUGAAUCCAAACCCGAACUCUCUAGAGACUUGCUCAGAUGAACGUGGCUUGACGGCUAUGGAACUGACCCUCCGAGCUCCUGCCUAAGUUGCAACUGACCCCGUCCAUUCAAUAAAUGGUACUUUCAAUCAUAAUCAUAGCUUUUCAGUCAUGCGAACAAGCAAACCGAAGCCAAGCUUCGUUAUGUUCAUGAAUUUUCAGUCAAGCGAACAAGCAAACCAAAGCCAGGCUUCGUUAUGUUCAGCACGCAUUCAGCAUCCUCGCGUGCCGAGUCCACCACAGCCAGGCUUCGUUAGGUUUGAUAGCAUGGUAACAAAAGUACCCAAGAAACUAGCUGCCAUGAUCAUCGGAGAAUCAAAGCCUCACAAAAACAAUUAGGUUCGUCAUAACAUACACUAAGAUUGGCUGGUUACAACUUGCAACAAAUAGUUCACACAUCACAGUACUAAAGCUCCUCGAACUGCAGCGUCACAACAUCACGAAUACAAAACAAGCGUACAUAAAAUCCCCAGAUCACUUGAAUGAACUGGAAGUCUUAAUGCAUAAAUUCAGUGUCCGAUAGUAUCACCGAAACAGUGCGGAUACAUGGAAUACUCCAGGAUUCCUUGGUGAAUGCAGCUCAGCAGUAAAACAUGACACGCUUCACGUUUUCCUUGAGAGCGGGUAGGGGCCUGACCGCAACACUCCCGGCCCCUCUGAUGCCGCGUGCCCCACCUGGUGGAGGCCCACGGGCCCCACUGGCCAUUGACCCACUGUCAGAGGUAUCUGGCUCCAUGUAGAAGCGAGCUCGGAAGGCUGCCAGAUGAGCAUAGUAUGCCGGGGGCACUGCAAUCAAUAAAGCAAAGGUCAACAAUUUGUUUUAUGGAGUAGCACCGCAAUGGGUUGCCAGAGUAGACAAGAGACUGUGUUCUCAAGCUGGGCUUACCAAUUGACACGGAGCGAGUGCACCUAGCGUACCUGCAAAAGUGGAAACAAUGUUUAACAGGCAGUUGAAGAGGGCACGGGAAAUAAUUGAUCGAUGGAGCAGUAGAUGUAUUACGUGUAGCACAGGUUGUUUGUCAGAGUCUGCAGCUCAUCAGCUGUAAACUUGUUCUCAUCCCACAGGACAUGGUAAUGAGCAGGGCGGCUUGUUCCCUAAUGGACGUGAAAUUGCAGUCAGUAAUCAGCCUGUUUCAUCGAAGGAUGAAUUGAAAAGGGGAAUGAAAAAAACUAACCUGAAUGCCGGCAUGGCUACACAGGUAGAAAUCAAAUUCCGUAGGAUGGCAAAUCUUGGAAUCAACCACGGUGCCUAAAUUCAGAUGAAAAGAUAGUAUCUGGUCAGAUCCAAAUAACCAAAUUAGACAUGCUAAGCCCAAAAAGAUGGAGAGCACCAAGAACUAACCAGGCAGUAUGUUUCCACUUCUAUCAACUGUACGCUGGUCAUUGUGGUUAUUAGCAAACAGCCUAGUGUGAUGUCGCUUCUGGACCACGACAAAAGUAACUGGAGGCUGGUAAUUGGGCUCCAGGGAUGCACAGGCCUAUUUCCAUGGUACCGAGAGGAUAGUCAAGAAAAGAAGAAAAACAACAUCAAACGAAUGGUAUGUAAUUACAUGUACCUUUCUGAUGGCAUCAAGUUCAUACAACAAUACUUGAUAGAACUGUCCCUCACUGACACCAUCCCUGAAAUCCAGAACUGCUUAGUAUAUUGAGAAACAGAUCAGUAAAGUUGACCAAUCAAGGAUAAUAACCUGUAGAAUAUGAUCCUUUGGGGCUUCUGUCCAGUUGCCCUCUUGAAAGAAAUGAGAAGUUCCCUGCAAUAAAAAGAAUUUAAGCAUAAAGCAGAAUCCAAAGAUGGAGAACUGUGAAUAAAUCGCAUCAUCUCAAUUGGGAUCAUACUUUAUCAUGCCACCAGUUACUGUCCUUCUCUGUGGGUCUUGCCAUACUUUGAAAAGAUCCUGUAUCAGCUCCUGGCGAUGAGCUUGGGCACUCACUAGUCCAGCAUAUUUGGUGACCUCAGGCCAGUCUUGUGAAGCAACAACCUAGGAAGGAACAAUAUUGUAAGAAUUAAAAAGUGAAAUCUGUCGUUUAGACUAUGUGAACUUCUGGCCUGUUAUAAUUGCAACAAGUACUGCACUUACAGCUGCAAUGGAAGGACUGGAAUCUUCUCCAGGAUGUGGAUGGGUAACAUCAGCACCAAAUAUUAUGGUCGGCCUGUCACUGACAAGGGGGAUUCUCCUUGUCAAAGCAUCUACAAGUACAGUAUUCCUUCCCCCAACCUGAAGAGGUAGGAAAACUGUGAGAAAACUAACGAUUCAUGAGUGACUUAAGGAUGGAAGUGUGGAGAGAUUUUACCUUAACAUUUAUUUUGAGUGCAACAUUUGCAAGAUACUGCUUGCUCAUCUUAAAAACAUGUUUAGUCAGACAACACUGGGAGACCAAUCCAAGAUCAGUCUCACAGAUCCUUUUGAGAUCCCCUGAGAAAUGAAAAGAAUGAUGAUGACCAAAUGUAUUCAGCAGACAAUGUUCAAGUGUGUUUUGGAAGAGAACAUUACCAUAAAGAGAACCAUUAUUGUCAGGCAGUAUUACAAUCAGCAGAUCGAGUUCCCUGCCCUGUGGCCUCAAUACGUUCAUUGCAUCUUGAUAACGGGCCUUUAACGCCCUUUCAACAUGUUCAGGUCUUGCAGUCACUGGAGCGAGCACAGGCUCAAGAGCAAAAUCCUAAAGGGAAAGAAAACACGUAGAGUAAAUAACAAAAAUAGCCAAAGGAUAUUGCAGACAAAUGAUAAUUGAAGGGAAAAGACUUACCAUUCCUGAUAUUUGGCACAUGACUGCAAGCUCGUGACAGAAACCCCUAGCAGCACUAUCUUGCACAUUCCGAGAGAAGUUAAUACAUGCCCAGUUGCUGACUCUGCCACCAUUAACCAUUUUCUUCCAAGAAAAAGAAGGCAGCCAAAGAACAAUAGACAUGAAAGUUAUGACUCAUGAGAUUGUUAAAUUAAUCAACAAAAAGGGAGCAUGCAGACAGAAGGCAAGCUAAACUUAGAAAACAGUGCAUUUAGAUUCAGGGGUGACACCACAUUCAUCUAUUGUGGUGCACUGGCACCAUUGAUUGAAAAAAUGUGCAGUAUUAGGUGACCUGUUUAGACCUUGCUAAUGAGCUCGAAAUGGCAAUGUUACUACAAGGUGUGCACCACCAUAAAUUCUGUUCUAGCUUCACCCUUGUCUAGAUUACAGCAAUGUCAAAUCAUAAUCCAAAUGUAUUUCAUAAAAGAUGGUUCUUGAUAGAACUUUUUUUGUGGACUUAUUGGUAGAUCUUUCUGAGUACAUAAUGCAAAAUCAAUCCCUCCAAAAAAAAUUCCAUGGCAAGCUUGGUAGAUCCUAGAAUUUUGAGGUAAGGAGAUAGCAAAAAGGGAUGCCUAACAAAAAAAAGAAGAAAUUAAGUACCACGUAACAAUAAACUCAGUAAUAGUUAGGGUUAUGUAACUUGGACAAACAAACUUAUAUGCUGAGGCAGCUAAUCUCCCAGUUGCUAGGUUAACUUAUUUUUCUUUUUCUUUUUUUUUUGCAAAAUAUAGUACUUAUUUAAUUUGGAUGGUCCUCACCUAAUAUUACCAUAUAAGAAAAUUAAUUGCGUUCGAAAAAAUCACAGGAAGAGCGACUUUAUCUAGAUUUCUCAGGACACAGGCAUACCUUAUUCAUCAUGUUCCAUUGGCCAACUCUGGGCAAAACAUCCUUCUCUCGGCCACUAUCAUGGUAUUUAAGCUAAUUACAAAAUGCACAAAUUCUACGUCAGCAGCCAUGCAGCAUAUGCGCAAAUACGGAAAAAAAAUGCCAAGAUGUUGUUAGAGGUCAUGUUUGUUCGCUUACCCUUGGUGGUGGCAGAACACGAGCUUCAACUGCUGCAAGACGUUCAUCAAUUCUUAUGCCAAAUUCCUGUGCAUAUGGGUCUUCAUAGUAUGCAUUGUGAUGCACAGUCUGAUAAAAGGCAAAAUAAGGAACUGAGUCAGAAUCAUAAAUUCAGCUGACUGACUUUGGUAAAUACAAAACAAAUAAAACCUCUGUACCAUAUUAUGUUUAAACAUUACACAGUAUUCUGAAAAAAACAGAUGGCGCUAUUUAUCAGCUGUUGAAUAAUUUGCUGCUGGUCUUGCACAGGAGUCAAGACUGUAGCUUGGUGACUAGAAAUCUGAAAUUGCAGAGCAACUUUGAAAGACAGUUCAAGCUGUAGUGGGAACACUUGACUAGGAGUAGUGAGGACACAGAUUUUUGGUAGGCCAUUGUGUCCUUAGCCUAGGAUAGUAGACUUUGACUGCAGUACACCAGCGCACCUUCACUAGUUUCAGUUCAUACACAAACUGAACCUACAGCUUUGUGUAUAUAAGUGCAGCCCUAGUAAUGUAUUUUUCAGUUCAGUUGAACCUUGGCCAACGCUAGAGUUUCUGCAGUGUAUGUGUGUGUGUGCUGUUCUCACCCCUUCUUCUACCUCUAGCCAUAGUGAGAGUGUGUGUGUGUGCGUGCGCGCGCAGGCGUGCACGUGCUGGUAAGCUUGCUGCUUUACCUGUGCAGGAAUCCUAGGCACCAACAAGUGGUAUCGGAGCCGUACAACUGCAUCGCCGGACUAACCGCCGGCGAUGGCACCUAGCUCGGAGACGGCUGACAGCAGCAGUGCUGCUGGGGCUGCCCAGACACGACAGAAGGUCGUUGUGCGCACCGUGCGGGAGGUCAGCGGCACAAGUUGGUCGAUGCUGACUCACACCAACUAUGGCGAGUGGGCGGUGACCAUGAAGGUAAAGCUCAGAGCCCGACGGCUCUAGAAUGCCAUCGACAAAGGCACCGACAAUGAAGAAGACGACAUGUCAGCGAUGGAGGCUAUCCUCGCUGCUGUGCUGACAGAGUACAGCGUUGGGGGCGAAGAAGACUGCUAAGGAGGCGUGGGAGGCCAUUGCUGCGAUGUGCGUCAGCUCUGAUCACGCAAAGAAGGCGACGUUCCAGCUGCUGAAGUAGGAGUCUGAAGUACAUCCGAAUUGCUCUCUCCAUAGAGACAAUGUUGGACCUGUCCACCCUCACUAUUGAGGAUGUGACCGGCUGUCUGCGGGCGGUGGACGAGCGCAUGGAACUGGUCACAGCAACGACGGACAGCGGCAAGCUGCUGUUUACAAAGGAGGAGUGGGCUGCCCGGAUGAAGGAGAAGAAGUCCGGGGAAGCCUCCAGCUGCGGUGGCGAUGGCAAGCAUGGCAAGGCUUCUUCAGAGAAGAAGAAGAUUGACCCCAACGCCUAUAGGCGCUGCGGGAAGACAGGCCAUUGGGCAAAGGAGUUCCCAAAUCGCAAGCAGGAGAAGGCGGAAGCUCACCCGCCAGCCCUAAUGGUGGACAAUCAGCCCGCCAUCGCCCUUGCAAAGAAUCCAGUCCUCCACGACCGCAGCAAGCACAUCGACACUCGUUUUCACUUCGUCCGUGAUUGUGUUGAAACCGUACGACAGCUCGCAGACAUCCUCACAAGCCACUCGGCCAUCUUCGGUUCAUGGAGCGGAGGACCAAGAUUGGAAUGGUGGAAAUCAGGCAAGAGCAGCAAGUUUAGGGGAAGAAUUGUUGAAUAAUUUGCAAGAGCAGCAAGAUUAGGGCAAGAUUAGGAGUCAAGACUGUAGCUUUGUGACUAGAAAUCAGAAACUGCAGAUCAACUUGACUAGGAGUAGUGAGGACACAGAUUUUUGGUAGGCCAUUGUGUCCUUAGCUAAUAAGUAUUGCAGGCUUAUCCUGCAUCUAGGAUAGUAGACUUUGACUGCAGUACAACAGCCCACCUUCACUAGUUUCAGUUCAUACACAAACUGAACCUAAACCUUUGUGUAUAUAAGUGCAGCCCUAGUAAUGUAUUUUUCAGUUCAGUUGCCACAACCACAAGGGCAGAACCUUGGCCAACGCUAGAGUUUUUGCAGUGUAUGUGUGUGUGCUGUUCUCACCCCUUCUUCUACCUCUAGGCAUAGUGAGUGAGUAGGGACCAACAUCAGCACAGUACAAUUUACACAAACAUUUUAAUAAUCAAACAACUGUUGCAGAUACCCUGUUACCAAUCCCAGAGAGCCAGAGAUCAUUUUAGAUGCACAGGCAAAUAUAUAAUCAUGUUAAUUGUUAACAAAAGACAAGAGGGCACCCUAAACCCUGAAGAAUGCACAGGCAAAUGUGUAAACAGGGCUUCCAAAGCUAAAAGGCUUGAAAACUGCUAACCACAGGCUAUAAACUAAACAUGGUUAAACAUUUGAAUUCAUAAGAUGUAUACACUGAUGAAAUAACUUAUACAAAAACAUACGAUAAACAGCCACCUGUAAGAUGUCCAGCUCACGCUCUUGAGGGCGCUGGCAGGUCACUUUCAGUAGAGCAGUGAUUUGCUUCUCAUUGAGUCGCUUUGAGUAGCGCUGUCCUUCAACUAUUUUGCAAACCUGAAAUUUCACAUUUCAAAGCCAUAAGCAUAAUACUGAAGCUGGAUGUAGCAUUCAGAGACCAUUCAAAUAGAUAAGCACAAUAUAAGAAAUCCAAGUUCAGCGGAUACAGUCGAAGACACAAACCUCCAUUGGAAGAUAAUUUGGUCUUUGUUGAUUGCCCACUUGCAAGCACGGUAAAGUGGUGUGCUGGAUACUAAAACCAUAAGUCUCCAUGAAGUAUUGCACCACAGUCUUCACAGUACCGCGAUCAUCAACAGGGAAUCUAUCCCAAAGAAACCAAAAAAUCAUGUCACUGCACUAUUCUUUAAGCUAUUAGCUCAUACCAGCAAUGGAAGACACAUACGAUAGCUCUCUUGUUGCUUGUGAGGUUAGGCCAGAAAUGCGAUAUUUUCUGCGCAUGUUUCCCCUGUGAGUGACCUCGACCUUCACACCUCUUAGGGCUUUUUUGAUCUACAGAGGAACAAACAACAGUAACUCAACACGAACUAGCAUAAACCAAAGUUGCUAUCAAAUAGGUAAGGUAAUGAUAAUGAUUCGAACCUUCACACGAUCAGAAUCAGACAAUGGUCUAACUGAGAUAUCUCUGUUAAGAAGCUGAGCAACAAAAUCGAUCACAGGGAGAGGCUCGAUAAAUGCGGUAGAGGACAUAUCUGCAAGAGCACAAAUCAAAGGCUAAGAAAAGACCAGUACUGAUUUCAUAAACUACACUGGGAGUCCAUAGAAUUAGAAUUUAGUUACAAUACGCCAUGGAUCAUGUGUGGCAACUGAAAGAUAAACAAUGAAACAAAAAGGUUAAAGUGACAGUAUCUAACCAAUAUUCAGUGAAAGGCCCAUCUGUGUCGGCCUUAUGCUUUGGUAAAAGCCACGCCAACUUUCCAGACCCUCACCAAGUUGCUGGCGUCUCCCUAAGUUGGGAGAAUAAAAUGACCUACCAACAGGAGAAUACCUGAACAAGAAAAAUGUAAGGCAAUGAAGACUCUGACUUUUGUGGCAUGGAAAAAGCAACUAAUAAAUAUACAAUCACCUCGCAGUAGGCAAUUCACGUAGUACAAUGUCAAGCACUUGAAGAGCUUCUUGAGGAGCAUCCGCUUGCCUUCCAGCUAGAAACAUAGCCAGAUGGUGGAGAUCAGCACGGGCCGCAAAUUUGAUCACCACCCUAAAUACUCUCUCGCGCCUUGAACAGGAAGGAUUACAGCAGUCAGCAUGAAAUGUUGCAUAUAUGUUCUAAAUACAGACACAGCAUAAUGACAUACCUUUGUCCACCUUGGCCACCACCAAGACUAUCUUCCUCAUCUUGCAACGUAAUUUCAAAUGUCAUAGAAGUAAAUGGCAAUGGUCCAGCGGUAUAAAGGCUCUUUCUUCCAUCAUACGCAGGUAGACGCCCACCCAAAUGGGAAAUUCUAUAUAGUCUUACAAGCUCUCCCAUGACAGCACGAUUAACACCACGUGAAGUAACCUCAGGUGUUAUAGAUACCUGAUGGCAAACGAUUGGUGAACAGAAAUAACAACAUAAGAAAAAACUGACAUGAAAUUAUUCCCUACGAGGAGCUUACAUCAUAUUGGUGAAGGUCUUUGUCAGGAAGCUCAGCAAAGAAAUGAUUUGCCUUCACAAUGCACCUGUCCCCAUAAGUGCCCUUGCCAGGGCGCAAUGGGAAUCGAACCGAUUUGCUUGAUGCUGGUGCCACUUGAAUUUCUUGGCUCGUGGAAGACUGACCACGAAUGGCAAGUUGCUGAAACUGUUGCUGGACUUGUCCAGAGCUCACCUCUGCCACAGGCUGUGAGGAUGAGCCAGGUCCCGAUGGGGAUUGUGAAACCACCGGGGCUUGAUACUGGACAUAAGGGGCUUGGUGCAGCUCGGGAACUGUUCUAGAAGGACCUGGAGGAACAUUUCGUCCAACAUUACCUCCCCUAUGCCCACCAUAGUAUGGCUGUGGCAUUCCACCUCUGGAGCGGGCGCCACCACGUCCCUGGUACUCACCACCUCGUCCCUGAUAUUCACCGCCACGUCCCUGGUAUUCACGCGGGUGAUACUCAGGGGGCCCACCACCAGGGUGAUGUGACCCAGGUCCUCCGCGGCCCUGAUAAUGUCCACCACGACCCUGGUGUUGCCCGCCACCACGACCACCCUGUUGAGGCACCCAGCCACGUCCUCCCCCAGGUUGUUGAGUUCGCUCAGGCCGCUGUGAAGAACCUUGUCCAGAACCUCCUGAAGACUCUCCAGAAGUUUCUCCAGAGCCACCAGGGCCAGUUCUCUUCUUCCUCACCAUGAUGGGCACUGGCAUGAUAGGAAUACAUCAAGAGUGAGAUUGUAAAAAUACCAUGGAAAAAAUAGCCCGCUAUUUUUGCCGCUAUAGCCCGAAAUAGCUUGAAAAAAAUUAUGUCGCUAUUUGUAUUCAUGUACAAUUUUGCCACUAUUUUACCGCUAAAGUACGCUAAUUACGGUAUAUAAAACGCUAAACACCUUGGCCUUAGCUCGCUAUUUAAAACAUGGUAAAAAUAUAAUAAUUUAUCAAAACUUAACAUGAAGAAAACUGUUUAACUGCGUAUUUGUUAAAAAAUAGAGACAGAAGGUUGUAUAAUGAGAACUGAAACAGCUUAGAGAGUAAAGAAACUGUAAAUGAACUCAAAUAGAAGAUCAGCUUCAUCAAGGAAUUGCUAAAAUAAUAAAUAGAAAAUUUCUGAAUUACAGCUUGACAGCAUGAUGGAAACUAUUCCCGUGAGAAAAUAGACCAAGUACCAGAAGGCAGUGAACAAGAAAAACCAUGUAGGCAUAGAAGAAAGGGAAUGCCAUCUCACAAGUAUUAGGAAACAAGACUUAUUAUGUUUUUAUUGAAUUUAACAUUCCUUCAUUUUGAUUAUUAUUUCACCGCUUGUGGUUGGCUGCAAACUUCUAUUUAAACCAAAAGAGGCCAAGUAGAAGGUGAGGAAAAUGUGAGAAAGAACAUAUCAAAAAAGAAGCGCUCCAUCCAUACUCCAUAGGUGUCCUCUAGAUAUCAACUAUUUUAUUCGUUUAAUAACAAUAUCCUAAAAUAAAUAUACAGACAACAAGUAAACAAAAUCAACCAGUCACCCUUUCUAUAAUAGUAAAAAAGAAUUAUCCUAGCAUUUUCAUUCAAAAGGAUGCCAGAAGAAAUGUAUGAAUGAGAAACAUGUAGCACUGAAGUUGCUAAAAGAUACCCAUUUCAUCUAUACAAACAAAAUGAUCAGUAUCCUACUGCUAAAGGCCUGUCUUAUGUGGCCUUCUGAAAGCUUGUUUUAGCAGGGACCUUUUCUAGUCUCCACUGUUCAAUACAAUCCCAAUGCCUUGAGAUAACAUCAAACACUUCGGUAACCAUUGAAGGAACAUGAUUUUUUUUUCACAAUGCCGUGCUGCAUCCUUGAGUGUAGGAAACUCUAUGCUAGAACUUGUAAUCAAGUCCGAGAGCAAACGAUAAGUGAGAACAACAAACAUUAGGCAUAAAAAUAUGCCUAGAACACAUCCGCAAUCAUAGCCAAGGCUGCGGUUAGAAUCAUCACAAUGUGAUGCACUAAAAAGAACCCUCGUUUGUUAGCCAGAUACAAAGACAACAACAAAAAAAUAUAUCACCCUAAACCCAAUAACCAGAGAUGGAUACCAAGGCACAGGAGUGAAAAUACACAUAAACGGAGUGAACCUUACCCUAACGUAGAGGCAAAUAACCAUACAAGCAUGUAGCCAGUAGGGGAGGUACUGCUAUAUCAGUAAUUUCUAGAUAUAUGCUGAGGUUUUAACGAAGUAAUCAGUUCACCCGCAUAUGAGCACUGGACACCUGAAAGAACAGAUGUUCCUUUAUCUCAGAAAGCAAUUACCCCCCCCCCCCCCCCCCGGUUUCCACACUAAGCGCUUAGCUUAGAUGGACAAGCUAAAAUGAUCACAAAAACAGCCGCAAAUCGUCAAGCUCUCGUUGGAUCAGCUCACAACCAGGUAGAACCGGACAAAUAACCCGACAGACCCCACAAAAUCCACGAGCGCCCCCUCGAGCUCGUUCAUUUCAAGCACCAACACCGCCGCAACAAAGCAACCCAACCCCGGAAACGAUCGAACGCUGAAGCUACACCCCGCGCACUGAGGAAGCAGGCGAAAAGCAGCAGAUCUAGCGGAUUACGGGAGGGAGCGAUACCUGAGCAGGCUCGGCAGACGGCUGCUGCGCGGGAUGGCAACGGAGCGGGAGUGCUAAGCUCCCGCCUCCACUAAUGGCGCUCUCUACUGCCUCAGCGAAGCUGCUGUGCUGGGUGCUCCACUACUUGCCCACGACCACCACCACCACCACCACCUCCACCUCUCCGCCUUUUUUUGAGGAGGGGGAGGGGGAAGGCGACGGCCGCUUGUGGUUAAUUAGCGGCAGCGGCAGUGCGGGUGCGGCUCACUGGAGAAAGCGCCGAAGCGAGGGCAGCGGCUGCGGCAGCCGGCAGGGCUGGGUGCCCGUGUCAGGGUCACGGUCAGGUCGCGGGGCGGGUCGCGUCGCCGUGGACACGGGGACCCGUUCGGAGUGGGAUUAGUACUAGUACUGGAGAACGUGGGACGGACGCCACUGACGGCGUGGGGCCGAGGCGGCCAAGGACACCUCGGGCGCGACGCCACCGAUGGGAUUAGUGGGGCUAAUCAAGCGUUUUAGGCGCAAAAGACAGGAGAGGACGGGUGUCAGGAGUGGAUUAUCGUGCCCUCCUCGCCAUGUUAUCGCCCAGGGCCCAAAGACGUUUCGGUUGCUGAUUGGAUCGCCUCGCUCUCGUGUCCCGUCCGCAGAACUACGCGAUCAUACCGAAGCAUGAGACCGAGAGUGAAAUACUACGUAGUACCGGCCACCGAUGCACAGGCGUCAGAGCGUACGGCAUGAACCAAAGUAACAAACGAUCACGGAUCCAUCAAUGACCGUGAGUUGCCAACGGCGAACGCAGCUGUGCUUUGUAACGUGGGCACGGUGGUGGUUCGGCGGUGGCGGGUCGCUGUCAAUGCAGUCCCGUUUCGGCUAAGCCGUCCAGACCCGUAAGAGGCAAGAGGACGAGUCAAACGGGCGGGCGCCUCUCGAUGCUCGCAACAGCCAUGAGGUCAUCCGCAAUGGUUAUGCUAAGAGGAAUUCUAUUGGCUCUCAAUAGCACUUUACGAAUAGCUAGCGAGAUGAUAUAUAAAAAUAAUAAAAAAGUAGUACUCUUAUUGGCUAUCGAGAAGAGAGAUCAAAUAGCUAACGACUUCCUAAUAGCUAGCGACACAUAAAUAGCUAAUCUAGCAUAAUCUUCUAGAAAUAACUCUCUCACAAUACUCUCCACAAUAGUUAGUGACUUCCUAAUAGCUAGCGACUUCUUAAGCUAGCUAUUUCCAAAUUGCCAUUGAGAACCAAUAAUAUUCUUUCUAGAGACUAAAUAGCUAGUGAUUUGAACACCAUUGCAGACGUCCUUAGCCUGCAGUAGUAGUAGCAUUUGCUAUUGCUAUUGCUAUCGCACCCAACGUGCAACGAGCACAGCUGCACAGGCCUACUGCUGCUACUACGGCCACCCUACCGGAUCAAUGGCUGAGAUCGGUUCCGCAUACGGGGCGCACGAGCCAGUGCGUGGGCCACCGCUAGACUGUUCAAAAUCGCUGGCCCACCGGCUACCGUCCGGCCCCCAGGCGAUGACACGACGACCCCACUGGCCGCGCGGGCCCAGCGCGCAGCGAGUCGGGUGCCAGUACAGCGCGUCGCGCAAGUUGCCCGCUGGAUCGAGUAGGAGGAGUACUUGGAUAGGACGCAGUGGGCCCCGGCCGCGAUGGCGGGUCGUACUGGACGCGCGACCAGCCGUUGCUCUGCUGGGCCCGCGACCCGAUGACGGGGACGGUCAUGGAGCCCGCGGUACGGGCAAGGGGCCCUUUCGCUUUCGCGUCCAGGCUGCCCAGUGGGCUGCCUCGGGCCUCACGACCAGAAUGACACAACCGGCCGCGGGCCUUCUCCAAAGCCUGCACGGGACGGCGAGACGGAGACACAGGCACACAGACACAGCACAGCAGCGGCGCUCUAGCCUCUACUUCUACUCCUACUAGGCCUUGUUUAGUUCCCAAAAAAUUUUGCAAAAUUUUUCAGAUUUUCCGUCACAUCGAAUCUUUAGAUACAUGCAUGGAAUAUUAAAUAUAGACGAAAAUAAAAACUAAUUGCAUAGUUUGGUCGGAAUUGAUGAGAUGAAUCUUUUGAACCUAGUUAGUACAUAAUUGAACAAUAUUUAUCACAAACAAACGAAAGUGCUACAGUACCUGUUUUGUAAAAAAAUUUGGAACUAAACAAGGCCUAGGUGGCGCUCGCAGACGCAGGGUUGCAGGAAUCGACGAGCCGUAUAGUGGCGCCAGUGUUGCUAUCUAGGUACUGCGUAGGAUACAGCGAGUAUCACGUCGAUCGUACUAGGGCACAGUCCCUGGUUUUGUUGGAAGGGGACGAGACAGUUCUUCCUCGUCUCCGUGCUUCAGAGUUCACAUCAAGGGGGGAAGCGGGGCGCACAGUGAAAAGAUUUGCUGGGAUGCAAAAAAAGUAGUGUGGAUCGGUCCUAUAACUGUUAACGUGACUGCGUUUCGAUGUCACCACGAUGUUUGUUGCAAAGCGAUGAAUUCGGUGUUGACGAUGUGUCUAAGAACGACGAACAUCACUACUAGCUGUCACUGACUCACUGCAUUAGCACGUUGCCUUUGCCAUUCACGAGCAAAUAUUGGCAAGUCAUGAAAUAAGACAGUUUGGGUGUCUCUCGAAGCCACUGUUUCUAAAUAAUGAUGACUCCUCUCAUCUUUCACGGAAAGGAGAGGCUAGCCAAUGGAAACAAAGAAAAUGAAGCUUUUUGUCGGGACUUUUAAAUCUAAUAUGUCAAUGUUUUCUCACCUUUUAUACGAGAAAGAAAGGUUACGCGGUGAGAAAAGAAAAUGAAGCUUUAUUCAAAAGAAACAAGCAAGCAUCUUUCCUGCUGCCAUUGUCACAUAUAGCCUUUUCAGAGACUAGCCUCGCUGAUUUUCGUCACGACUUUAGAAUAUUUUAUUAAAGAGUUUUUUUUCAUUUUUAUUGAAUCUUUUGCCUCGUAAACUUCUAUAGUUUUCCUUGAUAAAGUAGGAAGUGCAUGCGCAACACUGGUAGGAGAAAAAAAAAUCAAACAAGGGUGCUGCUACAAUCGUGUGAAAUUGUGUUCAAUGAUAGUGAACGCCCACCCAUAUGCCACUAUGCCAGUGUGUCUCGGUGGAGUUGACGAUUCGAAAAUCGAAUCAAAUUGUCCCAUAUAUCUACAAGGUGAAAUAUUGUUUACUAAAUGGACACCAAUAGCGGACUCAAUGCUCGAAUGGACCCCGAGUAAUAAGGAUCAAGACGCCAAUGACAUUUUGUGUCUUUAACCUUCCAACAAGACGUAAAAGCAAUAAAUUUUUCAAAGUGCAUCGGCGCCAAAGCCCGGAUGAACGCCUAAGUUACCAGGCCCUAAGUCCACCACUGGUGGACAUCGAGGUUCAGUGGAGUUAGAGAAUUUUACGUGGAAAGUGUCCCUUAUGGUUCAAAAAUUAUAUGAAAUUUCCCCUUGUUUGGCGGAAGCAGCAAAGGCGUAUGCUUCAUCACCAAUUCAGGCCGGUCUUUGAUUGUCUUCUGUUGUUGCUUUGUUGGUGUGUCUCGAAGUAGAGGAACAAGCGCACUUUCGAUAACAAGGCUUCUUCGAUCGCCAUGGUGGUUAGGGAUGCUGCACUAGAGGAUGGGUUCAGGCAGGGUUCUCCUGCGUCUCGGCGUUUGCUACACUUUGGUCGCAAAAUCUGGCUGAUUUGUAAUAAACUCAAUUAUGUUCUAGUAGAUAGAUCUGUUACUUUGUUCUUGGCUCCUGCCAAUGGUCUCUCGCCACUGGCCAGGCCUCCCCUUGUACUUGUUCAAUUUUCCACUGCCUCUUAAUGAAACACAGACCGAUUGGUCUCGUUCGCGAAAAAAAAUUCCCUUGUGUAAUGGUCAAAAGGAAAUUAUAAUGAGGACGAUUAUGACUUCGUUUGGAUCUAUUCUAGCUAACUAUUAGCUCAGAAAAAGACCAUCUAACAACUUUUAGUUUGAUAAUGGAUAAGACACUAGCUAAUCUAUUAGAUAUAGAUUUAAAUGGGGUCUCAAAUACUUUUAGCAGCUAACUAUUACUAUUGGAUACAAACACCCUUUAGUUUUUUUUCAGCACCAAUCCAUCCCGAUCCAUAUGAGUUAAGAGGGAUUAAGGUAAAAUAAUCAAAUAAAUUUAACAUUGAUUUAAUUUGGAAUGGAUGAAUUGACAACAUUUUUAAGGAAGAAGAGAUGAAAUGGCCCCAAUACAAUGGCUUAUAUUACCGUGCACUUGCAAUAGUUGUUUCUCCUAUGGUGUGCUUGAUUCUUGGAUAUGGCUACUGGCUGAUACAGAAAUAAAAUUGUUGUAAUCACAACCUUGUAUUAUUUUUUAUCUCAUGCAUCAUAUCUUCACGAAUGCAACCAAACGACAUAUUUUAUUCGCCAAGCUAAUAAGAUACAAUCGACCAAAAAAGUAAACCAUUGCAUUUGUCGAGCCUGAUCCAAUGAAAACUAGCUCAACUGAUGCAAGCCAAACUAGAUCAUAUAAUCAGCUAACUAUAUAUCCUUACAGCCUGAUGGCGAACCAGUUGUAAGGCUGUCUCCAAUAGGAGACCUAUUUGGGAUCAGAAGAGACAUAACCCAAAUUUGGGUAUCCUCUCUCCUUGAGACCUAUUUGCAGAGAGUGUUGUCUUUUAGGUCUUGUUGUUGGAGAAGACUAAAAAUAGGUAUGUAACUUUUUACCUAUAGCGCUACCCAAAGGACAAAUGGGUAUUGUAUUUUGGGUAACGAUUGUUGGAGAUAGUCUAACUGUGUCACUCUCAACCAAACACAUUACUAUAAGCCGUAAGGGCCUGUAUGGUUACAGAGGGUAAAAUUUACCGCCCGUUGCACAUGUAUGAAAAACUAAAUAUAAACUAUUUACGAAACUAAAAACAUAGAUAAAAAGUAAUUUACAAGAUGAAUCUUUAAACAUAAUUAGUUCAUGAUUAAACAUUAAUUACUAAAUAAAAUAGAAAUGCUACAGCCAACCAAACACCCCCGGACGCAGUCACAACACUCGACUGGUAGAGUAUGUUGGACGUAUUUUUUUUUCUUCAAAAAAUGCGUAAUGCAAGCAGGAUAGAUCUUCAUCAGAUGCUACAAUGUCGUUUUCUUUUCUUCCUCCGUGUUGUUUUCAAUAUAAGGCCUUGUUUAGAUAUGAAAAUUUUUUGAAUUUCACUACUGUAGCACUUUCGUUUGUUUGCGAUAAAUAUUGUUCUAUCAAAGACUAACUAGGGUCAAAAGAUUCGUCUCGCGAUUUACAAUCAAACUGUAUGAUUAGUUUUUAUUUUCAUUUAUAUUUAAUGCUUCAUGCAUGUGGUAUAAAAUUCGAUGUGAUGGAAAAAUUUUGAAAACUUUUUGAUUUUGGAUGAACAAAACAAGGCCUAAAAAAAAUAAACAAGCCGUUUGCAAGAACUGAACUGUUGCUCCACUAGCGAUGAGGAUACCGUUCCGAGGCGAGAAAAGAUGUCCUUUGCUGACACGUCACACGACGGUGCAAAGCGGACCGGGCGCGCGACGUGACAGUUCGCUUGAGCCCAUGGCGAUGGUACGGCCUUGUUUAGUUCACCCGAAAUCCAAAAAGUUUUCAAGAUUCCCAAUCACAUCGAAUCUUGAGACACAUGUAUAAAGCAUUAAAUAUAGACAAAAAUAAAAACUAAUCGCACAGUUUGACUGUAAAUCACGAAAUAAAUCUUUUGAUCCUAAUUAGUAUAUGAUUGGACAAUAUUUACGGACGGCGGACCCGUGGACCCGCGGGCGGGACCCAGGGCAGUCGUCGCCGACGUGUCAGCCGGCACGGCGCAUGGGCCCCACCUCUAUCGCGUGUCAGGCCUCUCCGAGCUCGAAACGUGUCCCACAGGGGCAGGUGACCCCACCUGCACGACGGCGUACUACGGGCGCACGCACCUCUGGUGGUGGACUUGCUGUACUGCUGUGGGUGUACAGUGUAUAGUACGUACUACUGCUGUACGUACUGCACCCCCGGCCCAUAAUGCCGUGGGCCCGCCGCGUCAUCCGCGCGUGGUUUUGGUUGCUACUGUGCGGCACUGCCGCAUCGCUGGCACAGCGUGACGCACCACGCACGGAGCCGAACCGAGCCGAAUCCCCCCACCCGCGAUGCCACGCACGGCCUUGCCGCGGUUGCCGCCAUGGAUGAUGGGCCCGCCCGCCGCGGUGGCGGCCCGAAGGCCGAAAGAUCCACCAGGGUAUCCAACGGCUCUUGCAUAGCGCUAAUGGGCACGUUACUGUUCCGUGCGACGCAAGUGCCAAAUUGGCAAAUGGCUGUCUAUUUUUUUCUAUUGUCGGCAGGCUCUUGGAGGUGUCGUUCUGGUUUGGUUACUGUUUCGGCUUGUGCGUUUGUGAGUUUGUGUGCGUUUUGGAUGUUGCUGUUGUGCCUGUUGUCCUUUUGCGAAAAUAAAAAUCUACUUAUAAACUGAUGUAGUCGUUUUGUGAAUUAAAAUGCUGUAGAGACUGGCUGAGAAACCAAGACUCGUUCCAUGAAUCACCCUCGACGAUGAUGUGCUAACACAAAAAAAAAUCCAAUAGAUUAAUACUAGUUAUCAGCUAAAAAUAGUAGGCGAGGAUCAAACAGGCUACAGGCCUGCUUAUAGAUUUAUUAAAUCCGCUAAGCAAAUGGAGGUGAGGAGGUUCUGGUGGUUCAUGUAGAUCUUCAACUAAUCCAACAAUCUAUUAAACGUCCACAUGGAUUAGUAGAAUGAAUCAAGGUUUUCCUGAGACGAGAUGGGUAUGCAUAUGCAGAUAUGUUUCAUGCGGUUACGGGGCGCGGACCAGUCAGUAUGGAGCCGGGGGCAUCAUGCAUGCAUGGAGAGCGCCGACCGUGAACAGCUGUGGCAUGCAUGGGCGUCCAGGCAGCCCAGCAGUGUGAAAAAAAAAAAGACGAUCCAUCAAUGUCUUGUACAUGUGCUGUGCUAACAAUGGCAUUCGUUCCUCCGAGGUAGCUGGUGCCGAGCUCUCACAUUCAGCUCGGCUGGCUCCACAGCUGUUUACAUGCUGCUGCUCUGGCUUGUUUCUCUCGGUCAAGCUACGCUAGGCAGGUGGCUGAACAUGUCACUGCAUUAGAAUCACCGCAACGGCGCAACCCACACGUUGUAUAUCCCUUCUCAUCACUAACCGCAGGCUUUAUUAGCUUAGUUCACUGAUGAGUGAUGACGGACGACGACGACGACGACGCGACCCAAAGAACGAACGAUCCGGUCGACGAACUGUUCCUCGAGGGCCCGAGCGCAUGCAGUCGCUGUAGUCUGUAGGCAGGCAACAGUGUAAUGUGAAGCCCAGUCGGCCGGCACGGCAUGGCAUGGGCGUGCGCGACCAUGCCAACAGGAACAGCGGCCUCGACAGGUCGCCGAGACGACAACAGCAAAGGGACCGACGUGAUGCACGCACGAGCGCGAUUCCUCCAUGCCGGAUGCCGGUUGCCGGAAGCCCGCGGUCAAAAGGAGGCCCCGCCCGUGCCGACCCGGCGCUCUCUGCUAGCGCGUAGCGGCGCACAAUCAUGCACGCGAACUGUGCGGUGAUCUGACGGGACGACGACACGGCCGGCCGGGGCAUGCAGAUGCACAAGCACAGCAGAAGCAGCAGCAGCAGCAGAAGCGAGGAAAAGGCAAAAAACCGGAAGCGGGCAGGGCAAAAGGGGACGGUCGCCGAAGCGAGACGAGGAAGGAGGGCACGGACACGGGCGUACCUUGAUGGGGGCGCCCGUUGUUCUCCACCCGCAUCGCCAUGUCAAGGUCACACAUCGUCCUCGUCCACGACGCCGCGCGCCAAAGCUGGAACUGAAAGCAGGAGGCCGGGCACGAGCCGGCAGCCGGAUCGCGGCCACUUCUGUGUCCGUCCCCUCGUCUGUCUGCCGACCGAUCGAGAGGUGGAAGAAGAGCUAGGUCCUCGUCUGACUGCUGCUGCCUGGGGCUGGGGGCGUGGAUCACGAGCCAAGAGAUGCCGGGCGCCGGGGUCUUAUUGUUAUUGGUGGCUGGCAGGCUGGGCGAAGCUAGCGAUGGCUGGCUGGCGCUGCUAGGGGGAGGGGGAGGAGGAGGAGGUCCGUGGUGGGUGGGGCUCCCUCGGGCUCGUCUGCACUACUGCAUCCCUGGCCUCGUCGUCGUAAGCAAAAGAUAUCGGUGAUGUAAGCUUCAAGAUAUGCCCAAUUAUUGCCGCUGGCGCACGGAGAAAAAAUAUUGCGCCGGUGCAGGUGGUAUGCGACUUCCAUUUUUGCGAGUUGCGGCUACUGCUCGCUCGUUGGUAAUGGACUAAUGGUGUGGAUGAGCCAUUAGCCAUUAGCUGAUCGAUGUGCGAGCUUUAGCUUCCGUUAGGUUUAGGUGGAGGGCCCCCCGCGUUCCCUGCAGCAAAUGCGGCUGCCACUAUAUACAUCGAUCAUAUUCGCCAUUAAAAAUACCACAACAUGGUUGGUCAAGAGGAAUCCUUUGCUAAAUAAGGUGGUCCGCUGAUCCUAGUUACCAACUAUGGUGCGUCGAAAUGACCCAACAUAUGGUACACAUUUGUUUAGCAAGAUUUGCGCUUUGUAGUGUAGUCCCCCAGGCUCUCAGAUAGCGAAAUAAACAAGACAGCACUAACAAAAGUUUAUAUAAUUUCCGUCUAGUCACCUGAUCAGAUCAUUGGUUGGCCAAGUUGAGAUCUAGUCAGACAUUUGAGUAAUCCGACGCGCAUCGGCAGUAGUUAUCUGAAGUGAUGUGUAUGCAGUCGUUGGGCUAAGGCCUUGUUUAGUUCACCCCAAAAAGCAAAAAGUUUUCAAGAUUCCCCGUCACAUCGAAUCUUGUGGCACAUGCAUGAAGCAUUAAAUAUAGACGAAAUCAAAAACUAAUUACACAGUUUAGCUGGAAAUCGCGAGACGAAUCUUUUGAUUCUAGUUAGUCCAUAAUUGGAUAAUAUUUGUCACAAACAAACGAAAGUGCUACAGUACCGAAAUCCAAAAUCUUUUCGGAACUAAACAAGGCCUAAAAUAAAUUUGUGCCGCACGAAGAGUUGCAGCUGAUGACCUGUUGGAAAGGGACUGAUAUGGUUUCAUAUGGUCUGGAAGCUCAUCCGCUUUGUCGCCACACCAUCGAUUGCUCGGUAUUGCCUGGCAUUCCAAUGAAGAACAUUGUAUAUAUGGCUGGCCUGGUGGUUGAGUUCUUUUUUUCUUAUUGAAAGACAGCUUACUUGGCACCUCCUUAAAAGACAAGGUUGUGUGUGCAUCACCUCCUUAGCAAUUUCAGGAAGAUAUAUAGUUUUUAAAUAAAAGUCGUUGUUGCCUUUUUUUUGUGAAUCACAAUAUUUCCAGGUAUUUAUUUAUUGGCUCAUUUGUCCGAAUAGGAUAUGCGAGGGAAUAUACCCACCGUUGUGAAAACUUUGUUUUUGUAGUAAAAUGACAAUAUCUCGAGGGGUUUAGGUCUGAUUGUCCCCCACAAUAAAAGUUUGAGAAAAUACGAAAUAGUAGAAAGGGACACACACACAAAAAGAUACGAGGCCUCAAAAGCCCACGACGAGAACCUGAACUUCCGAAUGGGCUGCGAUCCAAGAACAGAUACGUGUCUAAGAAAUGGGCUCAUCUAACCAUAUCUACAGCCCAGUAGUUUUGCAAGCUCUGUACCUUCUGUUCUGCAUGUCCAUGACCAUGUCUACAGCAGCGUCCUUCGCAGGUUGCUGUUGUUCUUUUUUUUUUUCAGAAAUCAGAACACAAAACAAUAGGGAGUUGCCGACAAAGAUUGAGCCUAAGUAUCUGUUCAACAAGAUCUGACUGAGCGUUGCUGAGUUUGCUCAGAGUUUGCUGCUUGCCACAUGUCAACACAAUAACACCAGCGGUACUAGUAACAGGAAUUGGAGGGAAGAAGCUAAAGUAUAGCAGAAGACGGGAUAAUUUGGAGAGCGGUGGAAGGAUUUUUGGAAUUAUUGUAUACUUAUUUAUCUUUUCUUUUUUUUCUCGAAUACGCAAGAGGAUUGCGUAUCAUUAUAUUAGAAGGGAAAGGAAAUUCGAACAAUACAAAACGAGUUCACCUGCCGUAGCAGGAAAUGAAAUAAAAACACUGCAGACUGUAACCAUCCUCGGUGGAUAGCGAUGCUACCCCCCGAGCCAAGAACUCCUAAAUUUCUUGCGCCCGCGCUCAUCCAUUGUUCGGCGUCUGCUUUGAUCACAGCCAGUAGCUCGAGUACGGUGAGUGUGGUCCCCCGAAAGCAACGCGCGUUCCGCUGCUUCCAUAUAUGCCAAGAGACGAGGGCGAACAGCGAGUCUGCGCCCUUCCUCGCCGGUCCAUGCCACAGGGCCCGGAUGCGCCUCCACCACGCGAUGACUGUCUGCUGCGCCGGUGGCAAUUGUUUGUCCAGACCGGACAGGAUGAGGAACCAUACCUCUCUAGUGAAAGGGCAGUUCGUCAGUAUGUGAUCGAUGGACUCAUUCGCCUGGUCACACAGGAAACACUCAGACUAUGCUUGCAGCCCGUGUCUCGCCCGACGAUCAUUGGUCCAGUGUCGCUUCUUGAAGGCCAGCCAAAGAAAGAUCUUUACCCGUAGCGGCGCCCAGGAGUUCCAGAUUAGCUUGUGGCCCCGAAAAAUGGUUCCACCAGCUUGAAGUUUGCAGUAGGCUGAUUUUGCCGUGUACUCCCCAUCGACUGUCCAUCGCCAGAUGGUUGUGUCCGGGCUAUCGGUAAGGAUGAUGUUCUCAGUGGCCGCCCAAAGAUCUAGGUACUCGCCAGCCUCAACAAUAGAGAGCCCGCCACAGAUCGAUCUUAUCCAAGCCCGUCCCGAUAGUCCUUGGCGCACCGUCAAGGUAGAUUUGAUUCUUCUGGGCACCUUUGUGGAAAGGUUGGGUGCGAUGUCACUGAUACCUUCUCCUUGGAUCCAUCGAUCCUCCCAGAACAAGGAAGAGUUGCCGUCACCGAGGAGCGUGAACGUGGAGGCCUUGAAGAAAGCCAAUACCUCUGGGUCGGCUUUGAUAGGUAGCUCACUCCAUGCUCUGGUGUUAUCCGUCUUUUGUAGCCACAACCACCUGGUUUGAAGGGCGUAGCCGACCAACUUCAAGUUUGAAAUGCCGAGCCCACCUAGUUCCGUUGGCCGACAGCAAGUUUCCCAGGCCACCAUGCAUCGGCCGCGCACCGAGGCAUCUUUGCCAACCCAAAGAAACUUCCUGCAGAUCGCAUCGAUCUCUUUGCGCACCCACGGAGGUAAACUGUCAGCCAUCGUCGAGUAGAUGGGGAUCGCCCUUAGGACGGACUUGAUCCAGAUCAGGCGACCGCUCCUUGCCAUGAGAGAUCCGUGGCAGGGCGGGAGCUUCCUUGCAACCGCUUCGAUCAACGCCUGAUGUUCUGCCUUUGGCACCUUCUUGGUGGUCAGGGGCAAACCAAGGUACCGUAGUGGGAACUGCUGCACCUGGCAGCCUAGGAUGCGCACGAUGUCGUUCAAGACCUCUUCACCGCCAUAGAUCGGGGUUACUGAGCACUUGGACAGAUUGGUUUGGAGUCCAGUCGCAGCUCCAAAGAUGGAAAGAAUUUCCUUUACUGCAAGGGCUUCUUGUAUGGUUGGUCUGAUGAAGAUGAUUGCAUCAUCGGCGUAGAUACUGCACUGAAAUUUGAUCCCAAGCGGCUCAAUAGGUCUCAGCACGCCAUCUGCACUUGCCUUUGCCAUCAGCCGGUGAAGGAUGUCCAUGGCCAGUAUGAAUAGCAUAGGUGAAAGGGAAUCCCCUUGGCGCACGCCCCGUAGGUGCCUGAUCGCUGGUCCUGGUGUUCCGUUAAGCAUUAUCUGGGAGGAUGCGGUGGCGAACAGCCCCUCAAUCCACUGGCACCAUCUCGGUCCGAACCCCCGCGCCCGAAGCAGCUCGAACAAAAAGGGCCAAGAGAGCGUGUCAAAGGCUUUGGAGAUGUCGAUCUUGAGAAGCAGCAUCGGCGUCUUCUUUUUGCGCAGCAUGACCGCGGCCCGUUGAACAUAUUUGAAAUUGUCGUGUAUGGUCCGCGAUCUGAUGAAUGCGUUUUGGUUUUUCUCCACCAGCGCGUCUAGCUUCGGCGCCAACCUGACCGCGAGGAUUUUUGAGAUUAGCUUGGCGAAGCUGUGGAUCAUGGAGAUUGGCCGAAAAUCGGAUGGCGCUGUUGCUCCGACCCGCUUGGGAAGAAGGAUGAUGAGGGCGUUGUUCAAUUUGCUCAUGCCGCGCCGAUCUCCUGCAGUGAACGCACUGACGGCGGCCAUCACGUCCUCCUGGAUUAUAUUCCAGGCGCUCUUGUAGAACGCCCCUGUGAAACCGUCCGGUCCUGGUGCUCGGUCCGCGGGCAACUGCUUGAUUGCGUGCCAAACUUCUUCCGCGGUGAUGUCCAGUUCAAGGUCCUCUAGCGGUACUGGGUGAAUCCCAAGUGCCGUAAAGUUCAGCGUGGUUCUAGUUGAUGGCGCUGCACCGAAGACUGAGCUGAAGUGAUCGAACAGCGCGCGUUCCAUGUCAUCGUGGUCCGCAGCGACAUGUUCAUCGAUGGUAAGAGAUGGGAUGUAGUUCCGGCGUUUCCUGCCCCUGGCGAUGAGGUGAAAGUACGCAGUGUUCGCGUCUCCCUCAGAGAGGUGGCGGAUACGCGAACGCUGUCUGGCGAUCGUCCGAUCGAGUGAGGAGAGGCCGAGGCAUCUGAGUUUCAUCCUCUUGCGCAGCUCCUGCUCUGUUUCGCUCAGCUGUCGCACUUCCUGCGCCGAGUCGAGGCAGUAGACGAGCUCUCGUGCCAUGAGGAGUUGCUCCUUCACCCCUCCGAUCCUCUUCGCUGACCAGCUUUGCAGGGCGCGGGUUAGAAUCCGAAGUCGAUCAUCAAGCCGUGCGAGUGGUCCCUGGUGACUGUCCGAUCCAUUCCAGGCGUCGUUUACAACAUGCUGAAAUUCCUCGAACCGUGGCCAGAACACCUCGAAGUGAAACCUGGCCUUGGACAUGCCUCCCAUGUUGGUGCACAGCAACAAAGGACAGUGGUCUGAGGCGUCCGAACCAAGAGAUCGUAGGUGGGCGUUGGUGAAUAUCUCGUCCCACUGUGUCCAGACAAGUACCCGAUCGAGUCGUUCCAGCGUGGGGUUCUGGCGCUCGUUACUCCAGGUGAAGCUGCGGCCAUGCAGGUGGACAUCGUGUAGCUCUAAGGCUCCCACUGUGUUCCUUGUCUUCGAUCCCUUCUCUCUAAACUCGCCCAGCUAUUUAACAGCUAAGGCACCUCAGUUCAUGGGUCUUGCCCUGUCCAUGUAUACAUCACACUACUAAGCCAUUCGUUCUGCCAUUGGGAACCCAAGAACAUUUGUUGGGCCUCCUCUUCAGUCCUCGCCCCAUCCCGUGCAUCUAGACUUGCCUCCACAUGUUCAGGUUCAGGACUGCUGACAUUGCCUCUUCUUGAGAUGCAGCUUGAUCCCAAGCAUGUGCAAAAGAGAAUUGUUGUUGCACAACCGUCGAAUCUUCCUAAGUUGCUUGACUCUCAGACCACCCCGACCGCCACUCGAUCCAUACUUGAUGAAAUGGAGACAAGAUGUGUGCCCAACGUUUCUGUAGGACAUGUUUAGGAACGCGUAAGAGUUCAAACCUUAUGGCAUCUUAUUGCUGCCAAGCAAAACAAGCGCUAAGGCUCUUGUAGCAGGUAGCUAUGAUCGAUUUGGUUCGACACCGUUGGAUCCCUUUUGCUUUACAUAUACACCCUGUACUGCAAUUCUGCAGACGAUCGCUUCAUCUCAUCAACCAUUGCGUGUAGGAAGCAAUACGCAUUCAGCUAGCUGCUAUAUAUAGAAACCUCUCCUGUCAGCUGCUCUUCCUCUGGUCCGAGAGGUAACCGCACAGAUCAGGAAAACUAGAGGUAGUGUUCACCCACCAAUCCGUGAUUGUCACAUCUGGAUACACAGCUGCUAGCUUUUUCACUAGGACGAACAGACUGAAUGCCAAUAGUAGCACUUCAUGUGCAUGCCACCGAUAUAUAUAUGUACCGAUGCUCACAAAACGUUGCGUGAGCGUGUAAUUAGGAUUCGGUAGAUAGACAAUUAAGCAUGUCACAAUCUGGUGUGUAUUCGGUGAACUUUGCGUCAAACAGCACACUCAACCAGCAUGUCACGAUCGGCCCCGUUUCGUUACCAAUUUUCGUUCGGUUUAAAGCAAAUAUAUGCACCGUUCCUUCAAAUAUAUGCAGUACAUUCGGUGCGGUAUUGCCACAAAUUAUUCAACCCGAUCGAGCUACAUGCUACUGAUGUGCUCGAUCAACGCAAACGCCGCAUUGCGCGUGCACAAUAUAGCUAUAGCACACUAGUAAUACUGUAUGUUGUCACGGUACACAUGAGGCCUAGCAGCCCAAGCAAGAAGAGUACAAGACACAAGAAGCUGAACCCGAAGUUUGUUGGCCCAACUUGGAGCAAGUAAUUAACCUGAAGCUCAGUCCAGCUGCGUCUGGAGAGCGUGCUGUGCUUAACAGCUGUGUAAUGAAUUCAGUUUAAGAAGAAGGAGAGAGAGCAAACUAGGGGAAAGUAAAAUAUUUUUUUUUCGAAAGACGGCAUAAAGAUUUUGCCGUAUUUUUAUUAGUCGAGGAAAAAAAAUGCAACAUAAUUACAACUCCCACUUAAAAACUCUCAACCACUGGAGGGAAAGUAAAAUAUGCCCUUUGCUAGAAUAUUGUUACAUAUGUGUUGGUGUGUGUGUGGUACAAACUCUUCAUAUCUAUACUUGUAUGGCGCGGCCUGACCCGCGUGCGCGGCUGCAUGCACUUGUGCGCGGCUGCUUGGCGAAGACCGAAGAGCGUGUUGCUGAGCAGCUGGUUGGAGGUGACGAAGCCCACCAGGAGCGUGCCCUGGAUCACCGUGUCAGGAUCUCCGACGCGCAAGGGUGCGUGUGCGGCGGGUUCUGCCCGCCGGCCGGGGACGAAGUCGAUGCGCGCCAGCGAGAUGCCCAGCGUGUUCAGCCCCGGGAUCUGGCCAUCUGGGCCACCGCCACCGGCGUCACGGCGGAGCCCUGCGCGCGCGUUUGGUGCCAUCGGCACUAUGUGGAAGAAGAUGUCGCGGUUGCGUUCACCACGUUCGGGUUCUUUUGCACACCACUCCGUUCACCGGCACUGCAUGCAUAUGCAUGCACACGUCCACCCGUGUCAGUACUUUUGUCGUCAUCGCAAAUCAUCAUACACAAUUAAUCACCUUUGAGUAGUAUACAUUGCAUGCAUGCCUUCAAUACAUGCAUAAAUAUAGAUAACUGAGCUCUCUCUGUAGACUGUAUAGUGCUGCAAAAGUUCAUGCUUUGUGUUGCAUGCACAUAUAUGUACCUGCCUACAAAUGUACUGUGUUUAUUUACCAGGGCUAUUGUUAUCAGCAACGCAGAAGUCCUGGAGCUGGGUUGGAUCACAGUUACCAGACCACGGGGACUGAAGUAAAACCCACAACCGCUAGCACUGCAAGCAGUGUAGUAGGAGAAAGGCACAGGAAGCCACGGCGCUGUUUCUUUGCUAGUGAUCAAGUGUGCUCGAUCAAGCUGCUUGAUUAGUUUGUGGUCUGCAACACUUGCCAGUGCACCAAUUUAAAGGUAGUGUUCACCCAACAGUCUGUGAUUCUCGCAUCUAGAUCAACACAUGAAAACAGAGAAUCACUUGCGUAACGGCGAGCAGUCAAACCAAACAGGCAUGCAACCACUAGUCAGAUACUCAGAUCAUAUAUGUGCCCACACGAUGUAUAUAAUAUUUUAUACAAGUUUGAAUAUAUAUCUUGAGAUGCAAAAUCUAUACCUAUACCUAUUAAUCUAUAUCUAUAUCUAUCUAUAUAUAUAUAUAUAUAUAUAUAUAUAUACCUAAUACUAAAGAGGCAAAAUUUCAGCCUCAAAUUUGGUCAGGAAAUUUUUUCGUCUAAUCCAAGUCCCAGUCCGUCUCAUACUUUUGUACCAGAUUUCAGAUCGAGUCCAAAACAAAAUCACAUACAAAUCAGUACCAUAUACCAGAUUCCAGGUAGAGCCAAAACGAAACCACAAACAAAUCAUGUAUCAUAUAUCCGACGGCAAUAGCUCCGCGAGCCUAGAAAAUCUGCUGACUGGAGCUAGAACGCGCACCUAGAGCCGAAAAAAAUAGCUUCACCCGGCUCGUCUUUGGUUUGGUCCGCUUCGGUAUCGCACUGAUUCGGAGAUGGGAUGUGGCGGCACGGGGAGGAAGAGAAGUGAGGGCGCGCUGAUUUGGGGAGGAGAAGGGCGAGAUAUAUCCGACGGCAAUAGCUCCGCGAGCCUAGAAAAUCUGCUGACUGGAGCUAGAACGCGCACCUGGAGCGGAAAAAAACAGCUUCACCUGGCUCGUCUUUGGUUUGGUCCGGAAUAACAAAACAUCUGGUACAGAUACACCGGAAUACACCUGUAACAAAACAUCUCAUUCCAAAUGAAAAUCCAAAAUGAAAUUGAUAAAUAUAAGUAUGCUCGAGACGGAGCUGAUAGGAAGUUCAAAGCGAAAGGAUAGUUAAGGUUCGGAAAUAGAAAAAUAAAUUUGGUGACUCUUGGAACAUAUUGUUGGGAGUUGAGUACAAUAAUUUUUAUUUCGUACUUCCACUCCUGCUAACUCAAUUUUUUAAUUGAUGGUUAAAAUACAAACCAACACAUAAUAACAGUCGAUUUAGUUAGACGCUCGCUUUUACCUUGACAUGAAGCACAAAUAAAUAGUGACUCUUUUUGGGUUGUUAUAUGAUCCAAUAAAAUUCAUUCUUUAUAUAGUGUUUGUGCACAACUUAUUUCAUGUUUGAGUUCGCAUCGCCUAAUCUUACUUUUGCAAAUACUUAACAUGUUUAACAAGACAAUGAUAAUUAUUUUCAAAAAAAAAUAUUUAUAUUAUAGAACAAAAUAGAUGAAGACAAAGACAAAUUAUGUUAAAUAAUGUCUUCCUGCCUCCGAAUUUAAAAGUUACAAAGUAUAUGUAACUAUGAAUAUAUAUGGUCUCCUUCACAUAUUUUAUUUGAUUGUCUACAUAUGAAUAUUGUGAACAUAGAUUGUAUAUGCAAAUAGAAAUCAUUAAGCAAUAAUGACGAGUAAUUUUAAAAAAGUCUCAAACCAUGUUUAAUUGUCAAUUCCUUAAUUAAAAAAAUGUUCAGUUGUUUAUUAGACUUGGACAUAUUAGUGUUUAUUCUCCCGUUGCAACACACGGGCAUGUUUUCCUAGUAUAUAUUAAACGAGGAUGUGGUUGGGAAGACAAGAAAUGAUGUUGAACCGUCGUUAGAUUUUGACAUAAAGAAAUGCACUUUUACAUGGAGGUCGUAUUCAUAGAACCACAUACUGGAUGAACUUAGGGUCCCUAUUCAAACCGACUAGGAUAUUGCUUUAUCCCUACGUCGAGUUUUCUUGCGCACAACUUUGUAGAUGGAUCAAGCUACGAAUCAUCUUGUAAUGGGCUAAAACUACCGACCCAAGUCUAGCCAUAAGGGUAUAGGAAUUUAUACUCCCACAACUAGUCCCCGAGCACCAUGUAUUAUGAAGCGACACACCGUCUUGAACUUCUUCGACCAGUGAUAAGGACAAUCUUUUUUCAUAAUUACCGAAAAAGUAGGUUGUCCAAAUAAUGCAUGGUGCUCUUAAGAAAGAAGAUUUCUUUUCUCGUGAAGUGUGCCGACUUUACUUUUAUGAAAAGUAUAAGCUUCUAAAAAGCAAGCAUAUUCACCGUAAGGUGAAGUGUGACCACUUAGUCCCCGAGCCUGGUGGUUGGCACAGUCCCCGAGCACAACGUAGAGACUAGUCGAUAAAUCUCCGAGUGUGGUUGGGAACAUAAACGUACUCGGUGGUCGGCAUAGUCUUCGAGCACAGCGUAGAGACUAGUUAACAAAUUCCCGAGCGUGGUUGGGAAUGUAAGCAUGCUCGGUGGUCGGAGCAAUCCCCGAACACAGCGUAGGGAAUGGUCGACGAGUCCCCAAGCGUAGCUUGUUAACUAGGCCAAACUCCUAAAAAAUAAAUAUAGAAAAUAUGUAAUACAUGAUGUAUAAAUAAACUCUAGAUAAAAAACAACACCCAGUUUUAGAUUUUUUGUUUUAUUAAAAUUAGCACGAAUAGUUAAUUUAUCCUAGAGCUUGUACCAGCUCUGGUCUAGCCAACAAUCUAGAGCAUGAGAUGCGGAAAGACACACAUAGGAUUGCCAGCCUCACUAGAGAGCUACUGCCGACCACCCGAAACGUAGAGGGCGGAUCUCGUGCAUGUGUGGGGAGGAGUCGGAGACAGUGCCGGCUCUAAAAAACUCGUGUAGAAGAAAAAACUAAUCGGCUAACCAAAAAGUUAUUUUGAAAGAUAAUAAUAUCAAAAAUAUUAUGCUAAAAAUAAAUAAAAAUAUUAGAAGUGCACUUUUCUUUGGACGAAAGUCUGUUCGGUGGCGACAAAAUUGUUUGAUCCUCAAGUUUUAUGAUGUGUUGUCAUGAAGGUGGUCGCGAGCGCUGUUCUUUGUAGCCAUCAUUAUUGCGACAUGACAGGUGGUCAGAGUAGGCCAAGAAACUUGGUCGAAAGCCCGAGCAGAUCGGUGUUGUCGAUCUGUCUCCUUUUGUAGCCGGGAAGCGGCGAUGUGUUGUCGACGUGGUCGGAGACGUUGCUGAAGUGGUCGAAGCCGUAGCCAGCGUGGUUAGAGCCGCAACCGACGUCGAUGAAGAAGUGAUCGGCGCAGAUUAGAUCUGCACCUCCUCCAUGGUCGUGGCGGUGAAGUCGUUGAAGCCGGUGGUCUAGGUAAUCUGGCCGAUGGUGAACGUGAGACCGCUCGUCACGGCCGUGGAGUCGGAGAUAAUGACCAUCUGCUUCGCCUGGGAAGCUGUACGCACACUCCCUACCUGGCGUGCCACUAUCGACGAAAGCUGGUUGGCAGUCUACCUUAGGGUAUACCCACAGUAGUAGUUUAUCGGCAGACAGGUGCGCAAACUACGAACUUGAUGGUGACGUAAGACACAAACAAGGAGUUUAUCUUGGUUCGGCCGCCGUAAAGGCGUAAUACCCCCUCCUUACAUAGUCUUGGGGACAAGGUUACAAAUGUAGAAAUUAAUCCUAACCGGUUACAAUUCAACCCAAGUCUAGUCAUAAGGAUAUAUGGAUUUAUAUCCUCACAUAUAUCUUUACCGGCCAUGGAUGAAAGUCAUCCGAUAGAUUUAUCACUUAUUAUUCCGUUUGAGUCUAUUCCACCCAAACUUGAAUAAUAAAGUCUUAUGAUUUAGUUUUUAACACAUCCGCAUUUUGAAAAUAGUGCAAAAAGGUUUUAUCCCUAUGAAACUAUAUUUAUUUUCAUAAAAUUUUUAUUAUUUCUCUCUUUAUUUAUAUGAUGCCAUGUCAACAUAUUUAAUAUUUAUAAAACUUCAAUGAAACUUUAUUAGGACUGAUAUAAAACUCUAAUGAAACUCGUCUGGGACACGUUCGAACUUUGAUAAUGGAUGCUUUAAGUACAUACCUUCUCAUCGUUUCUUUAUAUGUUUAUAAGUACGUACCUUCUCGUCCCCUUUUUUAUAUGUCAUUCUCGAAAAUUACUAAAUACUCUCUGAUAUUUUGAACUUUAAGAUAUCAUGUUUGACCGCUCGUCUUACUCAAAAUUUUUGUACAAAUUAUAAAAUAAAUAAAUUAUUAUUAAAAUAUCUCUAAUAAUCAAAUAAAUCAUAUAAAAUAAAUAAUAUUAUACAAAAAGUUAUAAUAAAAUAGAUGGUCAAAUAAAAUGUCUGAAAAUCAACGACAGCGUUUUUUAAAUGGAGGAAAGUAUAUAUUAAACAUAUUAAUAUUUAUAAUGCAUAAUCAGUAUCAUUCGUUAGACCUUUAAAUUUAUUUUUAUAAUAAAUUUAUUUAGAGAUAUAAAUAUUACUAUUAUUUUAUAUUAAUCUAGCUAAAGUAAAAAAAAAAGCUCGAACAGACACUCAGCGACACUCAAUAAGAGACAAGGGAGUAUAUGCUCCGUACAUCUCAUUCAAAGGACGACUAAGCAUGUGCAAAUAAGUCAAAAUAAGCCAAUGCACUGUAGUUGCGCACGCAUGCACUAAUGCCCAGUUCGCAAAAAUUUUCAAGAUUUUCCGUCACAUUGAAUCUUUGGUCGCAUGCAUGGAGCAUUAAAUAUAGAUGAAAAUAAAAACUAAUUGCACAGUUUAUCUGUAAUUUGUGAGAUGAAUCUUUUGAGUCUAGUUACUCCAUAAUUAGACAAUGUUUGUCAAAAAAACGAAAGUGCUACAGUAGCCAAAAACCCAAUUUUUUGCCACCUAAACAAGGCCACAUCUACAAUACCACUUGAAGCAACAGCUCUUGCUUUGGUAGAAGCGAACUCCUUUUUUUCCUUCUUCUAGCUAGAAAGAGACUUAUUUAUCAUCUGUUUCUCUGGUCCGAGCAAAUCGCACAUGCAUAUCAGAUAAAAAAAAUAUUGUCGCACAUAUCGGGAAUUAGUUACUGAUACGGAACAAUCAUCUGACACAUAUCUUCUCGUAGCAGUAGGACUUUCGUGCGCCUGUGACAAACGAAGCUGACAAAUUAACGUUCUGCGUGUGCGACUGUGUGUGAGAUGUGGACAUGUGGUAGUAUAGACUAUAGAGUACAGCUAAGGCUGUCACGAUUUGGUUUCUGUUCGGGCGUGCAAGGGCUACCGGCGGCUUCGACCGCCGCGACGUGCUCCUCGGCCUCGGCGGGGCGCGCGGCAGCGGCCGGCUUCCUCGAUCAAUAACGCUCUGCUAAAUUUGCUACAUUUAAUUUUGAUUUAAUUUUCCGGCCUCCUCGAUCAAUAACGCUCUGCUAAAUCUGCUACAUUUUGAGUUAUUUUUCUCAAUAAAUUUAGCUAGCUGUGUUCUAACAUGUAAGCCGUGGCUUCUUAUGGCUGCCGAGCAAAACAAGCGCUAAAGCUCUUGUAGCAGGUAGCUACGAUCAUUUUGGUUCGACAGCGUCCGAUCCCUUUUGCUUUACAUAUGUCUUUCACGCUAAAAACCAAAUUUUUUUCAAGAUUCUCUGUCACAUCGAAUCUUACGACAUAUGCAUAAAGUAUUAAAUAUAGAUGAAAACAAAAACUAAUUGCACAGUUUGUCUGUAAAUCGCAAUACAAAUCUUUUAAGACUAGUUACUUCAUGAUUGGAUAAUGUUUGUCAAAUAAAACCAAAAUACUAUAGUGUUACAAUUAAAAAUCUUUUUAGAUCUAAAUAUGGCGAUAUAUACUGCAGAUGAUCUCUCCAUCUCAACCAUGCAUUUGCGUGUAGUAGGAAGCAACAAAAAGCUAGCUGCUAUAAAUAGGCCAUGUUUGGUUAAAUGGAAGUCUAGUCUCUAUCUUAUUGAAUGUUUGAAUAUAUGUAUGAAGUAUGCUAUUUAUACGAAACUAAAAACAUAAAUUGAGACUAAUUUACAAGAUGAUUUUUUAAGACUAAUUAGUUCAUAAUUAAUGAUAGAUCCAUGAUUGCUACAAUAAAAAAGUGCUAAUGAUAAAUUAAUUAGACAUACUAAUUUCGUCUUAUAGAUUACUGACAGAAUUUGUAAUUUAUUUUCAUUAGUAUUUGAACACACCAUGAACCACAUCCGAGUCCUUACAUCCAAACACCCUAUAGAAACCUGACUCAUCUGUUCUCCGGUUAUAGGAGCUAAUCGCACUUACAGUCCAUGACUCAGCUCGCCUGUUGAUCGAUGUUUACAGCUGCUGCUUUUUCGUCGCGAAUGAUUGAACUGUUACCGAAUAUGGGAAAAAAUUAGGUAGAAACUCUGCACCAUGUCUCUGUAUAGACCCACUUUGGAUGGAAGAUACGUGUCCCAAAACUCCAAUCACACGGAGACACGAUAUAGGAGGUCUACAUCCAAGAUGCGUCUCUAUGGAGGAAUCCUGGUCUCUCCGUUGUGUGUGUGUGUGUGGUUGUGGUCAGUUUCGUGCCCGUGUGACAAACGAAGAUGACAACACUCUGCGUGUAAAUAUGGUACAGAGAGUAUAGAUAGCUAAAACCCACAUCGAAUAUUUAGAAACAUACAUGAAGUAUUAAAUAUAAAUUAUUUAUGAAACUAAAAAUACAGCUAGAGAAUAAUUUACAAGACGAUUUUUAAAUCUAAAUAGUCUAUAAUUAAACAAUAAUUACUAUAAUUACAAAUAUACUAAAGUGUGUGUAUAUAUAUAUAUAUAUAUAUAUAUAUAUAUAUAUAUAUAUAUAUAUAUAUAUAUAUAUAUAUAUAUAUAUAUAUAUAUAUAUAUAUAAAAUUUUAGUUCCUUCAACCAAACAUCCGCAUGUCACGAUUUGGUGUGUUCAGUGAAUUUGUCAAAUACGGUCCAUACUUAGGCCUUGUUUUUACUUCCCAAAAAUUUUAUGAAGUUUUUUAAAAUUAUUUCCCAUCAUAUCGAAUCUUAUGACACAUGUAUGAAAUAUUAAAUAUAGAUAAAAAAUAACUAAUUGCACAGUUUCCCUGUAAUUUACGAGACGAAUCUUUUGAACAUAGUUAGUCUAUGAUUGGACAAUAUUUGUCAAAUAUAAACAAAAUGCUACAGUGUUCAUUUUAUAAAAAUUUUGGUAACUAAACAAAGCCUUAGCUAUCUAUACAUAGGGAUAGAUCGCAGUGAGAAUGAACCGAUGAAAACCGGCUGACCUAAACUCUGAUCUCCAAGGCUGGAGGGUAAGUUCUCCACUAGUAGUUGUGUUAUAGUAGUGUUCCUCAUUCUAUUUGACCCAAAUUAAAUCGGCGGUUUAACCGAUUGGACCAAUCAAAUCCGGUUCGGUCCUAGUAACUUGGGUACAGAUAGCUACGCGGGUCUGGAGUCUAUACCAGCAGCAUGUUACGACGAUCGUCCCCCGGCCCUGCCCGUUUCGUUGCCAAGCAAGUUUGGUCGUUUUUUUUUUUUGGAACAAGUUUGGUCGGUUUAAAACAAGUGCCGUGCAUCGCAAAAUACAGCAACACUUUCUCUUGGUCUACGAGGAACUAUAUAGACGUAGCACGAGUAGUUGGCAAUGAACCAAACCUCGACACGGCACAUGCAGCAGUAGCACGUGACAAACAACCAAAUCAAACAUCCAGUCCACUAGCUAGCCGAUCAUAGUUUUUUUUUUUACGGAACCUAGCCGAUCAUAGUUCUAUAUAUACUCCUAUAUAUAGCCACUCGCUAAACCAUGGCACGCCAUCGGUCGCAGCUCACAAGCAGCGCCAUGGGGAGCGCCACCAUGCCACGAAGUUUCGCCGCGCCACGCGCGCCAUGCCGCAGCCUCCAUACGCUCAGGUGCAGGUGCAAGGCUACCGGCGGCGCCGACCGCCGCGACGUGCUCCUCGGCCUCGGCGGGGCGGCGGCGGCCGGCCUCCUCAGCUCGUCGUUGUCGAACCGCGGCGGUGCGCUCGCGGCGCCCAUCCCGGCGCCGAACCUCAGCAACUGCCAUCCACCUGACCUCCCCGACACGGUGAGCGACAUCAACUGCUGCCCGCCGGGCGCGGGGACGGCGAUCGUCGACUUCACGCCGCCGCCGACGGUCGGGCGCCGCGUGCGCCCGGCCGCGCACCUGGUGGACGAGGAGUACGUUGCCAAGUACGAGAAGGCCGUGGCGCUGAUGAAGGAACUGCCGGACGACGACCCGCGCAGCUUCACGCAGCAGUGGCGCGUGCACUGCGCCUACUGCGACGGCGCGUUCGACCAGGUCGGGUUCCCGGACCUGGAGAUCCAGAUACACAACUGCUGGCUCUUCUUCCCGUGGCACAGGUGACGACGACGGUUCCAUGCAUGCUGGCGUCAUGUGAUCUUAGCUUGCUCGUGUAUAUGCUUUAGCGAUUGAUAAUAAUUAAUUAACGUGCAACUUUUGUGAACGUCGUUGCACUGCUUAGUUAGUUUCACAAAUUGGACAACGCGUGCAGGUUGUACCUGUACUUCCACGAAAGGAUUCUUGGGAAGCUCAUCGGCGACGACAAGUUUGCGCUGCCGUUCUGGAACUGGGACGCGCCCGGCGGCAUGUCGCUGCCGGCGAUCUACGCCAACAAGUCCUCCCCGCUGUACGACGAAAGGCGUGACCCUGCUCACCAGCCGCCAUUCACGGUGGACCUCGACUACGACAGGAUCGAGCAAAACAUCCCAAGAGCUCAGCAGAUCGAUCAGAACCUGAUGAUCAUGUACCGUCAGGUCAGUGUUAGUAUAGCUAGCUAGCUGGCUGUGUCUUGUUGUACGAAAUAUUACACCCUCGAUCAGGUGUCAGGUUUGCUAGUGCGACACUGCACUAACAGUGAACACUCAGUUCUUGGACGUAACUGAACACUUGAUCUUAAAACUUUAAAAUUGAACACUUGAUGUCUGAUUAGCAUAUGGAUGAUACACAUGCAUGUCUCUACUCUACGUCAGAUGAUCUCCGGUGCCAAGAAGAAGGAACUCUUCUUUGGGCUGCCUUACCACCAGGGCGACCAGCCAGACCCAGGCGCAGGCACCGUAGAGAGCGUCCCGCACGGCCCAGUACACUUCUGGAGCGGCGACCCGAGCCAGCCGAACAACGAGGACAUGGGCAACUUCUACUCCGCCGCGCGCGAUCCACUCUUCUUCGCGCACCACGGCAACAUCGACCGCCUGUGGUCGGUCUGGAACGGCCUCCGCGCCGGCAACACCAACUUCACCGACCCCGACUGGCUGAACGCCAGCUUCCUCUUCUACGACGAGGAGGCCCGCCUCGUGCGCGUCCGCGUCCGCGACUGCCUGGACACCGCUGCCCUGGGCUACAGCUACCAGGAUGUUGCCCUGCCGUGGCUGAACGCCAGGCCGACCACGGAGACCGGUUCUCCGGUUCCCGCCGCGGGCGCGCUCCCGGCGACCCUGAACCAGACCGUGAGGGUGGCCGUGACGCGGCCCAGGACCUCGAGGACCCGCCAGGAGAAGGACGCGGAGGAGGAGGUGCUGGUCGUCGAGGGGAUCGAGGUCGCCGACCACUUCAGCAGGUUCGUCAAGUUCGACGUGUUCGUGAACGAGUGCCAGGGCGGGGGCGGCAUGGGGGCGGCGGUGGCGCAGUGCGCGGGGAGCGUGGCGAUGACGCCGCACCUGGUUCGGCCCGGGAAGGGUAGGGGCUCCGUGAAGACCGCGGCGAGGUUCGGCAUCUGCGACCUGCUCGACAACAUCGGCGCUGACGGGGACAAGACGAUCGUCGUGUCGCUCGUGCCGAGGUGCGCCGGAGACAUGGUUACUGUCGGUGGCGUCCGGAUCGAGUAUGUUAAGUGAGGUCCUUCUAUUACGUCCUACCCUCCUACGAGUACAUCUCACAAGUGCUAGGGCCUAGAGACAACUGCUCUACGACCAGGAGUAUAUAUCAGGUAUACAUGAAUAACUGUGUGAUGCUGUACGUGUAUGGACGACUCCUGUUGAACUAUAUAUGUAGGGAACUAUUUGGGAUUGUGUUUGCGUGCCGCCGUGAUUAUAUAAUAUGGGCCAAUGUCAAUGCGACAUCAAUAAUUAACAAAUAAGGGCAUUAGUGUCUGUAAUGUGUAACAGCAUGACCAUAGAGAACAGUGACUACCGUGUCGCCGGAGAAAAACUUGUAAUGCGAUCGGAGAAAGGGUGGACACCAAUGGCAGUAUGUGGGGUGUAAAGCGCCACUCAGAUUGCUCAGAAGAUGGCAGAACCGCAUGUCAAACCAGUGACCGAUGUAAUGGUGUAGAUAAAUCACGACAUACGGAACUCAUCCAUUAACCAAAUCAAGGAAAAGCUGUACACAAAUUACGACAUACAAUACUAUCCAUUAAUCAACUCAAGGAGAUGCUCUAGAGAAAUUACGACAUAUGAAAUUCAUCCAUUCUCCAAUAUACCCAUUCGAAAGUGGCCCACACGAUGUAUGUGUGUGUGCGCGCGCGCGUGAUUCCCGUGUACUCAUCCGGGGUGUUCAGUACUAUUCACCACCAAGGCCUCGGAAUAGUGUGUGUAUAUGAGAGAGAGAGAGAGAGAGAGAUGCAACAUGCAUAUUUAUUUUUUAGACAAAGAAAUUACAUGCAUGUUUAUUAAGUUGUUGUAGAAAUUAGUAAACGAAGAUGUGGUUUGAAAGGCAAGAAAUGAUGUUGAAUGGUCGUUAGAUUUUGACAUAAAGAGUAUUCACUCUAUUACAUGCAGGUCAUCUUUAUAGAGCCACACACACUGGAUGAUAAGCUUAGGGUCCUGUUGCAAAAGUAGAAUACUGAAUAAUUAAGAUGCUGUGGAAACGACAGUCAUGGAUAUCUUUACCGGCCAUGCAUGGAUGAAAGUCAUCCGAUAGAGAUUUAUCACUUACUAUUCCGUUUGAGCCUAUUCCACCCAAACUUUAAUAAUAAAUGAUUUUGGAGGAUACGUUCGAACUUUGAUAAUGUAUGGCUUAUUAAGUAAUUCCCCGUCCAUUUUUAUACAUCGUUCUCACUCCUCAAACGUGUACCUAACUUUUACUAAAUAUAUAUUAAAAUAUUAAUAUUUAUAAUACAUAAUUAGUACCACUAGAUAGAUCUUUAAUUUAUUUUUACAAAAAAUUUAUUUAAAAAUACAAAUAUUUGCUAAUAUUUUAUAUUAAUCUAGUUAAGAUUAAAAAAAGUUUAACUAACACUCAUCUCAUAUAUAGCGACACAGACUAAGGGAUAGAGGGAAUAUUCCGUAUACAUCCUAUUCAAAGGACGACAUAAGCCUGUUUAAAUAAGUCAAAAUAAACCAAUGUGUUUUUUUAAAGGAAAAUAUAGUUGCACGCACCAACUUCAACUUGUGUGAGCACAUCUACAGUACCUCUUGCAGCAACAGCUCUUGUUUUUUUUUUUUUUGAAGGAAACAGCUCUUGCUUUAGUAGAAGCGAAUUCCCUUUUUCCCUUCUUCGAUCUGAAAAGAGACUUAUCAUCUGUUCUCUGGUCCAGGCAAAUCGCACAUAUCAGAAAAAGUGGUUUUUGCCACUUACCAAGUCCGAUCGAUGUUUACAGUAGGACUUUCGUGUGCUGCUGCUAGUACGUAGGUUCUCCUUUUUUCGUCGGAAAUAAUUAGUUACUCAUACGGAAUAAUGUGAACCGUCAUCUGCUCAUCACCAUCGUGGUUAUAGCAGUAGGACUUUCGUGCGCGUGUGACAAAAACGAAGCUGACAAACGUUCUGCGUGUGUGUCAGAUCGAUGUGGUAUAUAGCUAAGGCUAUCAGGAUAUAUUUGGUGUGUGGUACGAGUUCGAUCGGGCGCAUAUAGCUUGUCUAUACCAGCAGCAUGGUACACGAUCAUCGGCCCCCAGCCCGUUUCGUUAAUUACAGCGCAAGUUUUGUUCGGUUUAAAGUAUGCAUGUGCCGUGCGUGCAUCGCAAAAUUACAGUCACACACGACAAAGCAUAUGUAUAGACGUAUAGCACGUACUCCACCUGGCAACGAACCAAUCCUCGACACUUACGACACAUGUACGUAGAGUAGCACGUAACAAAACAAGCUAGUAGACCACAUGGUACGGCACAUCCAGCCCUAGCUAGUCGAUCAAUCACAUGUCCACACGUUCUGUAUAUUGCUUCUCGCGCUAAACUAUGGCAUUGGGCAAAAAAAACUUUUACCGAAUAAGACUCUGCCGAGACCCUUUUACCGAGUGUAAAUAUAUAUGGCUUUACCGAAACACUUGGCAAAGCAACUGGCUGCCGUAACAGGCCGGCCGAUCACAUGUCAUGCAACUCACAGGUUCACACUUCGUUCACAGCAGGUUCAUCACUGAGCAGCAGCUAGCGCCAUGGAGAGCAUCAUGUACUCAUGCCACGAGGUUUCGCCGCUCGUCGCGCGCCAUGCAUACCAUACUGUACGUACGUAGCCUCCAGACGCUCAGGAUGCAACGCUCUACCGGCGGUGCCCGACCGCCGCGACGUGCUCCUCGGCCUCGGUGUGGAGCGGCAGCUAGCGGCCGGCCUCCUCGAUCAAUAACGUCUUGCUAAAUUUGCUACAUUUUGAGUUUUCUCGUCAAUAAAUUUGGCUAGCUGUUCUAACCUUUAAGCCGUGGCAUCUUAUGACUGCCAAGCAAAACAAGCGCUAAAGCUCUUGUAGCAGGUAGCUACAAUCGUUUUGGUUCGACAGCCUCCAAUCCCUUUUGCUACUUAUAUAUGUACACCCUGCACUGCAAAUGCAUAUAUGAUCUCUUCAUCUCAACCAUUAAGAUAGGAACCUCUCAUCUGUACAUUCUUCUUCUUCCUCCGGUACGAGCUAACCGCACGUACAGAUCAGGAAAAUUAAAGGUAGGGUUCACCCAUCUGUCCGUGAUUCUCGCAUCUAGAUAGUUUAUCUGCGCUCACAAAUUGUUGCGUGUGUGUAAUUAGAUUCGGUUGAUAGAUAAGCAUGUCACGAUCUCGUGUACUUGUAUUCCGGUGAACUUUGCGUCAAACUGCAGCACCCAGGCCCAUAUAUACGUACUACUCAACCAGCAUGUCACGACCGGCUCCCUUUCGUUACCAAGUUUCCUUCGGUUUAAAAGCAUACAUAUAUAUGCACCGUUCUUUCAUUACUUUCUCCAGCUCCUGGAGGAGAAGACACGACCCAUAGCAUCACUUGCGUAUAACAAACUGUCAAACAACCAAACAGGCACGCAUCAGCAGUGAGAUACUCAGGUCAUAUGUACCCAUGAUGCCGUCUCGCAAAAAAAAUGUACCGAUGAUGUCAUAAUACUACAUCUAGAUAUAUAUACUCCCUCUACUCUAACUUGUAAGUAUUUUUCUAGCUUUUUUAAAUAUAUAAUUUUUGUUAUGCGGACGAGCCAAUAGCUCGGUUGGUAAAGCAUCCCCAUUGUGCAAUGAUGUAGGUCAGGAGUUCGACUCCCCACCUCCAUAUACGCAGGUUUGCUAGUUGUAAAUAAAAUUUUUCGUUUGUCCCAUGUCAAAGCACAGGUCUAAGGUUAGCCCUAGUCUUACGUGUGUUGCGGUACCGCUACGUAUGGGUAGGGCAGAGGUUCAAGUUUUUCUUGACCUAUAUGAAAAAAGUCUUCUUCUUAAUCACAAUGUCUGACCUACACACAAAGAUCCUAAGCACAGUGCCCCCGGUGUUGACACUCAAAAGUGUCCCAACAUGAAAUAUGGGCAUAACCAACACGUUUCUGACAUCCCAGAGGUGUUGGAAAUAGUUGGUGAAGUAAUCAAACAAAAAAGGAAGAAAGUGGCGUCUGCCUUGGCAGAGCCGACUUGGCUGACUUUGCAUAGUCGAUAAAACUAGUUCUUCAUGCCCCAAUUCGCUUAGCCGACUCCUAAGUCGGCUAAGCCGACUUUCCUCUAUGUCGGCCAAGCCACAAUGCUCAAACCUCGUGAAAAUCGGCUCAGCCGACUCCCAAGUCGGCUAAAGCCGGCUUUCAUUGGUAUUCCGAGUCAGUUUGGUUUCCGAAACAGUUUUGGACCCAUUUUAAACAGGGAAUUUGGAGAAUGUGUUUUGGAAUUGUUUCCUAGUAAGAUAAAACCACGCCGUCUCUAUAUACGAAAGGAUCAUGGUCGAUUAAGGAUCCCAACUUACAAUCAUCAAAAUACAUCUAUUACAGGCCUUUUACCCUCUUUUCUCCCUAUUCGUCAGUUCGUCACGUCUCCUAGCGAGAUUUAAUGGCGUUCGAGGCACCCUUGCUAGUCUUAGGAAACCCUCCGUGUGCUCCUCCUCGACGGAUCUUCCCAAGAGAUGCUCAAAAUUCUAACAGGUGAAAAACAGGCUCGACAUUGGCCUAACCGAUCUCUAGAUUGGUGUCUCGGUUCGCUGCAUUCUUGCUGUGAUCAAGGUCAUGUGUUUACCGUAGAUAUGCUAACCGUAGCUGGUGUGCGAUCCGAAACACUAUCCAACAUCAUUGCACCAACACCCAGGGGCCGUCGUAAUCCCUGCAGGUCGAGCUUUUUUUUGAGGGGGAGGGGGAGAGGGGAUGGACUUAGAUAUAUAUAUAUAUAUAUAUAUAUAUAUAUAUAUAUAUAUAUAUAUAUAUAUAUAUAUAUAUAUAUAUAUAUAUAUAUAUAUAUAUAUAUAAGUUAAAACAAGUUAUAAUUAGAAGGAAGGGAUAUAAAAAACUAUUCAAUCAUCUGUUCUGGUCGUCAGAGCUAAUCGCACUUACCAGUCCAUGACUCGCCUGUCAAACGACGAUGUUUAUAGCUGCUGCUUUUUUCGUCGGGAUUAAUGAACUGAUAGCGAAUGUGAACUGUGUGAUCUCCAUCCUACGGGGGUUAGCAGUAGCACUUACGUGCGCGUGUGACAAACGAAGCUGACAGCAUUCUGCGUGUGAGAUGUGGUACAGAUAGAGAGUAUAUAACUCUAAGCAUGUCACGAUUUAGUGUGUUCGGUGAAUUUUGCGUCAAAUUAAACGACCCAUACUUAGCUAUCAACAUUCUGCGUGUGAGAUGUGAUACAUAGAGUUAGAUAGCUACAGUACGUAAUUUUCUCUUGGUCUACGAGGAACUAUAUAUAUAGACGUACGUAGCACGCAUAGUUUUUUGAAACGAUUUUUUGUUUUUUUGAAACACGAGUAGCACGCAUAGUUGGCAACGAACCAAACAUCGACACGACACAUGUAGCAGUAGCACGUAAUAAACAGCCAAAUGAAACAUCAGUCUAGUAGCCGAUCAUAGCUCACACGUUCUAUAUAUAGCCACUCGAUCGGUAAACCAUGGCACGGCACCGAUCGCAGCUCACAAAGUUCACACACUUCACAGCACGCUCACCACUGAGCAGCACCUAGCGCCAUGUUGAGCGCCACCAUGCCACGAGGUUUCGCCGCGCUUCGCGCGCCGCCAUGCUGCAGCCUCCAGACGACGCUGAGGUGCAAGGCUACCGGCGGCGCCGACCGCCGUGACGUGCUCCUCGGCCUCGGCGGCGCGGCAGCGGCCGGCCUCCUCACGUCGUCGUCCAGCCGCGGCGGUGCGAUCGCGGCGCCGAUCCAGGCGCCGGACCUCCGGGACUGCCACCCGCCCGACCUCCCCGACACGGUGGGCGACGUCAACUGCUGCCCGCCGGGCGCGGGGACGGCGAUCGUCGACUUCACGCUGCCGCCGGCGGUCGGGCUCCGCGUUCGCCCGGCCGCGCACCUGGUGGACGAGGAGUACCUGGCCAAGUACGAGAAGGCCGUGGCGCUGAUGAAGGAACUGCCGGACGACGACCCGCGCAGCUUCGCGCAGCAGUGGCGCGUGCACUGCGCCAACUGCGACGGCGCGUUCGACCAGGUCGGGUUCCCGGACCUGGAGAUCCAGAUACACAACUGCUGGCUCUUCUUCCCGUGGCACAGGUGACGACGACGGAUCCAUGCAUGCUGGCGUACGUGUAGGGUGUCACAUGUGAACUAAGGCUCGUGUAUGCUUUAGCGAUUAAUAAUUAAUUAACGUGCAACUUUUGUUCUGAAGUUCAACGUCUAUUGCACUGCUUAAUUAGUUCUCUUUCACAAAUUGGACAACGCGUGCAGGUUCUACCUGUACUUCCACGAAAGGAUUCUUGGGAAGCUCAUCGGCGACGACAAGUUUGCACUGCCGUUCUGGAACUGGGACGCGCCCGGCGGCAUGUCGAUGCCGGCGAUCUACGCCAACAAGACCUCCCCGCUGUACGACGAAAGGCGUGACCCUGCUCACCAGCCGCCAUUCACGCUGGACCUCGACUACGACGGGACCGAGCCAACCAUACCAAGACAUCAGCAGAUCGAUCAGAACCUAAUGAUUAUGUACCGUCAGGUCAGUGUUAGUAUAGUCUUGUUGUACGCAAUAUUACAACCUCAGUUCUUGGAAGACCGCACUAACAUUGAACACUCAGUUCUUCGACGUAAUUGAACACUUCAUCACUGAUUAGCAUACGGAUGGAUACACAUGUAUGUCUCUUAUAUACGCCAGAUGAUCUCCGGUGCCAAGAAGAAGGAGCUCUUCUUUGGGCUUCCUUACCACCAGGGCGACCAGCCAGACCCCGGCGCAGGCAGCGUCGAGCUCAUCCCGCACAACACAGUACACUUCUGGAGCGGCGAUCCGAGGCAGCCCAACGGAGAGGACAUGGGCAACUUCUACUCCGCCGCGCGCGAUCCGCUCUUCUUCGCGCACCACGGCAACAUCGACCGCCUGUGGUCGGUCUGGAACGGCCUCCGCGCCGGCAACACCAACUUCACCGACCCCGACUGGCUGAACGCCAGCUUCCUUUUCUACGACGAGGAGGCCCGCCUCGUGCGCGUCCGCGUCCGCGACUGCCUCGACACGGCCGCCCUGGGAUACACCUACCAGGACGUCGCCCUGCCGUGGCUGAACGCCAAGCCGACCACGGAGACCGGGUCUCCGGCGCCCGCCGCGGGCGCGCUCCCGGCGACCCUGAACCGGACCGUGAGGGUGGCCGUGACGCGGCCCAGGACCUCGAGGACCCGCCAGGAGAAGGACGCGGAGGAGGAGGUGCUGGUCGUCGAGGGGAUCGAGGUCGCCGACCACUUCAGCAGGUUCGUCAAGUUCGACUUGUUCGUGAA